rnacentral:lncRNA from 1 species
GGAAACUAAAUGGAUAGCUUCAGCUUGCUGCACCAAUUUUGCUGUUGAAGCACGUUCCUUGCAUGGCCACCUUUGCUGCUACAUGGGAGCUGACUUCAACACUCCUCCUCAGCUUCUAUGCAGCAGACUCCUAGCUCCCUCUUCAGGCUUAGAAAUCUUGAUACACCAAGAGGCUUUGUGAAGAUAUCAGCAAUCUGAUUUUUAGAACUGCAAUGGAUUAGCUCGAUCUCUCGAGCUUGUUCCAUUUCUCUUAUCACAUGGAGUUUGAUGUUGAAAUGUUUUGUCCUGCCAUGGAAGACAGGAUUUUUAGCAAUAGCAACUGCUGACUUGUUGUCACAAUGUAUCACAGUUGCUUCAUUCUACUGUAGAUUCAAGUCGCUCAAAAUUUUUCUCAGCCACAUAGCUUGAUUAACAGCAUUGGCAGCUGCUACAUACUCUGCUUCUGCUGUCGAUUGAGCCACCAUUGUUUGUUUUCUUGAGCUCCAACAAAUCAUAGCUGAGCCAAGUGUAAAAGCAUAGCCAGAAGUGCUCUUCAUGUCAUCCUUUGAACCGGCCCAAUCGCUAUCAGUGUAGCCAAUCAGUUUCAACUCUUCAGCCUUUCUGAACUGCAUUCCAUGGUUUAAGGUACCUUUGAUGUAUCUUAGCACCCUUUUCCCAGCCUUGUAAUGUUGCUGGUUACAGCAGUGCAUGAACCUUGAUAGCAUGCUCACAGCAAACAGAAUGUCAGGUCUUGUUGCUGUCAAAUACAAUAAACACCCAACAAGGCUUCUGUAAUCUGUUUCACAGACAGAUUCAUGUUCCUCCUGGCUCGAUAGCUUUAUGCCAAUAGCCAUUGGUGUGCUCACUGGUUUACAAUUCUCCAUUGAGAAUUUAACCAGCACUUUCAAGGUAAAUGUCUUUUGUUUCAAGAAAAUUUCUCCUUCUACUUGAUUGACUUCCAUUCCUAGGAAAUAUGUCAUCAAUCCCAGGUCUGACAUCUCAAACAUUUCCUUCAUUCUUGCUUUGAAAUCAGCCAUCAUAAACUUGUCUCCUCCAGUCACUAGAAGAUCAUCAACAUAUAGUGACACAAUAAGCUGUGUUUCAGCUCCAUUCCUCUUAACAUAGAGUGUUGGCUCACUAGCACUCCUUUCAAAUCCUAAACUGACCAAGUAUGAGUCAAUUCGAGCAUACCAGGCUCGAGGGGCCUGUUUUAGGCCAUACAAGGCCUUUCUUAGCCUAUACACCAAAUGUUCCUUACCAGGCACUAUAAAACCUGGGGGUUGCUCGAUGUAUAUCUCCUCUUCUAGGAAUCCAUUGAGGAAUGCAGACUUGACAUCCAUUUGGUGGAUUGUCCACUGGUUCUGAGCAGCAACUGCAAUCAGCAAUCUGAUUGUAUCGAGUCUGGCUACUGGAGCAAAUGUUUCCAUGUAGUCCAGACCAUACCUUUGACUGAAGCCCUUUACAACUAGCCUGGCCUUUAACUUGUUUAAACUUCCAUCCGCAUUGUGCUUCACUCGAUAGACCCAUUUUACAUUGAUAGUCUUUCUGUUGGCAGGCUUUUUAACCAACUCCCAUGUCUGAUUCUUUACAAUCAUGUUGAUUUCAUCAACCAUAGCUUGUUUCCAACCUUCAUCUGCCUCAGCCUCUUCAAAACUGCUAGGUUCUGCUAUUGCAACCUGUGCCCUUUCAUAAAUAUCUUUUAGGGGCCUUGUGCCUCUCACAGGCACAUCAUCAACAUCCAUUUCAGGUCAUAGCUGCUCAAGUUCAGCUUGAUUAGGCACUAGGUCUUCUGAAAUUGCUUCUGGCUCAUUUUUCUCCCAAUUCCAGCAGGCUUUUUCAUCAAAGAUGACAUCUCUGCUCACCUGGACUUUGUUUGUCAAGGGAUCCAGAACCCUGUAGCCCUUUUUGACUGAGCUGUAGCCUACUAGAACACCUGGUUGAGCCCUUUUAGAGAGCUUGUCUCUCUUUGCUGCUGGUAUUUGUGCAUAACACAAGCAACCAAACACCUUCAGAUGUGCCAGGGAAGGCUUGAAACUGAACCAAGCCUCGAAGGGUGUCUCAGAUGCAAGAGCUUUGGUAGGAAGCCUGUUCUGAAGGUAAACAGCAGUGUUUACUGCCUCAGCCCACAUGGUCUUGGGCAGUUUCUUUUCAAACAGGAGACAUCUGGCCAUAUCCAUCAGACUUCUAUUCUUUCUUUCAGCUACCCCAUUCUGCUGAGGUGUGUAGACAUUUGUAAGCUGAUGUUUGAUACCAGCAUCAUUGCAAAUGGCUUGAAACUGAGCUGAAGUGUACUCAGUGCCAUUGUCAGUCCUUAUCGAUUUCAGCUUGCAACCUGUUUCUGUUUCUACAGCAUUUUUAAACUUCACAAACACUUGAGCUACCUCAGACUUGUGUUUUAAAAAGAAAAUCCAGCAAAACCUUGUAAGAUCAUCAAUAAAGAGGAUGAAAUACCUAUUUUUGCUGAGUGAUUCAGUCCUCAUCGGGCCACAUACAUCAGAGUGCACCAGCUGCAGUCUUUCAGUAGCUCUCCAAGCUGAAUUUGUAGGAAAUGGCAGUCUUGCCUGUUUCCCCAUUUGGCAAACUUCACACACAUCAUCAUGCUCCACUGAGCUGGUGAAGUUCUCUGCCAAGCCCUCUUUGGCCAAUCGAGCCAUUGAUCUGAAGUUGGCAUGUCCAAGCCUUUGAUGCCAAAGCUUGGAGUCUUCAACAGAGGCUGUGUAUGCUGAGUUUGAGUCAUUUGCCCAGUGAACCUCAAAGCAUUUAUCAGUCAUUAUGACUGUCAUAAGGCUUGAUCCACUUGGAUCAGUAAUGUGGCAUUGUUUAUCCUUGAACACAACAGAAUAACCUUUCUCGAGCAGUUGAGCUAUGCUGAGAAGGUUUCUGUCAAUCUCUGGCACUAACAGCACAUUUGGAAUGAUCUUGUUGCCUGUGGGAGUACAUAUCAGCACUUCUCCUCUUCCUUCAGCCCUUAUAAACUGACCAUUUCCAACCUUGACCUUGGUUUUAUAACUUCUGUCCUAGGUUUUAAACAAGGAGGCAUCUGGUGACAUGUGGUUAGUGCAACCACUGUCCAGCAACCAGCCUUUUGAGCAUUUCUUCUCAGCAGCUAAACAGGAAACAGCAAAGACCUGUUCUUCUUGGUCACUACUGUCCUCAGCCACUCGAGCUUCAACUUUUGACUGCUGAAAUUGAUUCUGCCUUGGCUUACUUCUGUUUUUACAGACCCUUUCAACAUGGCCCUUCUUCUUACAGUGUUGGCAUACUGCAUCUGGCCUAAACCAGCAUCUGUCUUCUGGAUGGCCAGGCUUCUUGCAAUAUCUGCAGGGCUGGUCAUUGCUCCUUGCAGCAUCAGGCUUAGGCCUAUUUUUCCAAGGCUUUUUGCCUCUUUGAGCAUUGGUGCUCGAGGCUUCUCUGGCCUUGGCUUGAAAUGCACCUUCUUGGUGAUCUUCAGCUCUGCUAGCUCUCCUUUGUUCCUGAGCAUAGAAGGUGUUGAUUAACUCAGUCAAAGAGAUGCUAGCAAGGUCUCUUGAGUCCUCUAGGGAGGAUAUCUUGGCCUCAUAUCUCUCAGGCAAAGUGGAGAGGACUUUCUCCACAAUUCUUGCCUCAUCGAAGUGCUCACCUAGGAGCCUUAUACUGUUAACCACUGCCAUAAUUCUAUCUGAAUACUGCUUCACUAUUUCUUCUUCCUUCAUUUUCAAAUUCUCGAAAUCCCUUCUCAAGUUUAACAGCUGCUGUUGCCUUGUUCUCUCAGUGCCUUGAAACUCCUCAUUAAGCUUAUCCCAAGCCUGUUUUGGAGUCUCACAGGCCAUGAUUCUGGUGAAGAUGACAUCUGACACACAGUUCUGGAUGCAGGACAUGGCUUUGUGCCUUUUGGUCCUCUCAUCAGCAUGUUGCCUAAUCUGAGCUACUGUGGGAUUAGCCCUCAGUGGUGCUGGCUCAGUAUCUGUGUUGACAACUUCCCACAGAUCGAAGGCCUGUAGGUAAGUCUUCAUCUUGACCAGCCAUAUGUGAAAGCCUUCUCCAUUGAAGACUGGUGGGGCUGCUGGUGAAAAUCCUGAAGAAGCCAUCAGGUUCCUUGAUUUGAGGCAACAGGUCCACUAAGACAAGAGCUCUCGAUACCAAUUUUUGGUGCAAGAGGCAGCAACAGGCUGUUUUGUAUCUUGCUUGAAUAGCAAGCCUCGAGCCUUGGUGAAGAAACAAACUCGGAAGCAGAAAAACAGAAAAUGAAACUAGCUAGUGAAAUAACAGAAAAGAGAGAAGAAGAUUGAAUGAAAAAUGAGUUGGUUUCUUUCAUUAACACAUCAACAAGGCAUUAAGCCAUUACAUAUAUUAGUCAACAAGUAAAACAAACAAGUAAUCACCUAAUAACAUACCUAACACCACUAAAUUGCCUAGUAACUUGGUAAACUUGAUUGAAAAACAAAAACUUCUACCUAAACUUGUCAUUCAGCACCUAAUUACAUCAAAAUGCAGCUACCAACUAAGUUUGAUCCUAACUAAAUACAAAACAUUCAAUUAAGGAAACUAAAUGGAUAGCUUCAGCUUGCUGCACCAAUUUUGCUGUUGAAGCACGUUCCUUGCAUGGCCACCUUUGCUGCUACAUGGGAGCUGACUUCAACACCUUCUGAUGUGCGAAAUAUUGGUGGGACUUUUAAGACAUCCUUCGAAGAGCAUGAAUCAAAGAGACCAAUUGAAGACGUGAAGCGAUGGAAAGCCGCCUUCGCUGAAAUCGGAGCAUCAAAAGGGUGGCAUAUAGAAGGAGGCAAAUCCGAUGGGUAACAAUAUCUAUAUAUUCUCUUCUUAUAUUUGACUUAUAUAUAUCUAUAUAUAUCUUUCUUUUGACUGUUGAUUUUUUUUUCUAGAUUUGAAACUGAGUACAUUAAAGAUGUCAUCGAAUAUGUUUUAAAAAAGUUGAAGAGCAAUUGUAGAAGUGUCUCUGAAGAAUUGGUGGGAAUAGAUGAUCAAAAAAAGAAGCUUUUGGUGUUAAUUGAGCAAGCGGGCAUCCAUGUAAUAGGACUUUGGGGAAUGAGUGGUAUAGGCAAAACUACCCUUGCUGAUGCUGUAUAUAAGGAAGUCUCUCCAAAGUUUGAAAGUCGUUUGUUUCUUUAAAACAUUAGUGAGAAAAUAAAAAAACAGGGGAAUGAAUCUUUACGAAAUGAACUUCUUUCCAAACUAUUAAACAAUACCCCUUCCAUAGGACACCCUUACCAAGAGAGGCUGAAUAAUAAAAAAAUACUACUUGUCUUUGAUGAUGUUAGUGACCCAGACCAAAUAAAUUUCAUGGGUGUUAAAUAUUUUGGUCCUGGAAGUAAAAUCAUUGUAACAUCUAGAGAUAUACAAGUACUUAGGAAUGGAGGAGCGAACCACAUACAUGAGGUAAAGAAGUUAAAUAUGAACGACUCUUUUCAACUUUUUUCUACAUAUGCAUUUCAAUUGUUGAAUGUCCCAGUUGAUUUCAAAUAUCUAUCAUUCAAGUUUGUAGAAUAUGCCCAAGGUAAUCCACUUGCUCUUAAAGUUCUGGGUUUGAAAUUAUACACAAAGUCUAUAAAAGAGUGGAAGAGCGAGGUGACUAAACUAAAGCAAUGUGGAGAAAUAAAAUUUUCACAUAUUUUUAAGAGUAGCUUAGAUGGGCUGGAUAAGGAAGAGAAGGAUAUAUUUCUUGACGUAGCAUGCAUCUUUAAAGGGCAACACUUGAAUUAUGUAGAAAAAGUUCUAAGUAAUUAUUAUAAAGGUGCAAGAUGUGGAAUAAGUAAGUUGGUCGACAAGUGCCUACUUGAGGUCAAAUAUGAAUCUAUUUCUAUGCAUGAUAUGCUUGAAGAGAUGGGUAAAGACAUUGUUAUGCAAGAAUCUGAAUGCCCUGGAAAGCGCAGUAGAUUAUGGAAUUGUAAAGAUGUGGAAGAAGUGAUCAGAUAUGAUAAAGCAAGUGUUAAUUGUAUUUAUAUUCUUUUUAUUCUUUCAUAUAUGGUUUAAUAGAUGUUGUGGUGUACAAAACAUUAUCCUUUUUGAUUAUUAUUUCAAAAAAUAAAAUAUUUAUUACUUCCCAUAAACAUAAUGACCAAAUGUCUUAUGAUACAACAGUCAACAUGGAAUUUGCUAAAGGUUUAUUGAGUUAGUUAAAUAUAUAAUGCAUUACUUUUAAAAAAAUAAAACAGUAACAACAUUGCGCAUCUAAAAAUUCCUCUAAUAAAAAGGUAUGCCAAGUUAGUUUAAAGUCUUUCCUAAUAUAAUUAACUUUUUUAUGAAUGAUUUCAUGGAAUUUCUAUAAAUUUCUUUAUGUUAAUUCAUGAUAAAUAUUUUCUUAUUAUCAGGGGACUGACCUAAUUAAAGGAAUAAAGGUAGACAUGACUGAGGUUGAUAGUCUACAGUUUUGUGCUACUGCUUUUGAGAAGAUGCAUAAGCUUAGAUAUAUCAACAUCAGCUUUCCUGAGAAAAUGUUAUGGCUUAAGAAGCUAUAUGCAAAUCAAGUUGAUAGUAUAUUUCUUCCUGAUGAGCUAAGGUUUCUCCGUUGGGAUGUUUACCCUUUCAAAUCUUUAUCCGAUUUUAAUCCAAAGAAUCUUGUCGUGUUGAAAUUAUUACAUGGCAACAUGGAUCAACUUUGGAAUGAAGAUGAUGAUAUGGUAUAUACUUUCAUACUUUCUUCAUUUAAGAAGUUUUUUUAAGAAAAAAGAGAAUUUAAAAUUUGAUAUAUUAUUUAAAGUUUUUAAAAAAUAAAUCUGAAAUAUUUUAUUUUAUUUUAUUUGAAUAAGUGACAUCAUUUUAUUUAUUAAUUGUGGGUGAAUUUUCAAGCCCAAUACAUCAAGUUUUUAUUCUUAAAGCCCAAUCCAAAGAACCUUAUUAUGUUGGAAUUACCAACUGGAAACAUGGAACAACUUUAGAACAAAGGUCAUCAGGUAUAUGUAUUUUUAUAUUUUUUUCAUCCAAGAAUUUUUUUUAAGAAAAAUAAUUUAUAAUUAAUAUAAUAUUUAAUUAUAUGAUAACAUAUUUUUAUUAAUUUUUUUAUAAAAAAAUUAUUUUAUUUUUUAAAAGAGGCAACAUCAAUUAAUCAAUUAAUGGUAGGUGAAUUAAUACACCCAAUACAUCAAAUAUAAAUUUUUAUUUUGAUAGUCUUAAUACAAGUAAAUGAUGCUCUAAAGUAAUGAUAAUCUUCUUAAUUAUUUAUUUUCUUUUCAUUUUUUACUGCCUAAAGUAAGUAAGAUGAUUCUUAAAAGUGAUAUAAUUAUUUUUAUAUAUUUUUCUUUUGCACAGAACAUUACUAAUUUAAGGGAAAUUGACGUUUCAUAUUGUAAGAAUUUAAAGAAGAUCCAUAAUCUUUCAGGAGCCAUCAACCUUGAGCUCCUUCGUUGCAUUGGCUGUGAAAGUUUGGUUGAACUUUGGAAUGAAGAUGAUCAUAUAGUACGUGUGUUUUCUUACUUCUUUUCAUUUAAGAAAUUUUUAAAGUUUUUAAAACAUAAACAUGAAAGAUUCUAUUUAUUUUAUAUAAUUAGUGGCAUAAUUUGAUCUAUUAAUUGUGGGUUAACUUUUACACUCAAUAACAUCAAAUAUGAAUUUUUAUUUUUCUUAGUCUUAUAAUUAUUUAUUUCUUUUUUCAUUUUUUACUGUUUAAAGUAAGUAGUUGAUGCUUAAAAACAAUACAAAUAUUGUUUCUAUACAGGAGCUUAUUAAUUUAAGGGAAAUUUACGUUUCAGAAUGCAAUAAUAUAAGGAAGAUAUGUAAUCUUUCAAGAGCCAUCAACCUUGAAUUCCUUGAUUGCUCUUACUGUAAAAGUUUGGUUGAACUUUGGAACGAAGAUGAUCGUAUGGUAUGUGUUUUCAUACUUUUUUUUGGAAAAAAACGAUUUAUAGUUUGAUGUAUCAAAUAUUCAUAUGAUAACAUUUUAUUUAAAGGUUUUUAAAUGUAUAUAUAUAAAAGAAUUUAUUUUUUUAGAUGAGUGAUAUUUUCACACUCGAUACAUCAAAUAAAAUUUUUUUAUUUUUUUAUAGUAUUAUAAUUAUUUAUUUCAUUUUCAUAUUUUACCGCCUAAAGUAAGUAGUUGAUGCUUAAAAGUAAUACAAUUAUUUUUCUGUAUAGGACCUUGUUCAUUUAAGGAAAAUUUACUUUGAUGGGUGCGUGAAUUUAAGAAAGAUACCUAAUCUUUCAAGAACCAUCAACCUUGAAUUCCUUGGUUGCUCUAAUUGUAAAAGUUUGGUUGAACUUCCUUGCCUCAAUCAUUUGGCAUCUCUUCAUCAGUAUAGUCUUCGCCUUAACGGAUGUUAUAGUCUCAAGAAGUUUCCUCAAGUUCCACGUCCCUUUUGUUCUUUAGAUUUAUCAGAAACCAAAAUUGAAGAAGUGUCUGAUUCAAUUAGGGAUCUCCACAAACUUGAAACUUUGUGGUUAGGGAAGUCAAAGGUGAAAAAAGUAUCGAUCAAUAUUUUAAAGUUGGAAUUCCUUCGUAAAUUGGAUCUUAGCGGUUGCCCAAUUGAAGAAGUGUCGUUGCCUUUCGACCCCCUAUGUAAUCUUCAGCACUUAAAAAUGAGUGGCUCAGCGGUCAAAAAUGUAUCGAUCAAGUUGGAAUCCCUUCGUAAACUGAAUCUUAGUGGUUGCCCAAUGGUCAAAUUUCCAGAAAUCCCAGGAAGCUUAAUAAAAUUAAACUUAUCUGGCACUCAAAUUGAAAAAGUAUCGUUGCCUUUCGAAUCUCUAUGUAAUCUUCAGCUUUUAAAUAUGAGUGGCUCAGCAGUCAAAAAUGUAUCGAUCAAGUUGGAAUCCCUUCGUAAACUGAAUCUUAGUGGUUGCCCAAUGGUCGAAUUUCCAGAAAUCCCAGAAAGUUUAAUGGAAUUAAACUUAUCUGGCACUCAAAUUGAAGAAGUGUCGUUGCCUUUUGACUCUCUAUGUAAUCUUCAGCACUUAAAUAUGAGUGGCUCAGUGGUCAAAAAUGUAUCGAUCAAGUUGGAAUCUCUUCAUUAUCUGGAUCUUAGUGGUUGCCCAAAGGUCGAAUUACUCUCAGAGCUGCCACCAUAUCUGGAAGUCUUGAGUGUAAAUGACUGCACAUCAUUAGAAAAUGUAUCCUUUGCAGAUCAAAAUUUAAUUCAGUGUGAUUCUUUAGAUGAUGUGUUUUGCAAAAAUCAUAACUUUUUGAUGCGAUUCCGUAAUUGCUUCAACUUGAAUCAAGACUCAACUAAUAACAUUGAGGCAAAUGCCAUGCUCAAAAUUGGAUCCCUAGCUAAGAAAUGGGUAGCGAGAGAUGAUUGGCAAUACAACCCUGACAGAGCUCAAAGUUUGAUUUGUUGUUUCCCAGGAAACAAAAUUUCAGCAAAUAAGUUCAAGUGUCAGAGCAUGAAUUCUUCCUUAAGUUUGAAGAUAGCCCCAAAUGGGGGUAGUGGCAGCAGAUUUUUGGUUUUUGCUAUCUCCCUUGUGGCUGAUCUCACUCACAGCCUUGAAUUUCAAUUAAGUGAAUGUAUUUGUGAGUACCAACUUACAGCCGCCGGUGGUGGCAAUGGUUGAGGUGGUUGUGAAAUUUUCAGAAGUGAGAUAUCUUUCGGCAGUUUUUAUGAGCCAGUUAAGUACAUGGAUUAUCACGUGUUUAUAUUAUCUAGCAUUGACAUGGUUAUAGAAGACAAGAAUUAUGAGGAGGCAACAUUUGAAUUCUACAUCAAAAAUUUCCAUUUCGAUGAAGACAAUGAUGGAGGAGAAAAGUAUAUCAAGGUGGAGAGAUGUGGUGUUCAUGUAUUUUACGUGGAUGCAAAGAGUGAUAAAGAUGCUACUGAAAAGAGAGUUGCUGGGAACAAAAGAAGCUUUAGCCAUGAUGGUGAAGAAGGGGAUGGAGGACUUAAAAGAAUGAAAUAGUUUGUAUUUCUUUCCAUCUUUGGCUCUGCUUUUGAGGAGUUUCAACUUCUCAAUUAUGUCAUCCAAAUGCAUAGGUAGGGGUUUCAUUUUCAUCUCAUUUUUUUUAUAUUAUCAGACAUUUUUCCGUAUUUUCAUUUCAUUUUUCAUAUUGUCAUACUUUUGUUUUCCACAAUUGUUAAUAGUAAAUUUCAACUUAUAAAUUAGUGACAGAGUGCUUUAAUUAAUCAAAACCAACCAGAAUGAAUCUAACUUGCUCUGCUUUAUAAAUUACUUGUCUUUUAGAAGGUGCUUUGCCAUACUGAAUCCUUGUAGUUCCAUAUUGUAAAUAUUAAAAGCAUAAUUUAUGAACAUAAAAUUGGAAAUUUGUUCAAUAGUUUGUGAUAGUUGCUUAUUAUUAUUUUUCUCAUCUUCAUUCCCCUGUUGUUUGUAGAUAUAGCAUAUAUUUCCAAGAAGGAAAUUCUCCAUAUAUAUUAAUUAAUUUGGAGGAAAAUUGAACGGAAACUAGAGAUUUCAACACAGUAGCAAAAUGAUUCUGCUUUGGAGUUGAUAAAAUAUCCAUAUGGGAUUUGGGUGAGUACCAAAACUCAGAUAUUAAAAUUCAUACUUAAUUCUUAUUGACAGUUGACUUGUUACUGGUUGGUUUUUUUAAUUCAUAGGACCAGUGGUGGACUCGAUUCAGCUUCAUUGUUUAGUUUCCAUCAUUGGUGUCAUCUGGUAUCUCAAGACUUGCUGCAUUUUCCUUCAAUGACAUCUAGAUUCAUUAGAAAGAUUGGUUAUUUGUGCUACUGCUGAAUUGGAGCUUCCAUAUAAGGAGGAGCACCUGAACUGUAAGAGCUUCAAUUUGUUUUGCUGAAUGCUUGCUUUAAACAAGUGUUUUAACUGAUAUUUGGUGAAAAUGUAAGUUGUCAACGGAUUUGUGAACACAACAUCAAAGUAAUCUUUUGAGGCCCUUUCUGGGUUCUCGCAUAUUCAGUCUUGGUGAAGAAGUAAGUUACCAUUGACUUUGGCUUAAUUAUCAUGAUUUUAGGUUCAUAUAAUGAUUUUCAGCAUCCUCACCAAUUUUUUCCCAUAUUUAUCAAUGGGAUUAUAUAAAUCCAGAAUUUGCAAGAGAUCUCAAAACUUGUGGGAUGAACACGUGGAGCUAGAUGCAACCUUCGGCAGUUUUCAUUCUCAAGCUAGAUUGGGUUAGUUCCAUGGUAGAGCCAUUGGAGUUGAUAGCUUCUUACCUUGGAUUUUGAUUGUCGUAUAAGUUUGGGCUGAAAUUUCUUUGUAUGUUACUGCCUCUCAUGUUGUUUGAACAUUGCAGUGAAGAGAUAUUAAGAUUCAUACUUGAAUUCUUUUUGGGAAUUGACUUGUUAUUGGUUGGUUUUGAUUCAUAGGAUCUGUGGUGGACAUCAUUCAGCUUAAUUGUUUAUGUUCCACCAUUGGUGCUCAUGCCAUGGGCAGUAAGUAGAGAGUUAAUCAUAUUGUAUCUCAAUACUAUCUGCAUUUUACUUCAAUGAUCCGUUCACCCAUUCAUUUAUGCUUCAUAUUUCCUUAAAAUGUUAGUAAAUAUAUAUGUUUUCAGUUCAUGAUUUCUGAUUUAUAUUCAUGUUAGAUAAGGUAAACCUACCAACUAUUCCCUAUAUAUAAUCAACAAAUGCUUGAGAUUGGUUAAUCUUAUAACAUAUGGUUUUAUAUUGAUCUUGGAGUAGGUGUUUUCUAUUUGUUAUGUUUUAUUAUUUUGAAUUUUAUGACCGUGAUCCGUAGUUUCCAUAAAAUUUUAAUGAAAGUCAAGUCGGACAUAGUGCUACACAUAAUUCCUCACACUCAUUUUCAGUCGUGGAAUUCACAAUCUGCCAAAAACCAUAUACUCAUAAGAUUUCCCUAGCUUCCUUCCUAACCAAUUUUCAAACAUGUGCCUCGCACAAUUCCUAUGCUCCAAAUUUGGCGAUAUGUUAGAAAUUGCAAUCUCAAGGCCCUGAUUGUGUUCUAAUGAACUAGAUAGAUUGUUAGAAAAAUAUAGUUAAUUAUACUUAACAAAAUAAAAAGACAAGACCAAGCCCAAAUUAGUUAAUUCCCUAACCUUUCGUUGGCCCCUGAUAAUUGUGUACCCAUACCCAUCCUCCAAGCCCAAAUCAGUUGAUAGGAAACUAAGAAGCUAGGCUCAAAUCAGUGUACUCCACUUCAACCACAACUCAUGCAGUAGGAAACAUCUAGUUGUUUGCGUCCCUUUCAACAGCUGUGAGAAACUCAUUCUUAAAUGGCCAUUUUAGGAAGCAAUCAUCUAAUUCAAUAAGCGACCUACACGUCACUUUCCAGCCUCUCUUUAGUUCAUCAAAGCACAGAUAAAACCUUUUAAAAUGAGGAGGGGAAUCUAUUGUCACCCUUUGAACAACUAUUUUUAUUGUGUUGCCUGGCAUUUUAACCUUGACUCAUGAGUAUAGUCAUAUAAUUGACCAAAUUCCUCAUAAUUACUAGCCAUGUUCUCCUUCACCUCUUUCUUAGCUCUAUAACAACAGUAAAUGCCCACAUUUACAUGCAUCUCUGAAGCACAUUUUUGAAAUUUCCUUAGCUUCAUCUUAGGGUGAUCAUUGAUAGUUGUUUCAAAAUGUUGGGCAAUCAUAGUAGCAGUCACCAUUUUGUUCUUAAAACUAACCAAACAAUGGUACUCCUCCUGAAAAGUUUUUACUUGCAAGUAUUUGGCAAUAGGACUAUAGCUAGCCAAAAUUCUCUAUGGACAGUUAGGGGAAGCAAUGCACCUCACAACAACCCUUUUCGGUUCAUUCUUAAGAAACUUUCGUUGUCUUCUACAUUCUUUGGAGUAGUUUCGAAUUAUACUCUUAAACUAUUUGCUAUCUUUAAACAACAUUCCCAAACUAAAUUUUAAAGGAUUAGAUUGAUCAUUGUAUAAGAGAAACUUGCUUCUUCUUCUCUCACAAUCUUCAUGUUCUUCAUCUUCAUAUGACCCAAGCAAGCUGCCAUGUUCAUCUAAGUCCCAUACCUCAGCCUUAGUAUCAUUCCCAUCCUCCUCUUCUCCACUAAUUGCAACAACAACAUUGUCCACUCCAUCUAAUGUAAAAUCAGUAGCAUUUGCAUCACCAACAGAUGAUCCAUAACCAUUAUCAUUAUCCUUUACAACAGUAGACCCUAAACUAAUUUACCCACCACUUUCCCCACCACCAUACUCAUCUGCCUCAAUAUUAGUAGUAGUCACACCCUUCCCAUAAGCUUCUACCCCUUCAACAUCACCUUCCCCAACAACUUGUACUUUUUCUACAUCACCAUCCCCUUCAGCAUCAACUUUUACCCUGCAACUACACCCUCCCCAUUAGCUUGUACCUCUUCUACAACACCAUCCCUAUCAGCUUCCACUCUUUCAAUAUCACUCUCCCAAUCAGUUUCUACUCUUUCAGCAUCACUCUCCCCAGUAGUCAACAUUAACAUAUCAUCUUCUUAUAGGGUUAUCCACCUCAUGUUUAACAUAUAAGUGAAUUACUUAAACAUGACCUAAAAGUCUAAUAUAGCUAUUGUAGAAGUGUCAUCAUAAAUCACCUUGAGAUUAUUUUGUAACCUUACUGUACCAAACUCAUGAAAAUAUAUUAACAUGACAGUGUGAAACCCUAACACAAUUCUCAUUAUUUUAUAUAAUUUAAAAUAAGAUAUUGUGUCUGAUCCUCUUUAAGCCUAAUCAUUUCCCUACCUACAUACCUAACAUAUGGAUCCUUUACAAAGUGCUCACCCAUGUGCAAAAUAAGAUAAUAUUCCUCAUCCCACUAUAUCUGCAAAGCAUAAAAAAAUAAUUUACUAAGCAAAACCAGCAAAAAAAAAAAACAAAACUCAAUAACUACAUUGAGACCAUUUCUUUGAAUACAACAACAAACACUAAAUGUAACACCCCAAACCUGGCCUAAACGUUAUUUGGAAUGUUACGAAGUAGAGUAUAAAUUCAACUUUUUCUUUUUGAAAACAUCGUAUAUCUUUGUUACUAAAAGCGUCCACUUAAUUUAAAAAUGUUUUGUGACACUUAUUAGUUAAAAACCGUCAGUUGUUUACAUUUUCAAACAAAUCAAAUAAUUUGUAGCAAAAAAACUUAAGUCGUUAUAUUUUGAAAAACUGAGUUUGGUUUCUCGAAAAUGGUUGAUUGCAAGAAUACAGUUGUUUUCGUAAAUCAUUUUACCAUGUCAUGUGAGAAAUCCCAAAUUAAAAAUAUCAAAUCCAAAGUAAAAACCCAAAAGUUUAGAGAAUCCCAAAAUUAAAAAACUCAAAACAAAAUUCUUAAUAAGCAAAUUUAUUUAAAUAACAUUUUACGGAAUCGUGGGCUUAUGAGAGCUCUUGUCGCACUAACCUGCUUAAGUCUGAGGAUUACCUGAAAGUAACAGACAAAUAGAGAGUGAGUUUUAUAACUCAGUGUGUAACUUAACAAAAAUAAAAUCUCAGAUUUAAUUACAUGGCAGAAUAGAUACAGACUUAUUUUAUAAACAGAAUCAGAAUCAUGUCAGUAUAGUAUAGUUUCAGAUAUAUAUGAUCCUACCCCCAUCCUUUACACACUAGCUCCAGCCAUCUUACAACACUUUUUAAAGUAAUCGCAGUUGUGUUGCCGGUAUAAUGGUGAGAUAUCGCCCCACACAGAACACUUCUUCCACAUUAUACAUACCCCCGCCCCAUAACUAGAUACAGACAGUAAUAAUAGAUUCCAGAAUUAAUAUAUCAUGCAUGCUCGUAUAAUAGAUAUUCAACAUGCUUAUACGUAAUAGAAUAGAUCAUACGUACCGCAUUACAUUGCAUGCAUAUAGGCGUUAUUUAUGUCAAUUUCAAACUAACAGAUUCACGGACUUCAAGGCUUGUACCACACAUACCGACCCCACGAAAGGCCCACAGUCGAUCGGGACGACAUGUACGACCCUAGGGAAAAUUUUUAAAAUUUGGGUCCACACGCACGAAUGGCCCACGUAGCCUGGCACAUAGUUGUACGGCGUCGACAGGCCCCAAUUUUGACUUUCGUUGUUCGCUAUUUUUCAAGUUUCUCGUUACGUAUCUGGCUCGAUUUUGAUACCAAAACUUUCAUGUACGAGUCGCCCAGAACCUAAAAAUGACCAUAGUUCACAAAAUUAAUCACUUUAAUCACUACCAAAUCCGAUACCAAGUCGAUACAAUCAACCUAACAUCUUAAAUUAACCUCUUAUCUUCAAUCAAAAGCAGGAGCCCACCAAUAAAAUUAGGUUGCCGGAGGAAAACCCAAUGAUUCUCAAUCCUCCCCUAGCCAAAACAUACAUAGAAUCAAGUUCCUAACCCACACCUUUUUGCCACCAUCCACCAAAACACAAUAAACACAAGAAGAAAAAAAAACUUAAACUUUACCUUACACUAAGAAACCACCACUGAAGGAAUUAAUGAAACAAGAAUUAAAGUCCCACAAUCAAGUAUCGAAAAGAAAUUUUAGAAAUAGAAGGCCAUAGACAGUGGAAGAAGAAGGAAAAAAAGUCAGUAACCAAAAUGGAAUAAUGAAAUUUAAAAAAAAAAGAUGACAGACACUACUAACCAGAAUCCCAACAUGACUCUACCACUACUUCAUGGCCAGCCCAUGUGGAACAAAAUAAAUAUACUCCCACAGGUCUCAAACCCAAGACCUCACCCUCCUAAUCAAGGCUUACAAUCGUUGAGAUAUGCACUUAUUAAUUAAAAUCAACAAAUCAAUUACUUGAAUUCCUGGGCGUUACACUAAGUCAUUACUAAAAGUAAACAAUAAAACAUAGUAGGCAUCCACUCUUUUCGAUAUUCAAACAUAUUACUAUUCAAACAUCUUAUACCCUACUAUCGCAUCAGAAAUCGACAACACUAGCAAAAUUCAACCACCACUGCUGUUAAAAAACCCAUUUUCAUGGCAACUAAAACUGUAGCAGACAACAACCCUAGAUUAUCGAAUGGAGUCAACCUUUUGAUUUUGGAUAUCUAAACUAUACCAAAUUAAAAAAAAUGAUAACAUUUUCCUAAAAAAACCCACUAAAAAAUCACUUACCUUUUGAUUUGGGUUACGGAGUCUGCCCUAAUAAAAUUAAUCUAUGGCUCCCCCUCCUUGUUGUGAGAUUUCUUUUACAAUGAAAACUCUUUUGCUAUCGCAGGUUUUUUUAAGAUUGGCGAUUGUUGAAGUUUUUUUUAUCGUAACAAUUUUAGGGAUUCAAUGAUGAUUUGAGAAUGCUGAUAAUACUCUAAAAUGACGUGUUUUUAUAUAUUAAUCAUGUGUUUAUUUUGAGCUUGAGCCUACUAAUUUGAGCUAUUUAUGUCUUUUUAUCUUUUAGGGACUAAAUUGGAGGCGAAAAGUAAAUUCAAGGGAAAAAGCGUCAAUUUGGAGAUUAAAUGGGCCAAUAUGCAACGUGGGACAAAUAUGGUGCCAAAAGUGCGAACAUGGAAGGCACAAGGACUUAAAAGCAAAUAGAAGAGAUUUUAUUUUGGAAGACUCUAUUUUAUUUUAUUUUAUUAGGAUAAUUAAUAUUAAGAUAAUUAUUAGGAUUAUUCAAAUUUAGGAUUUUAUUUUAAUUAUCUUUGUUUAUCUUUAAUUAAAUGUAUUUAUCUUUUUAGAAUUUAAGUUCAAUUAGACGAUCUCCCUAGAACUAUAAAUAGGGGUGAAGUGACUCUAUUUGGGGCAUCUUUUCUGUAAACACUCUCUCCCCAAAAGUCUUUUGUUCUUUCUAUAUUUUUUUCCUUUCAAUAAAAUUUCUUUUUCCAUUUUUAUAUUUAUUUUCUUUUCCACCAUUAUCAUGAGCCACUAAAACCCUUCUAGCCAAAAGUUGUCAAUAUUUCCCCAAAAAGGGUUCUUGAGGCCUAGAAUCCGUACUUAGCCUUCUCACCAAGUAUUCAUCGUUUCUCCGCACUCCGGGCUGACGCUUCCGUCCAUGGCCCUUAAGAAGUAAGCUUUUCAGCAUAUGCAAAGGCGGCUGCUUUGUAUGUUUUGGAAGGAUUGCAUAGUCGGUUCGUUAACUUACUGCGUCAGAGGUUGGCGAGCCAAAGAGACAAAAUGGCGUGGGAUUCGCCAUUAAGAAGCGUUGAUCUAGCAUAGAUUACUGGCUAGAGUCAGGUUCCCUAAAAAUCGUAAGUCUAAUCUUUGGAAUUGGUGGUCGUAGGCGUCCUCUUCCGCUAUAACUGGCUUACUUGAGUCGAGAAGGAUCAUCCAAAAGCCAAGGAUUAAGCCCAAGGCGGAAUGAGACAACCGGAGGCUGGAACUUUCCCAUAAGAAUUUUUUCUUUUCUCUUAAAACUCUCUUUAUUAUUUUUAUUAUUUUCGUAAUCAUAAUUUCAGUAAAUUUUAAAUUCUGUUUUUGUUUUAUUUUUCGCUUCCAAAAUCAAUUCUUAAAUUCUUUUUUUUUUAUUUUUUCCAAGAACGCAAGUUUUCUUGGGUACGAUUCUGCCUAGGAUUUCGAGAAACAAGCAUUCAUAUAAUCUGGUCCCUAAGGAUUCGACCCUACUUCCCCUUUACUAUUUCUUUUUCAUUAUUUUAUAGGGAAUAGGAUAUUUUUGGUGCUCUCAACUACCGCAUCAAAUGCUAAAGUUUUUAGGGAUUUCACGAUUUGGGGUUUUUUUGGGGGGGGAUUUCAGAUUUUUUUGGAGUAGUUUCGGGUCACAAUUUGGGUUUUUUUCCAAGUCUUUUUUAUUAUAUUUAAUUAUUUUUUGCCAUAUCAUCCUUUAACCUAGCACGCCAUAUAGACAGCUAUGUUGACCGAUCCUUGACUAACGAGCAGCUAAUGUUUCCCAUUAAAAAUGAGUUGAUUUGUGGAAAAAUCAUUACAUUGAGGGCCCAAAUAAAAAAAAGGUCAAGGGCACAAAACCAAAAACCCCCAAACGUCGAGGGUAUUUUAUGCAAUUAUGUCUUUUUUAAAAGGGCCUAAUUUAUCGUUUCACGUAGGUCUCAAAAAUGUCAAGAACGGGCCUAAUCUCUUCAUAGGGAUAUAACGAUUCAAAUGGAUAGUCAUAUCUUUAGCAAUAACAUAAUUAUUCAAUAGAUAUCUAAAAUAAUUAUGACUAUUUGUUAAUAAUCAAAUGACAUAACUUUUGGUUACUUAUAACUUUUCAUUAGCAACUAUUGAAAAUUAUAUAUAUUGAAAAUAUUCCAACACUGGAAUGAAGACAUGAAGGUGGAUGUUAUUUUCAAUGCCAACCAGCUUAUCACAGUUUUCAAUUUAGUCAUAAUAACAAAUUUAACCCUCAGAUUUUACAUGUUUCAAUUUAGUCAUAAUUAAAAGUUUUAACCCUUAACAUUUACAUAUUAUCUCAAUUUAAUCCAAAAUCUUAAAAAAAUAAAAAAAAAUUUACUCAUCGUUUCUUAUUGCUCAUAAUUUUUCAUCAAUAAUUUAAUAGCAAAAUUAAAUUAUCAAAUAAGGGGAAAAGACUUUAACUUGGGGACAAAAGAACUUUUGAUUUUAUGGUCAUUCAAACACAAGAUACAAUUAAAAAAGAGAUUAAAUUGCCUCAAAAUUAUGUAAUUUGUGUAGUUAUUUACAAUUUAUGAGUCACACUGAAAUAAAUGUAAUUGUAACAUCCUAAAUACAUUUCUAAUACUGAGUUUAAAACAUUACACUCUCCAAUUCAUAUAAAGGAUUGAAAAUUAAAGGAAUUGCAUAGGUAACUAGUUAGGGUUAAAUUUUUUUUUAAGAUUAAUUUCACAAUGGGAAUAAAUAAAUAUUGAGAAUUAGAAUUUUUUAUAAUUAUAAAGCAGUGUAAUUACUCCUCAAUAAUUACCCUUUCUUACAAUUACUCUAUGAUAUCUAAAUACAUUAAACUCCCAAUUCUAAAAGCUUGGCUUGGCUACAUUCUUUUCAUUCUUGUAUCUUUCAAGAAAAAAAUUAGUGAAUGUUUAUUAAAAAAUUUUAAAAACAAUAAAAAUAUGGAUGAAUUACACAAAUAAUCAUUCAAUUACUAGUGUGUGUUUCUAUUUUAAUCACUCAAGUUAGAAAAAGAUUCUAUUUUAGUCACUAGCAUCAUCCACAUUUUAUAUUUUGAUUGCUCUUUCAUUAAAUCUAAUGACAAUAACAUUAGUGAUUAAAAUAGAAUUAUUUUUAAAUUUAGGUGACUAAAGCAGAAACACAUUAAUAGUUUAGUGAUUACUUCUAAAAAUAAUGAUGGAUGAAAUUAGUAGGGAUAUUAUAGGCAUAAGUGCAUUGUCAAGUUUACUUGGUAAAUUAUGCUUCACAUAUAUUUUCUAAAAAAAGAAUCCAAAUGUUAGGUACACAAUUCUUAAUUAUCAAAAUUCAGCAUCAUAGUGUAAACAUCAAAUGUAUUUAAUAUUUUUGAAAAUACUUGAUUCCAAGAAAAAGUUAAAAGAAAAUUCAAAGGUGAGGUACACACAACAUUUGUUUGAGAAAUGCUGAUUGGUGUGUAAAAUCAUAGUCAAGGUCUUCAAAUCAUGUAUUUGUUAAUGGUUUUUGUGGACCGGAAUGGUAUUAGUUGGGUUUGGUGAUUAUUGUCAAAUCAGAUGGGAUUAUUAUAAUACAAGAGAAUCGUCAAGUUUACUUGGUAAACCCCGCUUUAAAAAGUGACGAAGAAACACAAAUCUUAAUUAUCACAUAGAGAAUAACCAAAUAUAUGUCUUCGGUGGAAUAUUUUGGGGACAUUUAGGAAGGUUGGAUUACGUAGAGUUAUAAGAUAAUUAGAAAUAUCACAUAAACGAAGUAAGUCACUAUCAAUCCAAAAGAGAAAUGGAGUCAUAACAUCAAAAUUAUUGGGUACUUGUUGAAGCAUAUCUUGAUAAGAAAUGAGUGCUUGAUCAACAAACAAGUGCAUAAUAUUCCUAGCUCUUUCAAUGGUACCUGUACAAUAAUAAACAACUAGACCCGUAUUUUUAUUAAGUUGGUUUUCAACUUCCUACUUAUAGAGAACAUAUUUUUGUAUAGCUUCGUCUUUGCUCUUAAGACCAUAUUCCGUAAUCCAGCCAUGAAUUUUCAUGAAAUUUCUACAAAUAGUUGUAAAAUGCAUAAGAAAAACAAAGUUCAUAAUGCAACAAAGAAUGAAAAUUCUCCCCCUUGAUAUGUGACUCUCACAACUUUUUUCGAUGGAUAUGAGUACAAGUUUAUAUGCUUUUUUAAGUUUUUAUAACUUUUUUUUUCUUAUUUUUAGAGAAUUAUAUCUUCUUGCACAUAGUACCUAUGGUCUUUGUAUUUGAUAAAAGUUAUACAUUUUGGUAUUUCAAGAUAAUAAUAUUAAUUUUUUAGUGUUUAAUUUACGUUUUAGAGUUGUUUUGAUGAAAAUUUAUAAUUAGUUAAUAUUAUUAGCAAUUAAAUUUCAUCAAAUCAACCCAAAAAAUCUAAUUAAAUUACAUCCAUUGAACUGUAUUUUAAAAAUUAAACGUAAAAUUAAACAAAUUCAAAAUUAACAUUAAAUUUGUUCUAUGAACAAAUAAUGAAAAUUUUAGGCAUAAUAAUAUUAACAAUUAACUUUUAUCAAAUUAAUCCUAAAAUUUGAAUUAAACACUAAAAAAUUAUUACUAUUACCUUUAGAUAUCAAAUUAUUGCAUGCAAAAAAAAGUACAGAAUGUGGAGUUGUUGAUUAAUGUGAACCAAAAACACGUUCUCUUUAAUUGUUUUAAUUGGUCCUCAAUUGUGAAAGAGGAUGGCUGGCUUUAUUUAUUUAAUUACUACACCCAUUGGAGUUUCACAUGAAUGGGAUCCUUAUGCACUUAGUUUUAUUUGGUGCAGUUAUGAUGGGUUCACAUGGCAACUGGUUUGCAAAGAGACGAAGAUGAAGUCAGACUCAAUAACAAGACGAAGAUGGGUGUUCCAAUUAAUCAGUGUUAACAAAAAUGUCAAGGGCUGUCUUGAUGGCAAGAACUUCAGCAAUAUUUGAAUCCGAGCAUCUCCUUUUUGAGAAUUAUCUAUUUAAUUUUUUUUCUAAAUAUGUUUUGAUUAAAAGAGAUGGAAUUAUUUUUAGUUUUACCAAAAAUAAGGAAUCCAAUGUACAAUACAUUGAAGAAAAGACAAAGAAAGCCAACUAGGUUUUCAGAAUUUUCUUCACAAUAAAGAGAUUAAAUUAUAUAAAUUUAAAAUAUAGGGAAUAAAUUUUAAAUUUAAUAUUAGUUAAUAUAAAUCAAUAAUAGAUUAAUUAUUUCGAUUAAAAAUAUUAACAUGAUUUUUUUUUGUUUUUAAAAAUACACUUUUAACUCAUUAUGUCAACAUGAAUCAUAAAACCGUGUUGACUAAAAGAAAUUUGGCUAAGAAAAACGCCUUCAAUCUCUUUCCCGUUAAUAAAAGCAUACCAAAGAUGAUGCAUAUUUUACGCCACAACCCAAGCAAAACUCACUUGCUAUAUUUCUCUUUCUUUUGCUUCAAGCACACUAUCAAUACUCUUUCAUGGCUUCUUCUUCUUCAUCAUCUUCUACUCUAAUGAAGUAUCAUGUUUUCUUGAGCUUCAGAGGUGAAGACACGCGCCUUAAUUUCACCACUCACUUACUUCAAGCUUUGAAAGACAAGGGACUUGAUGUUUUCUUCGAUGAAGAAAAACUGGAAAGGGGGGACCAGCUUUCACAAGCACUUUCUCGAGCAAUUGCAGUCUCAAAUAUCUCAAUCAUCGUUUUGUCUGCAGACUAUGCCUCUUCGAAAUCAUGCUUGGCUGAACUCUCUAACAUCAUGGACCGCUAUCGCACCAAAAAACAAAUUGUUCUUCCCAUCUUUUACCAUGUUAACCCCUCUGAUGUCGAGAAUCUUGGUGGGAGUUUUAAGACAUCCUUUGAUCAGCAUGAAGCAACGAGGUCAGUUGAUGAAUUAGUGAAACGAUGGAAAACUGCUUUUGCUGAAGUUGGUAAAUUAAAAGGGUGGCAUAUAGAUGGAAGCAUCUCGGAUAGGUAACUAUAUUUGUCUCAUCUCCUUAUAUUUGACUUAUCUUUGUUUAGAACUUCAUAGAUAUACUUCUUCUAUUAUUUGCUAGACCUGAAACCCAGUACAUCAAGGAUAUUGUUGUGUACGUUAUGCAAAAUUUGAUGAAGCAUCAAGUUUUCUUAAGCUUAGGUGAAGACACACGCCUCAACUUCUCCAAUCACCUAGUCAAUUAUUUGGAAAACGUAGGAAUUAAUGUCUUCCCUCAUAACGAAACACUAGGAAAAGGAGAGAAACUUCCACCAAUAUAUUCUCGAGCAAUUUCGGCCUCAAAUCUCUCAAUCCUCAUUUUAUCUAAAGACUAUGCUUCUUCGAUAUCGUGCUUGGUUGAACUUUCUAGCAUCAUGGAUCGCAAGCGCGAGUCCACUGACAAACAUAUUGUUCUUCCCAUCUUUUACCAUGUUGAUCCUUCCGAUGUGCGACAUAUUGGUGGGAGUUUUAAGACAUCCUUUAAAAAGCAUGAAUUAGAGCAACCAGCUGAUAGAGUAAUACAAUGGAGAACUGCUUUUGCAGAGGUCGGUAAAUUAAAAGGGUGGCAUAUAGAAGGAGGCAAAUUUGACAGGUAACUAAUUUUUUCUCAUCUUCUUGUAUUCGACUUAUAUUUGUUUUAGAUUUCAUAUUUACUGGUUUAUAUUUUGUUUUUCUAGACCUGAAAUCCAGUACAUUGAAAAUGUUGUUGAAUAUGUUAUAAAAAAGUUGACGAAUAUUAAGUCUGGAAGUGCUUCCGAAGAAUUGGUUGGAAUAGAUGAUCAGAAAACGAUAAUUCUGGGUCUGAUUGAGCAAGAAGAUUGUCGGGUAUUAGGACUUUGGGGAAUGGGUGGUCAAGGCAAAACAACCCUUGCUGAGGUUGUAUAUAAAGAAAUCUCUUCAAAGUUUGAAAGUCAUUGGUUUCUUCAAAAUGUUAGAGAGAGAAUAAAACAAGGGAAGAAACCUUUACGAAAUGAACUUUUUUCGAAAUUAUUAAACUCAGAUGUUGAUAUAGGCACCCCCUCCAUAGGAUCCACUUUAACUCAAGACAGGCUCAACAAUAUGAAAGUAAUUGUUGUCCUUGAUGAUGUUGAUGACUUAGACCAAAUAGAUUUUAUGGGUGUUAAACAUUUUGGUUAUGGAAGUAAAAUCAUUCUGACAUCUAGAGAUAAACAAGUGCUUCAGAGUGGAGAAGCUGGUACAAUACAUGAGGUGAAGCCAUUAAAUGACAACGACUCUCUUCAACUUUUUUCUACCUUUGCGUUUAGGCAGUUGAGUCCCGCGGUUGGUUUUCGAGAAUUAUCCUAUAGGUUUGUAAAGUACACCCAAGGCAAUCCACUUGCUCUUAAAGUUUUGGGUUCUGGUUUAUAUAAGAAGCCUUCAAAAUAUUGGGAAAGUAAGGCGGAGAAGCUAAAGGAUUUUCCCCCAGAAGAACGAAUUUCAGAGACUUUGAAAAUUAGUUAUUAUGGGCUAAGUAGAGAAGAGCAGAAUAUAUUUCUUGACAUUGCAUGCUUCUUUAAAGGGGAACCCAUAGAAAGAAUAAAAUAUAUUCUAAAUGGUUGUUAUAAGAAUGUAGAGAGUGAAAUAAUCAAUUUGGUCGACAAGUGCAUGAUUAAUGUCUCUUCUGGUCGGGUUCUAUUGCGCCAUUCCAAUUGUUUUGGGGAUGGAGUUUACAUUUCUAUGCAUGAUAUGCUUGAAGAGAUGGGAAAGAAUAUUGUUUGUGAAGAAUCUAAACCCCCUAGAAAGUGGAGUAGAUUGUGGUAUCAUGAACACGUGGAACAAGUAUUCAAAUCUAAUAAAGUAAGCUCUAAUUGUAUUUAUAUAUAUUUUUUAAUAUGCUUUAUGAGAUACUGUUACUAUAUAAAAUUAUACCUUAGAUAUUGUAUAAAGUAUUAUCCCUUUUAAUUAGUAUUUAAAAAAAAUAUUUAUUAUCUAAGAUAUAUAAUGAUCAUGUCUUAGGUAUAAUAUAGAAACUGUUCAAGGUUUAUGACUUAGUUAAAUACUUAAUGGGUUGAUUUGAAAAAAAAAAGAUAAAAUAAAAGAAAACACCUUUUUGUAUCUAAAAAUACUCAAUUAGUUUCCGCUUGUGCUGAUAUAAUUACUUUUUCUUUUAUUCAUGCUAAUAUUUGAUAAAUUGAUUUUUAUUAUCAGGGGACAGAUCGAAUUCAAGGAAUAAAGUUAGACAUAUCACGUAUGGAUAAUCUAUUUUUCAGCCCUUCUAUUUUUGAAAGCAUGAUUAAUCUUAGGUACAUCAUGUUUUAUUUUUCUUCGAGUUCGUGGGAGAAAUGUGUGGAAAAAAUGAAACUACUUACAGACCAAAUUGCUAGUGUAUCUCUUCCGGAUAAACUAGAGUAUUUUCGAUGGGAUUAUUACCCUUUUGAAUCUUUACCAUCAAGUUUUAAUCCAAAGUGCCUUAUUGUGUUAGAAUUACCACAUGGAAACAUAAAAGAAUUUUGGACUGAAGGUCAUCAGGUAUAUAUACUUUUCAUCCAAGAACUUUUUUUGAGAAAAAAGCAUUUAUAAGUGAUAUAGCAUUUAAUCAUAUGAUAACAUAUUUUUAUUAAUUUUUUUAAAAGAAGAAAUAUCAUUUGAAUUAAUACAUCCAAUACAUCAAAUAUAAAUUUUUAUUUUGAUAAAUUCUAAGUAAAUGAUGCUUUAAAGUAUUGAAACUACUUUAUGUUGUCAUCCUGUGCAGGAUCUUGUUCAUUUACGAGAAAUUGACCUUUUUUAUUGCAAAAAUUUGAAGAAGAUCCCUAAUUUAUUAGGAGCCGUCAACCUUGAAACACUUCACUGUGGAAAAUGCAAAAGUUUGGUUGAACUUCCUUGCUGCUACCAUUUGACAUCACUUAAGACCCUUCACCUUGAGGGAUGUUGUAGUCUCAAGAAGUUUCCCCAGAUCCCAAAUAACUUUUCUGUUUUAGAUUUAUCAGAAACCGGAAUAGAAGAAGUACCUGAUUUAAUUGAGCACCUCGACAAACUUGAAAGGCUGGAGUUAUCAGACUCAAGGGUAAAAGAUGUAUCAAGCAAUAUUUUAAAGUUAAAAUCCCUUUAUUACGUAAAUCUUUGUCGUUGUCCAAUCGUCAAAUUUCCAACUGUUGAUGUGCCCUCACCAAGCAUGUGGUCUACAGCCAUUAGGAUUAUGUACAUGAAUGGUUGCGAGAGCCUCAAAUUACUCUCAGAGGUUCCACCAUAUCUGCAAGACUUGAGAGUACAUAACUGCAAAUCAUUAGAAAAAGUAUCCUUCGCAGAUCAAAAUUUAUGUCAGUUUGAUUCUCUAGAUGAUGAUUAUGAUGAUGAUCAUGUUCACACUGUGUUUACCAUGCUAUUCUGUAAUUGCAUCAACUUAAAUCAAGAGUCAAUUGAUAACAUUGAGGAAAAUGCCAUGCUCAAAAUUGGAUCCCUAGCUAAGAAAUGGGCAACGCGAUAUGAUGUUUGGGAAUUCAAAUAUUGUUACAACAUUCCAAGUUUGAUUUGUUGUUUCCCAGGAAACAAAAUUUCAACAAAUAAGUUCAAGUGUCAGAGCAUGAAUUCUUCCUUAAGUUUGAAGAUAGCCCCAAAUGGGGGUAGUGGCAGCAGAUUUUUGGUUUUUGCUAUCUGCUUUGUGGCUAAUCUCACUCACCGCCAUGACUUUCCAGAACUUCGAUAUAUUUGUGAGUACCAACUUACAGCCGCCGGUGGUGGCAAUGGUGGUGGUUAUGAAAAGUUCAGAACUGAGAUAUGUCUCCGUAGUAUUCCUGCUCCGAAGAUGUGCAUGGGUGAUCACGUGUUUAUUCUAUCUGGCGUGGACAUGGUUAAAGAAGACAAGAAUUAUGAGGAGGCAUCAUUUGAAUUCUACAUCAAAUAUAACGUUUACCCUGAAGAAGAAGAAGAAGAUGAAGAAGAAGAAGAAGAAGAAGAUAAAGAAGAAGAAGAUGAAGAAGAAGAAGAUUAUGAAGUAGAAGACGAUUUCAAGGUAAAGUCUAUCAAGGUGGAGAGAUGUGGUGUUCAUGUAUUUUACGUGGAUGCAGAGAGUUAUACAGAUGAUACAGAUGCUACAGAUGAUACAGAUGCUACUGAAAAGAGACAUGCUGGGAACAAAAGAAGCUUUAGCCAUGAUGGUAAAGAAAGGGAUGGAGUACUUAAAAGAUUGAAAUAGUUUGUAUCUCUUUCCAUCUUUGGCUCUGCUUUUGAGGAGUUUCAACCUCUCAAUUAUGUCAUCUAAAUGCAUAGGUAGGGGUUUCAUUUUUUCUUAUUAUCAUACAUUUUUCAGUUUUUUCAUUUCAUUUUUCAUAUUGCCAUACUUUUGUUUUCCACAGUUUUUAGUGUUAAAUUUUUAACUUAUAAAUUAAUGACAGAAAAUGAAGUGCUUUAAUUAAUUAAAACCAAUCAGAAUGAAUCUGACUUGCUCUGCUUUACAAAUUACUUUCUUUUAGAAGGUGCUUUGCCAUACUGAAACCUUGUAGUUCCACAUUGUAAAUGUUAAAAGCAUAAUUUAUGAACAUAAAAUUGGAAAUUUGUUUAAUAGUUUGUGGUAGUUGCUUCUUUUUUUCUCAUCUCCAUUCCCCUGUUGUGUCUGUGUUCUUUUGUAGAUAUAGCAUAUAUUGUCCAAGAAGGGAAUUCUCCAUAUAUAUUAAUUAAUUUGGAGGAAAAUUGAACGGCAGUUGGAGAUUUCAAUACAGUAGCAAAAUGAUUCUGCUUUGGAGUUGAUACAAUAUCCAUAGGGGAUUUUGGUGAGUACCAAAAUUCAGAUAUUAAAAUUCAUACUUAAUUCUUAUUGACAGUUGACUUGUUAUUGGUUGGUUUUUUUAAAUUAUAGGACUAAUGGUGGACUCGAUUCAGCUUCAUUGUUUAGUUUCCAGCAUUGGUGUCAUCUGGUAUCUCAAUACUUGCUGCAUUUUCGUUCAAUCAUAGCUUCAUUCAUUAGAAAGAUUGGUUAUUUGCGAGAUUGGUUUUUCUUAUAUCCUUUUCUUUUGUGUUGAUGUAAGACUAGGGAAUGACAGAUCAUUGAGAACACCUGAGCUAUAAGACCUUCAUUUUUUUUUACUGAAUUCAAAGUAAUCUUUUGAGGCCCUUUCUAGUUCUGGCAAUUCAGUCUUGGUGGAGAAGUAAGUUAACUUUGACUUAGACUUAUUAUUAUGAUUUUAGGUUCAUAUAAUGAUUUUCAGCAUCCUCACCUUCUUUUCCCCAUAUUUAUCAAUGGGAUUAUAUAAAUCCAGAAUUUGCUAGAGAUCUCAAAGCUUGUGGGCUGAACACGUGGAGGUGGAGGCAACUUUUGACAGUUUUCAUUCUCAAGCUAGAUUGGGUUAGUUUCAUGGUAGAGCCAUUGGAGUCGAUAUUUUCUUAUCUUGGAUUUUGAUUAUCAUAUCAGUUUGGGCUGAAAUUUCUUUGUAUGUUACUGCCUCUCAUGUUGUUUGAGCAUUGCAGUGAAGAGAUAUUAAGAUUCAUACUUGAAUUCUUUUUGGCAAUUAACUUGUUAUUGGUUGGUUUUGAUUCAUAGGAUCGGUGGUGGAUAUCAUUCAGCUUAAUUGUUUAGGUUCCACAAUUGGUGCUCAUGCCAUGGGCAGUAAGUAGAGAUUUAAUCAUAUUGUAUCUCAAUACUAUCUGCAUUUUACUUCAAUGAUUCAUUCACCCAUUGAUUUAUGUUUCAUAUUUCCUCAAAACGUUAGUAUAUAUAUAUAUGUUUCCAGUUCAUGAUUUCUGAUUUAUAUUCAUGUUAGCUAAGGUAAACCUACCAACUAUUCCCUAUAUAUAAUCUAUUUGCUAUGUUUUAUUAUUUUGAAUUUUAUGACUAUGAUCUGUUGAUUCCAUAAAACUUGGAUGAAAGUCAAGCCGGACACAAAUUCAAUACUCUACUGGAAUUGAAGUUGCAGAUUAUGGGUGGUUUUGAUAUCUUCUUUCUCACCAACAAAUGAAGUUCCCACAAAAUUACUGGUGUUAAGGUGAAGGUUGUGAAUCAAUGCAAAAUCCACAUUUAUAGAUGUGCCCUUUUACCUAGAGAUUAAGCUUUUACUUUUUGAAUUUGGUAAUGUGAGGGGAAUAAAGAUGGCAAUGGUUGAUGAAAGGAAAGCAGAUGAGGGAAUAAAUGACAGAUGUUUGUAACAAGUAAGCUUUUAUGAUGUUCAAUUUCUUCUACUGAAUGAUUUCUUUAUAUUGUUGUUGAACUGAGAUAUUGAAGCAGUACUGAAACUUGUCAACAGAGUUGCCUUGUUCAUCCCAUCCAGCUUUGCUUCAACGCUUUCUGGAUUUUGGCCAUUGAGAGGAAGCAUAUGAUCUUGGGUAAAUUACUUUUGACUCAUUCUGAUUAUUAGUAUCCUAAUGGCAUUCUUUUCCCCUGAUUUACCAAUGGAUUAUAUAAAUGCAUGCAGAAUUAGGCAAGUUGCUCUUAUGUCAAAAUAAGUUGAAUGAACACAUGGAACCUGGAUGUUAUUUUCAAUGCCAACCCUGUCACAGUUUUCAUUCUCAAGCUAGAUUGAUGAUCUUUUAUGUUUACCCCAUAGAGGAACCCAACAUAAACACUUGGAAGAAAAAACUCCAAAUGAUUUUGGUUUAGUUGAAACUUCAAAUUGCAGAGCUGGUUUCAUGGUAAAGCCAUUUGACUUGAUUGUUAUAUCAGUUUGGGCUAAAACUUGAAUCAAUUUUCCCCUUUUGUAAUUAAAAUUCCAGAAUUUUAUUCUGUUUUGGAAUUGAAAGGAUGUAACAUUGGAAUUGGUUUGUACAUUCGUUUUUAUGAGAUGGUGUCCAACAAGUUCAAGAUUUGUAGCUUAGUAAUUAAAAUAACUUUCUGUAACACUAAACUAUGAUCUACUAUAAGAAAAACACAAAUUUUUAUACUUCUCUGAUUAUUUUAUAAUGCCAUGUGACUUAAAUUUUUAGUAAUUAAAAAGAUUCUGCUUUGGAGUUCAUAAAAUAUCCAUGCGAAGCCGUGGUGGGUACCAUAGUUCAGAUAUGGAGCUUCGUACUUAAAUUCUUUUAGGCAGUUGACUUGUUAUUGGCUGGUUUUAAUUCAUAGGAUCAGUGGUGGACUUCAUUCAGCUUCAUUGUUUAGUUUCCAGCAUUGGUUCUUAAUACUUACUGCAUUUGCUUGCUUAUGUCCUUGGUAUUUGUUGUGCUUUUUAUUUGCAAGUUUAAUGCAACGUAACAUAUGUUAACCAAAACAGAGUGUCAAUAGAGAAUUUGUUGCGCGGAAGCGUGUGAAAGAGAAAAAAUAUUAUACUGAAAAAUCACACUAAGUUCAAUUCCCAGAAAAGAGAGGUAGAUCACGAAGAUCACUUAAAUACCAAGUCUUUCCUAGCCAGAAUAUCCCUCUAUCGUAAUUUAAUAGCACAAUAAAUCACUACAAUCACAUUCACAAAAUAUGCAAAACAAAUAAUAAAGAACACCAGAAUUUUAACGAGGUUCAGCAAAUUUUGCCUACGUCCUCGGGCACUACUAAAUAUAUUUCACUCCAAAAAUUACAAGUGAAAUUUACAAAUAGAGAGAGAGAAUAAUGCCUUAAGUAAAGAAUGGCAAUUAUGGGAUGAAGAAAGUAAGAAAUGGUUAAGCCUAUUUAUAGUUGAGGUUCAAGGAUCAACUUGCAAUGUCCCUAUACAAUUAGGGACCAAAAUUGUAAUUAUACCAUACCAACUUUUAACCCAACUUACCAACCAAUAUUACUUUCUAACUUCGGUGCCCACCCCAUUUGACUUUUCAAACAAUGGUGGGUUCCAAUAGAAUUGAUGGUAGAUCUUUGGAAAUGCCAUUAUGCUUGAGCUUUACCUAUACUAGAAAAAGGAGGAACAAGUAAGCUUUUCAAGAGCUUGAAUUUCUUCCAAUGAAUGCUUGCUUUAUGUUUGUGCUUGAACUGAGAUAUUGAGGCAGUACUGCAACUUGUCAACAGAUAUGCCUUCUUGAUCUUAUUCAACAUUGAGCCAAUGCAAAUUGAAGCCAUUUCUUAAGCUCUUUCUGGUUUUUGAACCUUCAGAGGAACCAUAUGCUCUUCGGCAAUUUAGCCUUCCUAGAGAGGUAAUUUACCUUUGUUUCAUUGUGAUGUUUUUAGCAUCCUCAUGACCUCUUUCCCCUAAUUUAUCAAUUGGUUUAUAUGAAAUCAGAAUUUGCCAAAAUUGGUUAUCUCAAAACUUGUGGGAUGAUGGAGCUGGAGAUUAUAUUCAGUGGCACCCCUUUCACAGUUUUCACUCUCAAAGCUAGAUUGUUGAGCUUCGAAGUUUUACCCCGUAGAGGAAACCAACAAGAAACUAGAAUAUUGGCAUUCACAAUCAACUCAGUCUCUAAGAAAUAACUAUUCCAUCACCUUAUUUUCUUUGUAUAAUUAUAUAUUUAAUUUAAUUGAUACUGUGGAUGAUAAAUACUAUUUUUAAUGUUAACUUUUUAGUAUUAUUUUAAUUAUAUUUGUUGUUAUCUUUUAGUGACUAAUCAUAAUCCUUGCAGUAGAUUUUGAAUAUAUCUAUUGGAUAAGAAGAUUUUGGAUAUAUCUCUUGGAUAAGAAUGAUAAUAUGGACAAGUAUACUUGCUGCUUAGGAUUUAAGUUUAGAAAACAUUUUCUACAAUAAAUAGGUGUAAAAAGAAGGUGAUAAAUAAUUGGACGAGGUCAUGAGAGUGGAUUAUCUGUUUAAAUCCGAAGUGUGGUAAAUAAUUGUCACAGUAAUACCAAAGAUGAUGCUACUCAUAAUUCUUUUCAUUUUUCUUCUUCUAUUUCUUCUUCAAAAGUACGAAAACAAGAGAAGCCCAGCAAAGGAAAGCUCCCAUGGUGCAUCUCUUUUGCCUCAAUCAGACAAUCCAUACUCUUUGACUUCUUCUUCUUCUUCUUGUCAAGUGAAACAUCAAGUUUUCUUGAGCUUCAGAGGUGAAGACACACGCCUUAACUUCACCAGUCAUCUACUCAAAGCUUUGAAGGACACGGGACUGAAUGUCUUCUUCGAUGAAGAAAAACUAGAGAAAGGGGAGCAGCUUUCACCAGCACUUUCUCAAGGAAUUGCAGCCUCAAAUCUCUCAAUCCUGGUUUUAUCUAAAGACUAUGCUUCUUCAAAAUCGUGCCUAGCUGAACUCUCUGCCAUCAUGGACCGCAAGCACACACAAGGACAUAUUGUUCUUCCCAUCUUUUACCAUGUUGAUCCUUCCCAUGUGAGGAAUAUUGGUGGGAGUUUUACAACAUCCUUUGAAGAGCAUGAAUCGAAGAGGCUAGUUGAUGAAGUGAAGGGAUGGAAAGCAGUCUUUGCUGAAGUUGGUAAAUUAAAAGGGUGUGUUAAGAAAUGGCUUAAAAUUGGUAGUGGAUUGUUGUUGUUGGUAGUGGGUUGUUGGUGGUAGUGGAUUAGUGGAUGGUUGUUGGUGUCCAUUUUCAACCACAAAUCUUUGCCAAAGUUUUGGACAAUUAUGUCCUUGAACUCUCUUAUAAAUAGAGAGGUUCAUUAGCCAUAUUUAUCAUCCCAAACCAAGAGAGAGCAAAUCUUGUUCUUUGAAAGCUAGGAUUUUAGCUUUCGGGUUUUCUAUAGGGGUUGAGAGUUGUGAGGUUCUCGGGUUGUGUCUUGAGUGUAAAACACUUGUAAUCUUCAUCUUGUUAUAGUGAAAUUUCUUUUCGCCUCUGCCCGUGGACGUAGGCAUUAAAGCCGAACCACGUAAAUCCUUGUGUUCACUUUAUUUUUCGUUCCGGUCAAUUUACUUGUAGUCAUAUCGGAGUUCUCGAAUCGAUCCUUUCCGCAACAAAUUGGUAUCAGAGCGUAGUUGAAGGAGUGAUAAUAUUUUCUGAAUUGCCCUGUGACUGCAGCUUUGUCUGAUCUUUCACAUCAGGAAGAAAAUAUUAUCAUUCAUUCAAAGGUUCCAAAUUAUGGCUACAAGUGUUUCAUCGACUAAGUAUGAUGUCGAGAAAUUUACCGGGAAAAAUAGUUUCAGUUUAUGGCGCAUCAAGAUGCGGGCAGUGCUGGUUCAACAAGGAUUGCUAAAAGCAUUGUCUGGUAAAGAUAAAUUACCAAGCACGCUUUCGGAAGAGCAAAAGGAUGACAUGCUAGAAAGAGCACAUAGUGCUAUUCUGCUAUGUCUAGGAGAUGAAGUGCUACGAGAAGUAGCGGAUGAGAAAACCGCGUCCGGUUUGUGGCUCCGGUUAGAAAGCAAGUACAUGACGAAGUCAUUGACGAACCGGCUCUACCUCAAGCAAAGACUCUAUGCCCUGAAGAUGGAGGAAGGUACACCUGUUUCCCAGCACCUGGAUAAAUUCAAUUCCAUUAUCAUGGAUUUGAAUAAUAUCGAUAACAAAAUCGAUGAUGAGGACCAAGCAAUAAUUGUUUUGUGUUCUUUGCCUCCCUCGUAUGAGAAUUUUGUUGAUACAAUGAUGUACGGUCGUGAUGACCUGACUCUAGAGGAGGUGAAAAAUGCCUUAAGUUCCAGUGAGUUGAGGAAGAAAAUCACUGGUAAGGUGGUCGAAAACAAUGAAGGCGAAGGCUUGGUUGCUCGAGGAAGAUCCAAGGCAAAGGGUGGAAGUUCAAGUAAAAGCCAUCCUAGAUCGCAGUCCAAGAAGAGAAUACAGUGCUACUACUGUAAGAAGUACGGGCACAUGAAGGUAGAUUGUCCGAAAAGGAAGGAGAAAUCAGAAUCACAGGAGCAACAAAAUGAUCGUGCGAAUGUAGCUGAUGCAGAUUCUUCAAGUGAUGCCGAGAUCGUUCUUGCAGUAUCCGACUCUUACGCUGGUGGGAGAUGGAUUCUUGAUACGGGAGCUACAUUUCAUAUAAGUACUUCGAAAGAUGCAUUCUCAACAUACGAGAAGCAUUCUGGUUCAGUACUAAUGGGAAAUGACCACGCAUGUCAAGUCAUGGGGAUUGGCACAGUUCGUAUAAAGAUGUUUGACGGUAUUGUUAGAACUCUAACUGAUGUUCGGCACAUUCCAGAAAUGAAGAAAAAUUUGAUCUCUUUGAGUACGUUGGACAAGAAAGGCUUUCGGUACUCUGCUGAAGGUGGAGUUCUCAAGGUAUUCUCGGGUGCUUUGACUGUGAUACGUGGUAAUUUGGAGCGGGGCCUUUACUUCCUCGAUGGUUCCUCGGUUACAGGUGUUGCGGGAGUGUCAUCAUCAGAUGAUCUAGAUUCUGACACCACGAAGUUAUGGCAUAUGCGGCUCGGGCAUAUGAGCGAGAGAGGCUUAUCGGUGCUAAGCAAACGAGGAUUAUUGUCUGGGCAGUGUACAGGAAAGUUGAAUUUCUGUGAGCACUGCGUCUUCGGUAAGCAGACUCGGGUAAAGUUCAGCACUGGGAUUCACAAGACAAAAGGCACAGUGGAUUACUUCCAUUCUGACCUUUGGGGGCCUUCUCCGACAAUUUCUAAAGGUGGUUACAGAUAUCUGCUUACCUUUAUCGAUGAUUACUCGAGAAAGGUUUGGGUGUAUUUUCUGAAGAGCAAGUAUGAGGUUCUCAUCAACUUCAAGCAAUUUAAAGCUUUGAUCGAAAAUCAAACAGGAAAGAAGAUCAAGCGAUUCCGGACGGAUAAUGGCUUGGAGUUUUGCUCAGGUGAAUUCAAUGAGUUCUGCAAAAAUGAAGGAAUAGUGAGACACCGCACUGUUCGUCGAACACCACAACAAAAUGGAGUUGCAGAACGCAUGAAUAGAACUCUCUUGGAGCGAGCUCGUUGCAUGCGAUCAAAUGCUGGGCUCGGUGAAGAAUUUUGGGCUGAAGCUGUUAAUACUGCUUGUUAUUUGGUUAACAGAUCUCCGUCAACAGCUAUUGAGCUGAAGACUCCUGAGGAAGUAUGGUCUGGUUCUCCUGCUGAUUACUCUGGUUUAAGAGUGUUUGGCUGCCCUGCGUAUGCUCAUGUAAAUGAGGGAAAACUCAAACCGAGGGCGAAGAAAUGCAUAUUUCUUGGAUACGGCCAAGGGGUGAAAGGAUACAGGUUGUGGUGUCCUGAUCCGGUUUCGUCCAAGUUCAUCAUCAGCAGAGAUGUGACUUUUGAUGAGUCAUCCAUGCUUCGAUCCACCACAAAUUCCCGGGAAAAGGAGGAGUCAGAUAGAAUGGGAGAUCACGGUGUUGAGAAGCAGGUGGAGUGUCAGGUGGACGCUCCAAUUCCUACGGAAGGUACUUCAGUCCAGGAUGAUCAAGUUGAGGUGCAAGAUUCCGAUGAAGAUAAGUCACCUCAAGAAAAACCAUAUAGCAUUGCCACUGGAAGAACGAAGAGACAAAUCAAACCAAAUCCGCGUUACGCUAAUCUGGUGUCUUUCGCGCUCAGUGUGGCGGAGUCCAUUGGUAUAGAACCUUCCAGUUAUAAUGAGGCUGUCACGUGUGAUGAGUCGGCACAGUGGGCAAUUGCUAUGAGUGAGGAGAUAGAAUCUCUUCACAAGAACCAUACUUGGGAGUUGGUUAAGCCGCCAAGUAACCAGAAGAUAGUUGGUUGCAAAUGGGUCUUCAAGAAAAAGGAAGGCAUCCUAGGGGUUGAAGCAACUAGAUUCAAGGCACGAUUGGUUGCUAAAGGCUUCACUCAGAAAGAGGGGAUUGACUACAAUGAAGUUUUCUCCCCAGUCGUAAAGCAUUCUUCCAUUCGUAUAUUACUUGCCAUGGUGGCCAAGUCUGAUCUAGAACUUGAGCAGCUUGACGUAAAAACGGCGUUCUUGCAUGGUGAGCUCGAGGAAACAAUCUACAUGCGUCAACCAGAGGGUUUUACAGUUCCUGGUAAAGAAGACCAUGUCUGUCUAUUAAAGAAGUCUUUAUAUGGAUUGAAACAAUCCCCAAGGCAGUGGUACAAGCGGUUUGAUAGCUUCAUGAUUCAGCAUGGUUACACAAGAUGUGACUAUGAUGCUUGUGUCUAUCAUCGGAAGCUCUCAGAUGGUUCGCACAUUUAUUUGUUGCUGUAUGUUGAUGACAUGUUAAUUGCUUCCAAAAACAUGUCGGAAAUCAACAAGUUAAAGUCGCAGUUGAGUGGUGAGUUCGAGAUGAAGGAUCUGGGUGCUGCCAAGAAAAUUUUGGGCAUGGAUAUUCACAGAGAUCGCAAGGCGGGCAAGCUUCGUGUGUCGCAGAAGAACUACAUUGAAAAGGUUCUUCAACGCUUCGGCAUGGAUAAAGCGAAAACUGUGAGUACUCCGUUGGCACCACAUUUCAAACUCUCUGCAGAGUUGUCACCACAAUCUGAUGAAGAAAAGCAGCAAAUGUCUCACAUUCCAUACUCGAGUGCAGUUGGAAGCGUGAUGUAUGCAAUGGUUUGCACUCGUCCAGACAUUUCACAUGCAGUUAGUGUGGUCAGCAGAUACAUGAGUUGUCCUGGCAAGGAACACUGGCAGGCCGUGAAAUGGAUUCUCAGGUACUUGAGAGGUUCUGCAGAUUUAUGCUUGGUAUAUGAUCAGAGUGACUGCACUAGCAGUGUCACGGGCUAUGCGGACUCUGAUUAUGCUGGAGAUCUGGACAAAAGAAGAUCUCUGACGGGUUAUGUUUUCACUUAUUCUGGAGGAGCCAUUAGUUGGAAAGCUGUGUUACAGUCUACCGUAGCCUUAUCUACGACUGAGGCGGAAUAUAUGGCGUUAGCAGAAGCAGUGAAAGAAGCAUUGUGGAUGAAAGGUCUAGUAAGCAGUUUGGGUUUACAACAGGAUUUCACUGUUGUAUUUUGCGAUAGCCAGAGUGCCAUACAUCUGACUAAAAAUCAGAUGUUUCAUGAACGGACCAAACACAUUGAUGUCAGAUAUCAUUUUGUUCGGGAACAUGUUACGCAAGGUGACAUUGUUAUCAGCAAGGUUGCUACCGAGAAGAAUCCUGCAGAUAUGUUAACUAAGGUGAUCCCUGCAUAUAAGUUCAAGCAUUGCUUGGACUUGAUAGGUAUUCGGGAUUGAUUAGCGCCAGAGAGGCGUUUGGAAGAGGUGAUCCAGUUCACUAUGAUGUUCAGCUUGGUAAAUUUCAAGCCAAGGUGGAGAUUUGUUAAGAAAUGGCUUAAAAUUGGUAGUGGAUUGUUGUUGUUGGUAGUGGGUUGUUGGUGGUAGUGGAUUAGUGGAUGGUUGUUGGUGUCCAUUUUCAACCACAAAUCUUUGCCAAAGUUUUGGACAAUUAUGUCCUUGAACUCUCUUAUAAAUAGAGAGGUUCAUUAGCCAUAUUUAUCAUCCCAAACCAAGAGAGAGCAAAUCUUGUUCUUUGAAAGCUAGGAUUUUAGCUUUCGGGUUUUCUAUAGGGGUUGAGAGUUGUGAGGUUCUCGGGUUGUGUCUUGAGUGUAAAACACUUGUAAUCUUCAUCUUGUUAUAGUGAAAUUUCUUUUCGCCUCUGCCCGUGGACGUAGGCAUUAAAGCCGAACCACGUAAAUCCUUGUGUUCACUUUAUUUUUCGUUCCGGUCAAUUUACUUGUAGUCAUAUCGGAGUUCUCGAAUCGAUCCUUUCCGCAACAGGGUGGCAUAUAGGAGGAGGCAAAUUUGACAGGUAACUAUAUUUUUCUCACCUUCUUAUAUUUGAGUUAUCUUUGUUUUGGAUUUCAUAUAUGUAUGUAUAUUUAUUUAUUUAUUGUAUGCUAGACCUGAAACAGAGUACAUUGAGGAUAUUGUUAAAUAUGUUAUAAAAAAGUUGAUGAGUAGCAAAUCUGGACAUGUUUAUGAAGAACUGGUUGGAAUAGAUUAUCAGAAAGAUGCAAUUUUGAGGCUGAUUGAGCAAGAACGCUAUCGUGUAAUAGGACUCUGGGGAAUGGGUGGUAUAGGCAAAACUACCCUUGCUGAUGUUGUACAUAAGGAAAUGUCUCCAAAGUUUAAAAGCCAUUGCUUUCUUCAAAAUGUUAGUGAGAAAAUAAAAAACCAAGGAAAGGAAUCUUUACGAAAUGAUCUUCUUUCCAUACUGUUAAAUGAAAAAGAUAUUCAUAUAGACACUCCUUUGAUAGGAUACCCUUACCGAGAGAGGUUGAACAAUAAAAAAGUACUUCUUGUGCUUGAUGAUGUUAGUCACCAAGACCAAAUAACUAUUAUGGGUGUUAGACAUUUUGGUGAUGGAAGUAAAAUCAUUGUAACAUCUAGAGAUAGAAAAGUACUUGAGAAUGGAGAAGCUGACCAAAUUUAUGAGGUAAAGAAUUUAAAUGAGAUUGACUCUCUUCAACUAUUUUCUACUUGUGCGUUUAAGCAGUUGAAUCCUAAUGCUGAUUUUCGAGACCUAUCGAUAAAGUUUGUGGAGUACACCCAAUACAAUCCACUUGCUCUAAAAGUUUUAGGUUCCCAACUAUAUAAAAGGUCUAGAGAAUAUUGGGAAAGCGAGAUGGUUAAGUUGAAGGAAUAUAGCCAACCAGAGAUUUCAAAUAUUUUGAAGAGAAGCUUUGAUGGGCUUGAUGAACAAGAAAAGAAUAUAUUCCUUGAUAUUGCAAUCUUCUUCAAAGGGGAACUUAAGGAAAAUGUAGAAAAUAUUCUUAGUAGUUGUUAUAAUGGCGCAAAGUCUAGCAUCAGAAACUUGGUCGACAAGUGCCUCCUAGAUAUCACAUCUCUUCCUAUUUCUUUGCGUGAUAUGCUUGAAAUUCGCAGUAGGUUUCUCAUGAAAAAAGCAGAAGAGAUUGCAAGUUUCCCUUACAGGGAUGCACUAGAUAAUCGAAGAAGUAGCUUCUUGGAUAAGAAUCCGCAGUGUAUUUCGAUGCAUGAUAUGCUUGAACGGAUGGGUAAAGACAUUGUUCGCCAAGAAUCUAGAGUUCCUGGAAUGCGCAGUAGGUUAUGGAAUUCUAAUGAAGUAAAGCAAGUGCUCAGACAUAAUAAAGUAAGUAUUAAUUGUACUUAUGUUUCUUUUUAUAUUUUUCUAUAUAUUUGUGUGAUUUUUUUCUAGGCUUAUAAAAUUUUAUUAAUAAUAAUGAUCCGAAAACGGGAUUUGAAAAAAAAAUAGAUACCAUGCAUAGCUGAACGAAAAUCGCAAAAAAAAAAAAACAAAAUAAUACCAACUCAGCAAUAUAUAUAAAUCUAUGUACAAAAAAAUACCAUUAAAACCAUGCCCAUUACACCAACCAAAAGAGCAAUCAGAAAUCACUUCUAGUCACCAUAACCCAUCUCGUAUAAACCAAAUCACAUCCCAUUGAAAUCAGGAUUAUAAAAAUGAAUUACUUGUAGAGAUAGAAGAAGUACUUACAACUCCAAUAAUUCAAACUAUUUUUAAGUUGAUUCGAUAACUCGAAUAACUCAUCAAACUUAAAUCGAUUAAUUUAAAAUUUAAAUUUUUUCCAAAGAGAAAAUUGAAUUUUACUCAACCUACCUAAGUCAUUGAUCAUUAUGUGUAUGGUAUGUAAAAAAAAAUUAUUUUUAAAUAAUAUUUAAUAGAAUUAAUAUUUCUCACACAGUAGAUGUAUAAAUUUAUAUGGUAAACAUCACUAUUGGGCACGUAAGUGUUACAGUGUUUUUGUUUUAACCACGUAACUAUAAAAAAAUUUAAUUUCAUCAUCAACGUUAAUAACAUCAAGUUUUUUUUUUUAUCAUUCCUCUAUUAUUAAUUAUUAAUGGAAGCAUGAUAGGCCUUUUUUUAAUUGGAAUAAUAACAAAUUUAGCUCUUAAUAUUUAUACAUUUUUAUCAAUUUGAUAAAAUGUAUAAACGUUGAGGAUUAAUUUAUUCUUAUUCUAAUUAAAAAAAGACGCAUAAUCAUUCUGUUGAUGAUUUUUUAUCAAAUUUAGCACUCACUAUUCGUAUCUGUUGUCAUUUGAGUCGUUAUACUUUUUGAUAAUGAGUAAAUAAGGACAAUUGAAAUAAGCAUUUCUAACCCUGUACUCUUCCAAUAUAUUCUUUUAUCAAUAUUUCAUAUCUAUGACGACAACAAAAAAAAAAAAGAAAAAGGAAAUUUUCAAUCGAAAAAUGAGUGGAAUGGCAAAUUAAGUCUUUAGUCGGCACUAAUUCUAAGUUCCAUCGUUAGACAAUCUUACAUCCUUUAUAUACUCUUAAAUGUAUGUACUCUAGUUUAAAAUUUAGUUAAAUAAUAAAAUUCACCAAUUUGAUUAACUAAAAUUUUCUUUUCAAUUAUUUUUAUCAAAUGCUAACCCUAAUCUUAAGUUAUUACAUGGAUCUACUUAGGGUAAUUUUAUUAAAUUAAUUAAAUAUCUAAUGUAUUGCUUUAUACAAUAAAAUUAAACACUUUUUAAAUCUAAAAUUUCUUGUAAUAAAAAAGUAUGCUCAAUUAGUCUAAGCCUUAUUUAAUUUCUAAUGAGUGAUUUAAUGGAAUGCCUAAUACUUGUUUCUUGUUAUUAGGGGACAGAAUGGAUUGAAGGAAUAAAGUUAGACAUGUCUCAAAUUGAUAAACUACAGUUAUGUUCUUCGGUUUUUAAGAACAUGUUUAAUCUUAAAUAUAUCCACUUCUAUUUUCCUCCAUUUAUUGGAAAGCAACGAAAUAAGAAGCUACAUGCAGACCAAGUUGGCGAUGUAUCUCUUCCUGAUGAGCUAAGACUUCUCUGUUGGGAGUAUUACCCUUUUAGGUCUUUAUCAUCAAGUUUUGAUCCGAAGAAUCUUGUUGUGUUAAAAUUACCUUAUGGUGAUAUGGAACAACUUUGGAAUGAAGAUAAUCAUCAGGUAAAAUUUUCAUACUUUCUUCGUCCAAUAAACUAAAAAAAAAAAAGUGUAACAAAUGCCAACCCUUACUAUAAUUAUUAUAAUUUUUUUGUACUGCCCAAAGUAAGUAGUAAGUAAGUAGUAAGUAAGUAGACAAUGCUAAGUAAUAAAGCUAUUUUAUAUUUUCAUUGCGCAGGAUCUUAUUAAUUUAAGAAAAAUUGUCCUUUCGAAUUGCAAGAAUUUAAGGAAGAUCCCUAAUCUAUUAGGAGCCGUCAACCUUGAAAUCCUUUGCUUUAAUGGGUGCAACAGUUUGGUUGAACUUCCUGGCUUUAGUGAUUUGGCAUCUCUCAAAACGCUUCAGCUUCAUGGAUGUUAUAAACUUAAGAAGUUUCCUGAGCUCCCAAAUGAUGUUGUUGAAAGCUGGACUGCAAUGCAACAUGGAGCCAGAAGCAAGCUACUAUCGAGACCAGCAGCUAUCGAGCUCAACUCAUUUUGCUUGGUGUGCAGGAAUGGUUUUCAGACCAAAUGAAGCAACUGAUAUAGCUGCUUUGUUUUGAUGUAACUUAGUUCAGUUUAAUUGUAACUAGCUUUAAUAGUUAGUUGGAUUAAGUUUGUGAUUGGAUUGAUGAUGUAAAAGCUGAUAUGUCAGCUUAUUUUGUAUUUGACUCUAGCAUGUAUUAGUUUAGUCUAAGUGGGAGUAGUUAUGUCAUUAGGUAUCUGUCAAAUGAACCAAAAAAAUUUGUAGCUCUUUUAUAUAUUCAAAUCUUGAAUGAAAAAUGUAAUGUUCAGUUACAACUUUGCUGAGUAUUCAUUUUUUAUCAUUUUUUGCUUUGCUUUGCUCUUUCUUUGCUUCGAUUCUUCUUGCUUCAGUCUUGCAAACACUGUGUUGCAACUUUGUUUGAUGUUUACUGUUGCCAUUGUUCCAACAAAUGGUAUCAGAGCAGCCCGAGUCUUUGAGGGGCCUUUGUAUGCAAUCUGUUGUGUUCGAAUCAAAACCAACAGUAAGUUCAAAAUUUGGUAAGAUUGAAGCACUUAAAAUCAGUUUAACAGAAUGAGUUUCACUCCACCACCUCCACUAGUGUUCACUGGAGAAAACUAUCACAUUUGGAUAGUUAAAAUGAAGACUUAUCUCCAGGCACAUGAUCUUUGGAGUGUGAUCGAGAAUGAUGCUGAACCACCUCCAUUGAGAGCCAAUCCCACCAUUGCACAGAUGAGGCAGCAUGCUGAUGAGCGAGCCAAGAAGCAUAAGGCUAUGGCCUGCUUGCAAAAUGGAGUCUCUGAUGUGAUUUUUACUCGCAUCAUGGCCUGUGACUCACCAAAGCAGGCUUGGGAGAAGCUGAAGGAGGAGUUCAUGGGGACUGAUAAGACAAGGCAACAGCAAGUGAUCAACCUCAGGAGAGACUUUGAAAAUUUGAGGAUGAAGGAGUCUGAGACCAUCAAGCAGUACUCAGACAGGAUAAUAGCCAUUGUCAACAGCAUUAGGCUCCUGGGAGUGGACUUCACAGAGAGCAGAGUUGUUGAAAAGGUUAUUACAACUCUCCCUGAGAAAUUUGAGUCUAAAAUCUCUUCACUUGAGGACUCGAGGGACUUAUUAGCCAUUUCAUUGUCUGAGCUGAUAAACUCCCUGUAUGCACUUGAGCAAAGGAGGGCAAAUAGGCAGGAGGAGAAUCCUGAAGCUGCUUUCCAGGCUAAAGCCAGUGAAGGCUCGAGUGUGACUGCAAAAGGCAAGAAGCCUUGGCACAAUAGAAGGGUCAAGUCAGGAAGAGAUGAAGCAAAAAGGGUGUUCCCACCAUGUGUUCAUUGCAAGAAGACAACACAUUCAGAAAAGUAUUGCUGGUUUAGGCCAGAUAUUCAGUGUAGAAAAUGCAAGCAGUUUGGCCAUGUGGAGAAGGUAUGCAAGGGCAAACCAAGGGAGGCUGCUCUGCAACAAGCUAGACCUGCUGAGGACAUUCAAGCUCAAGAGGAGCAAGUGUUCACAGCAACUUGUUUUGUUGGUACAACCAAGGCCAGCAAUGAUUGGCUACUAGACAGUGGCUGCUCACACCAUAUGGCAGCAGAUGAGAAGCUGUUCAAAGGCCUAGACAGAAGCUUCCACUCGAGGAUUAGAAUUGGAGAUGGUAGGCUGAUUGAGGCUAAAGGCAAGGGCAGUGUGUUGAUUAGCACUGGUUCAGGUAAUAAACUGAUCUCAGAUGUGUUUUUUGUACCUGACUUAGACCAGAAUUUACUUAGUGUAGGCCAAUUAGUUGAAAAGGGCUAUACAUUGGUUUUUAAGGAUGGUUGUUGUAUUGUUCAAGACAUGAAUGGUCUGGAGUUAGUCACAGUCUCUAUGACUGAUAUGUGCUUCAUGCUGGAUGUUAGACAAAUAGAAAGAAAGGCAUACACCAGCCUUGUUGAAAGCACUGACUUGUGGCAUAGGAGACUAGGCCAUGCAAAUUUUAGAUCCAUCGAUCUGUUACAUAGGAUGAAUUUGGUUGAUGACAUUUCAAAAAUUGAAGUUAGUGGGAAUGUUUGUGAGGUUUGUCAGCUUGGUAAGCAGGCUAGACUGCCUUUUCCUGCUGACAGUGCUUGGAGAGCUCAAAACAAGCUCGAAUUGGUGCACUCUGAUGUUUGUGGCCCUAUGAGAACACCUUCAAUCAGUGAGAACAGGUACUUUGCCCUGUUUAUAGAUGAUUUAACAAGGUUGUGCUGGGUCUACUUCUUGAAGCAAAAGUCAGAAGUGUUUGAAGCCUUCUGCAAAUUCAAGGCUUAUGCUGAAAAUCAGUCAGGCUGCAAAAUUAGGGCCUUGAGGACUGAUAAUGGCUCUGAAUAUGUGUCUGAGAAAUUUCAGAAGCUUUGUGACAGUGCCGGGAUUCACCAUCAGCUCACAACAGUCUAUACUCCUCAACAGAAUGGAGUCUGUGAGAGAAAGAAUAGGACUGUACUGAACAUGGCCAGGUGCCUCUUGUUUCAAGGCAAGCUUCCAAGUCAGUUUUGGGCUGAGGCAGUCAACACCUCAGUGUAUCUGCUCAACAGACUGCCAACUAGAGCAGUCAAGGAUAAGACUCCUUUUGAGGCUUGGCAUGAAGUCAAACCUAUGGUAACACACUUAAAAGUGUUUGGCUGUGUAUGUUAUGCACUUAUUCCAGUAGAGAAAAGGACCAAGCUUGAGAGCAGAGCAACUCCAGGAAUCUUUGUUGGCUACAGCAGCAACAAGAAGGGCUAUAGAGUGUAUGAUCCUACAGCAAAGAAGGUUUUAGUCAGCAGGGAUGUAAAGUUUGAUGAGGAAAAGGUGUGGAAUUGGAAUAGUGUUGAGGCUGACUUGUCUGAAUUGGACCAGUUAGACUUGGUUGUUGAACCUGCAGAAGAAGGACUAAGUAAUGAUGAUGUCGAUGAUAUACCAGUGAGGGGCACCAGAACUUUAGCUGAUGUCUAUCAGAGGUGCAAUGUUGCUGUGAUUGAGCCCUCAGACUUUGAGGAGGCUGUUAAGAACAGAAGCUGGAUGAAAGCUAUGGAAGCCGAGUUGGAAAUGAUCAACAAAAAUCAGACUUGGGAGUUGGUGUGCAGACCAGAACACAAGAGGGUCAUAGGAGUUAAAUGGGUGUACCGGGCCAAGUACAAUGCUAAUGGCUCACUGAACAAGCACAAGGCCAGGCUUGUAGUGAAGGGCUACAGUCAACAGUAUGGUGUUGACUACCUAGAAACUUUUGCUCCAGUAGCAAGACUGGAUACAAUUAAGCUACUGUUUGCUUUAGCAGCUCAGAAGCAAUGGAGAUUUCACCAAUUGGAUGUCAAAUCAGCAUUCCUGAAUGGUUUUCUCAAGGAGGAGAUCUUCAUCGAGCAACCUGAAGGUUUUGAAGUUGCUGGACAUGAAGACAAAGUGUAUAAGUUGAUAAAGGCCCUCUAUGGCCUGAAACAGGCACCAAGGGCCUGGUAUGACAGAGUUGAUGCUUACCUGACCAAACUUGGAUUUGUAAAGAGCCUUAGUGAGCCUACUCUAUAUGUUAAAAGGUCAGAACAUGAAACCUUGCUGAUUGUUUCCUUGUAUGUGGAUGAUUUGCUUGUGACAGGGAGCAAAAUUGAGCUCAUUGAUCAGUUCAAGGUCCAAAUGCAGCAAGUGUUUGAGAUGACAGAUUUGGGGAUCAUGACUUACUUCCUUGGCAUGGAAGUACACCAGUUUGAUCGAGGUAUCUUCAUCAGCCAACACUCAUUUGCUUUGAAGAUCCUAGAAAAAUUUUGCAUGCAUAACUGUAAAGCAGUCAGCACACCUGUGGCUCAAGGAGAAAAGUUGACUAGCAGUGGUGAUCAGCAGAGGGUUGAUGAGAGGCACUAUCGAAGCCUAGUUGGUUGUCUAUUGUAUCUAACAGCAACCAGGCCAGACAUCAUGUUUGGUGUCAGCCUGUUAUCGAGAUUUAUGCAUUGUUGCAAUGAGGCACAUUUGAAGGCAGCAAAGAGGGUCCUUAGAUACAUCAAGGGCACUACUAGUUUUGGUGUAAUGUUUGAAAGUGGGAACCAACUGAAACUAGAAGGCUACUCUGAUAGUGACUGGGCAGGAUCUCUCGAUGACAUGAAGAGUACCUCUGGAUACUUCUUCACACUUGGAUCGGGCAUGUUUUGCUGGAGUUCAAAGAAGCAACAAACUGUUGCUCAGUCCACAGCUGAAGCAGAGUACAUUGCUGCAGUAGGAGCAGUCAAUCAGGCCAUUUGGCUAAGGAAGCUGCUUCAUGACCUUAAUGAAACUCAAGGUGAAGCAACUGAAAUUUGGGUGGAUAAUCAGUCUGCAGUUGCAAUAGCCAAGAACCCUGUGUUCCAUGGUAAGACUAAGCAUUUUAAAAUCAAACUGCACUUUGUUAGAGAGGCUGAACAAGUAAAGGAAGUCAGCCUUGUGCAUUGCAGCUCGGGAGCACAAUUGGCUGACAUAAUGACCAAGCCCUUAGGGGCUGCUCGAUUUGAAUCUUUGAGAAGUGCAAUUGGAGUGUGUUGCAUACAGUCCAAGGAGGAGUGUUGAAAACUGGACUGCAAUGCAACAUGGAGCCAGAAGCAAGCUACUAUCGAGACCAGCAGCUAUCGAGCUCAACUCAUUUUACUUGGUGUGCACGAAUGGUUUUCAGACCAAAUGAAGCAACUGAUAUAGCUGCUUUGUUUUGAUGUAACUUAGUUCAGUUUAAUUGUAACUAGCUUUAAUAGUUAGUUGGAUUAAGUUUGUGAUUGGAUUGAUGAUGUAAAAGCUGAUAUGUCAGCUUAUUUUGUAUUUGACUCUAGCAUGUAUUAGUUUAGUCUAAGUGGGAGUAGUUAUGUCAUUAGGUAUCUGUCAAAUGAACCAAAAAAAUUUGUAGCUCUUUUAUAUAUUCAAAUCUUGAAUGAAAAAUGUAAUGUUCAGUUACAACUUUGCUGAGUAUUCAUUUUUUAUCAUUUUUUGCUUUGCUUUGCUCUUUCUUUGCUUCGAUUCUUCUUGCUUCAGUCUUGCAAACACUGUGUUGCAACUUUGUUUGAUGUUUGCUGCUGCCAUUGUUUCAACAGAUGUUUCUUUCUUAGAUUUAGCCGAAACUGGGAUAGAAGAAGUGCCAAAUUCAAUUGAGCAUCUCGCUGGACUUGAAACAUUGUUAUUGGCAAAAUCAAAGAUAAAUAAUGUAUCGUGCAAUAUUUUGAAGUUGGAAUGCCUUCGUUAUCUGGAUUUUAGUCAUUGCCUAGUAGCCGAAUUCCCAGAAAUUCUACGAAGACCCGAAAGACCCGAGAUGCAAGAACUUAUCCGUCCAUAUUCUUUGCCACCCUAUUUCCCCCUCCCUGGUAGGAGAAAGUUUCCGAUUGUUCAUGUGCCCCCCAAAAUCCUAAAGUUCAAAAGGCUUGAAUAUUUGAAAAUGGAUCAUUGCGAGAGUCUUAAAUUACUUUCGGAGCUUCCACCAUAUUUGCUGUACUUGGAUGCACAUGGCUGCAAAUCGCUAGAAAAAGUAUCGUUUACAGAUCGAAAUCGAGACCUAUAUGAACUCUAUUCUUUUUACGGUGAAGAUGAGUUCUUUAUGAUAUUCUCUGAUUGCUUCAGCUUGAAUCAAGCUUCAAUUAAAAACAUUGAAGGAAAUGCCAUGCAAAAAAUUGAAUCACUUGUAAAGAAAUGGGGAUGUAAAUAUGAUUAUGGUCCAAAAUCAUUGUUUUGCUGUUUCCCAGGGAGCGAAAUUUCGGCCAGUAAAUUCGAGUAUCAGGGGAUGAAUUCUUCAUUGAAGUUGAAGAUAACCCCAAACGAGUUUAGUGAGAGCAGAGUCUUGAGUUUUGCUAUCUGCCUUGUGGUUGAUCUCACGCAUUGCCAUAAAUACAAUACAGAUCUUCGAGGUAUCUGUGAAUACCAACUAACGGCCUUCGAUGGUUGUUAUGAAAAGUUCGAAUGUGAGUGGGGUUACAAGCUAGAUUUUGAGUUACAUCGAAAGUACAUGGGUGAUCACGUGUUGAUUCUAUUCAGUGACAAACUGAUCAAAAAAGACGACGAUUAUGUGGAGGCAUCAUUUGAAUUUUAUAUAAAAAAAUGCUACUACAAAAGCGAUGCUGAAGUUGAUGACAUCAAGGUCAAAAAAUGCGGUGUUCAUGUAUAUUAUGUGGCUGAAAACUACAAAGGUCCAAUUAAUCCUUAUACCAUGCAAAUGUGAGGACCCGAUUAUCGGUGGCUCAUUGGAAUAACGUCAGCACUGGCCACGGGGGAAAACAGUAAAAUCACUAGGGACAACGGAAACAAAGGGGGAAAAAGGAGGAAAUUUGUUCAUGACUUAAAGGGUUGAUAUUGCAUCUCUUCCUUAGGUGCUAAGGUAAACUUUCCACCUAUUCCCUAUAUAUAUAUAUAUAUAUGUUAAUUUGAAAGAUUGCUUUUGUUUGAGACUGGUUUUUCAUAUAAUAACCUAUACUUUUAUGAUGGUGUAGGUGUUUGUUGUGGUAUAUCUUAGACAACAUAAUGAAUGGUCUCUUCAAUUUUCCCUCACUUUCAAUGCAUUUUGUUAUGUUUCUUAUGCAUAUCUUUUACAAUUAUAUGACUCAUUAUCAUCUGUAGAUUUGGUAGUCUAAGUGUUGUUUGAUAAUUCCUUAAAAAAUUUAAAUUGACUGAAAAUUAAUAUUUUUAAUGAUUUAAUUUUUUAAUCAUUUUUGAUAAUUCAUAAUAAAAAAGUAACUGAUAAAUUUCUUCUUUUUUCUUUUAUGAUGAUAAGUAGAUAAGGAGCUACUACGUAGCACUUAAUAUAAAAAAAAUUCAAUUCUUUUUAUCUUAUUUUCUUUGUUUUAACAUUUAAAAUUUGAUACUAUGAAAGGGAAUAAAGAUGGAAGUGACUGCUGUAAGCAAAUCAUAUGAGAAAAUAGAGAGCCAAGAGGGAACUAAUGGCAGAUCUUUGGAAAGGCCAUUAUACUUUGAGCUUUAGGUAUACAAAAUAUCAGAGGAACAUGCAAGCUUUUAAUUUUUUCUACUGAAUGUUUGCUUCACAUUUGUUCUUGAACUGAGAUAUUGGGACAGACUGCAAUUUGUGAACAGAUUGCUUUGUUUUUGGACCUACAGAGGAACCGUUUGCUCUUGAGAAUUUAGCCUUCCUAGAAAACAAAAGUAAAAACUUCAAAGUGAAGGGGUUGGUUUCAUGGUACAGCCAUUCGACUUGAUUAUCACAUCAUCUUGGGCUGAAUCUUGAAUGAAAUUUCCUUUUUUUCAAGAUUAUGAGAGAUUGAAAUUUGAUUUUUGUAAUUAAAAUUCUAGAGUUUUACUCUGUUUUUGGAUUGAAAGGAUGCAAUAGUGGAAUUGGUAGUCACUAAAUGAGUGCCAUUUAGCAACUUGCGGAUUUUGUUGUGUUCAAUCUACUUGGAUUUGCAGGGCAAAAUCUAUUGAAUCAAACUUUGCUUUGUUGUACAUUAGGUAAUUAAAAUAAGGAAAACUAUGUCAUACAUUGUGCCUAGCCUUUGUAGUAUUAUUAUUUUAUUCUAUUGUUAACCUUUUGCUCUUGGAAUCAAAUGUACAAAUAUAAAAAACAAAUUGAAGUAUAAUGAACUUGAGAAUUCUCUUAUUUUGAUAAUCAUCCCAAAGCUUAAAUCCCUUAAAAUUGGCACCUUUCCACAUAUUAGUAUUUAAGGGGUUUUCCCCCUAGAUUAGUACUUAGGAUUUUUGUGUAAAUUAUUUUGGUAACACCAUUAAAUUUAAAACACGUUACACUCUCAAAUCAUGACAUGUGUCAAUGAUGAUAUCAAUUUUAAUGACAUAAAAUUGGAAAUUUGUUUAAUAGUUUGUGAUAGUUUCUUUUUUUUUCUCAUCUCCAUUCCCCUCUUGUGUCUUUGUUCUUUUGUAGAUAUAGCAUAUAUUGUCCAAGAAGGGAAUUCUCCAUAUAUAUUAGUUAAUUUGGAGGAAAAUUGAACGGUAGUUGGAGAUUUCAAUACAGUAGCACAAUGAUUCUGCUUUGGAGUUGAUACAAUAUCCAUAGGGGAUUUUGGUGAGUACCAAAAUUCAGAUAUUAAAAUUCAUACUUAAUUCUUAUUGAGAGUUGACUUGUUAUUGGUUGGUUUUUUUUAAAAUCAUAGGACCAAUGGUGGACUCGAUUCAGCUUCAUUGUUUAGUUUCCAGCAUUGGUGUCAUCUAGUAUCUCAAUACUUGCUGCAUUUUUGUUGGGGAUUUAGCACACUUUAACCGGAUAAAGUAAGAACUUCAAUCUGGACUUUAAUAGCAGUGUAUUAUACCCGCGUAAAGAAUGAAGGAAAAAUACUUGGAGUUCAAGCUUUGAGCUACUGCCAGGAAUGGAGAACAGAAUUUAGAAGGCAAAGAAAGAUGGAGCAUAUGGAAGUAAAAUAUGAUGAUUUCAUUCAAAAGAAACUUUGGCUCAAAGCCAUUAUAUAUACUAGUCAUUGCUGGUCAAAAUAAACAAAUCCAUCACCUAAACACUACCUGACUCCACCUAUUACAUUGGAACUAGGUGAUAUUACUUGCACACUUGAACAAAGCUGGUAACCAGCUCUUUGACCAUCAAGUUACAUCAAUUUGUCAUCCAAGCAUAAUUAAAAAUGAACUAAAUUACAAAAAUAUUGUUAAAAAGUAACAAAAUGAAACUGAGAUGAAACAGUGGUAUUAACAUCUCCUGUUGCAUGUAUUUUACCCGGACAACUUAUGUGCAAAAAAAAAUCUUGCGUGCAUGAAUUUGCUUGAGCUGCAUGUGUUGCAUGGGAACUAACUUCAACACUCCUCCUUAGUUUCCAUGCUUGUAACACCUAGCUGCUUUCUCAGUUUUAUAAACCUUGACACACCAAGGGCCUUUGUGAAAAUGUCAGCAACCUGUUCCUCUGAAUUGCAAUGAAUCAGCUCCAGAUCUCGAGCUUGUUCCAUCUCCUUUAUCACAUGUAACUUGAUGCUGAAGUGCUUCGUUCUACCAUGAAAGACAGGAUUCUUUGCAAUUGCAACAACAAACUUGUUAUCACAAAAGAUUGCCUCCCUUUAAUGUAGGUUAAGAUCAGCUAGAAUUUUUCUCAGCCAAAUGGCUUGAUUUACAGCAUUGGCAGCUGCAACAUAUUCAGCUUCUGCUGUUGAUUAGGCCACCAUCGAUUGUUUCCUUGAGCUCCAACAAAACAUGGUUGAGCCAAGGGUAAAAGCAUAUCCAGAGGUGCUUUUCAUAUCAUCACUUGAACCAGCCCAGUCACUAUCAGUAUAGCCUCUCAAUUUCAAACUUUCAGCUUUGUUGAAUAACACACCAUAGUCAAGAGUGCCUUUGAUGUACCUUAGCACUCUCUUUGCUGCUUGAAAAUGCUGGACAUUACAGCAAUGUAUAAACCUUGAUAACAUACUCACAGCAAACAAGAUAUCUGGCCUAGUUGCUGUCAAAUAUAACAAGCAGCCAACUAGGCCCCUGUAGGUAGACUCAUUGACUGGUUCAUGAUCUCCUUGGCUUGAUAGCUUCAUUCCAACAGCAAUAGGAGUGCUUGUUGGCUUACAAUUCUCCAUUGAGAAGAAGAUUUUUCCUUCUGCUUGGUGCACCUCCAUUCCCAAAAAGUAUGUCAUUAGCCCCAAGUCAGACAUUUCAAACAUGUCCUUCAUUUUGGCUUUGAAUUCAGCCAACAUGUUUUGAUCUCCUCCAGUCACCAAAAGGUCAUCGACAUAGAGGGAUACAAUAAGCUGUAAUUCAGCUUCAUUCUUCUUGACAUAUAGUGUUGGCUCACUAACACUUUUGUUAAAUCCCAAACUGACCAAGUAACUGUUAAUUCGAGCAUACCAGGCUCUAGGAGCCUGUUUCAAGCCAUACAAUGCCUUCUUAAGCCUGUACACCAUUUGUUCUUUGCCAGACACAACGAAGCCUUGAGGCUGAUCAAUGUAGAUUUCUUCUUCAAAGAAGCCAUUUAGGAAUGCAGACUUGACAUCUAACUGAUGAAUGACCCAUUAUUUUUGUGCUGCUAAAGCAACUAGCAAUCUGAUGGUGUCAAGUCUGGCUACUGGUGCAAAAGUCUCCAAGUAGUCCAGGCCAUAUCUUUGACUGAAGCCUUUGACAACAAGUCUGGCUUUCAGCUUGUUUAAACUGCCAUCAGCAUUUUUUUCGACUCGAUAGACCCAUUUAACACCAAUGGUCUUUCUGUUGGUAGGCCUUUCAACUAGCUCCCAUGUUUGAUUCUUUUGUAUCAUCUUGAUUUCUUCAACCAUGGCCUGUUUCCAUCCUUCAUCAGCUUCAGCUUCUUCAAAACUGCAUGGCUCCAAUAUGGCAACUUGUGCUCUUUCAUAAAUUUCAGCUAAAGGUCUAGUGCCUCUGGCUCAUUCUUGUCUCAAUUCCAGUAUCUUUUUUCAUCAAAGAUCACAUCUCUGCUUAUUUUAAUUUUGUUUAUUACAGGGUCCAAGAUCCUGUAGCCCUUCUUGACCAUACUAUACUCGGCUAAAAUACCAGGAAUAGCUCUUUUGGACAACUUAUCCCUCUUUACAGCUGGUAUUUAGCUGUAACAUAGGCAACCAAAGACUUUCAUAUGAGCCAAUGAUGGCUUGAACCCAAACCAGGCCUCAAAAGGUGUCUUGUGAGCAAGUGCUUUGGUUGGAAGCCUAUUCUAAAUGUAGACAGCAGUAUUGACAGCUUCAGCCCACAUGGUCUUGGGCAAAUUCUUCUCAAAUAAUAAACAUCUGGCCAUAUCUAUCAAGCUCCUAUUCUUCCUUUCACUUACAUCAUUUUGUUGAGGUGCAUAAGUGUUGGUGAACUGGUGUUUAAUACCUGCUUCAUUACAAAAGGUAUUAAACCCGAAUAAAGUAUACUCUGUUCCAUUAUCAGACCUAAAGGUCUUGAGUUUACAGCCUGUUUUAGUUUCUGCUGCAGCUUUAAAUUUCUGGAAUAUUGAGAGUACUUUAUACUUAGUGAAAGUAUGCCCAACAAUACCUGGAGUAAUAAUAAAUAAAUAAAAUGAAGUAUCUGCUUCCAUUCAAUGAUUCAGUAUUCAUGGGGCCACACACAUCUAUGUGUACAAGCUACAGCUUCUCAGAGGCUCUCCAUGCUUGAUUGGUAGGAAAUGGCAAUCUUGCUUGUUUUCCCGAUUGACAGACUUCACAUACCUCUUCUUCCUUAACAGAGUUGGUGAAGUUUUCAACCAAGUCUUCACUGAUCAUCUGAGACAUUGAUCUGAAGUUGGCAUGCCCAAGCCUUUGGUGCCAAAGCUUGGAGUCUUCAGAAGAAAUAGCAUAGGCAUUAUUAAAGCCUUUAUUCUAGUCCACAACAAAGCUCUUUUCUGUCAUGGCUACUGACAUGAGCAUAGAUCCACUUGGAUCACUAAUCUGAUAUUCAUUUUCUUUGAACACCACAGUAUAGCCUUUUUCAACUAAUUGAGCUAUACUUAAUAGGUUUUUGUCAAUUUCAGGAACUAACAAAACAUUUGAAAUGAUCUUGUUACCUGUUGGCGUGCAAAUAACCACAUCUCCCUUUCCUUCUUCCUUGAUAAAGUGGCCAUUGCCAACUUUAACUUUAGUUUUACAGCUUCUGUCUAAAGACUUAAAAAUAGCUGCAUCUGGUGACAUAUGGUUGGUGCAGCCACUGUCAAGGAGCCAACCAUUUCAGACUUUCUUUUGACCAGCUGAGCAUGAAACAGCAAAGACUUGCUCUUCAUAGUCACUACUGUCUUCAGCCACUCGAGCUACUUUAUUCUUGUGUUGUGGUUGGUUUUCGCCAGGUCUGCCUUUUUCUUUGCAGACCCUUUCAACAUGGCCCUUCUUCUUACAGUGUUGACACACAGCAUCUGGCCUGAACCAGCAUCUGGCCUCUGGAUGACCAAGUUUUUUACAAAAACUGCAAAGUCGAUCUUCUCCUCUUGCAGCAUCAGGCUUAGACCUAUUUUUCCAAUUCUUCUUGCCUUUGUAGGCUGAGGAACUUGAAGCAGACUUGGUUUUAGCUUGGAAAGCACCCUCUUGGUGCUCCUCCAUCCUGUUAGCUCUCCUUUGCUCCUGAGCAUAGAGGGCAUUAAUGAGCUCAGUUAAGGAGAUGCUUGCUAGGUCUCUUGAAUCCUCUAAGGAGGAUAUUUUUGCUUCAUACCUUUCUGGUAAGGUAGAGAACACUUUCUCCACAAUCCUUGCCUCAUCAAAUUGCUCACCAAGGAGCCUUAUGCUGUUAACUACAGCUAUGAUUCUGUCAAAAUACUUUUUGACAGUUUCUUCUUCCUUCAUCUUCAAAUUCUCGAAAUCCCUUCUUAGGUUCAAGAGCUGCUGCUGCAUUGUCCUCUCUGUGCCUUGGAACUCCUCUUUGAGUUUGUCCCAGGCUUGUUUUGGUGUUUCACAAGCCAUGAUUCUAGUAAAAAUUACAUCAGAAACACAGUUCUGAAUGCAUGACAUGGCCUUGUGCUUUUUACUUUUUUCUUCAGAGUACUGCUUCAUUUGAGCCACUGUUGGAUUUGCUCUCAAUGGUUCUGGUUCAACAUCUGAGUUAACUACCUCCCAUAGAUCAAAUGCCUGGAGGUAGGUUCUCAUCUUGACUACCCAAAUGUGAUAUCAUUCUCCAUUGAAAACUAGAGGUGCAGCUGGUGAGAAGCUUGAUGAAGCCAUCAGUAUGUGAUCCAACUAUAACAGGUGCACUAAGAUAAAGGCUCUGAUACCAAUUGUUGGGGAUUUAGCACACUUUAAUCGGAUGAAGUAAGAACUUCAAUUUGGACUUUAACAACAGUGUAUUAUACCCGGAUAAAGAAUGAAGGAAAAAUGCUUGAAGUUCAAGCUUUGAGCUACUGCCAGGAAUGGAGAACAGAAUUUAGAAGGCAAAGAAAGAUGGAGCAUAUGGAAGUAAAAUCUGAUGAUUUCAUUCAAAAGAAACUUUGGCUCAAAGCCAUUACAUAUACCAGUCAUUGCUGGUCAAAAUAAACAAAUCCAUCACCUAAACACUACCUAACUCCACCUAUUACAUUGGAACUAGGUGAUAUUACUUGCACACUUGAACAAAGCUGGUAACCAACUCUUUGACCAUCAAGUUACAUCAAUUUGUCAUCCAAGCAUAAUUAAAAAUGAACUAAAUUACAAAAAUAUUGUUAAAAAGUAACAAAAUGAAACUGAUAUGAAACAGUGGUAUUAAAAUCUUAUGUUGCAUUUAUUUUACCCAGACAACUUAUGUGCAAAAAAAAUCUUGCGCGCAUGAAUUUGCUUGAGCUGCAUGUGUUGCAUGGGAACUAACUUCAACAAUUUUCGUUCAAUCAUAGCUUGAUUCAUUAGAAAAGAUUGGUUAUUUGUGAGAUUUGUUUUUUUUAUAUCCUUUUCUUUUUUGUUGAUGUAAGACUAGGGAAUGAUAGAUCAUUGAGAACACCUGAGCUGUAAGACCUUCAAUUUGUUUUACUGAAUUCAAAGUAAUCUUUAGAGGCCCUUUCUGGUUCUGGCAAUUCAGUCUUGGUGGAGAAGUAAGUUACCUUUGACUUAGACUUAUUAUUAUGAUUUUAGGUUCAUUUAAUGAUUUUUAGCAUCCUCGCCGUCAUUUAAAGAUUUUUAGCAUCCUCGCCGUCUUUUCCCCAUAUUUAUCAAUGGGUUAUAUAAGUCCAGAAUUUGCUAGAGAUCUCAAAGCUUGUGGGCUGAACACGUGGAGGUGGAGGCAACUUUUGACAGUUUUCAUUCUCAAGCUAGAUUGGGUUAGUUUGCUGGUAGAGCCAUUGGAGUCGAUAUUUUCUUAUCUUGGAUUUUGAUUAUCAUAUCAGUUUGGGCUGAAAUUUCUUUGUAUGUUACUACCUCUCAUGUUGUUUGAGCAUUGCAGUGAAGAGAUAUUAAGAUUCAUACUUGAAUUCUUUUUGGCAAUUGACUUGUUAUUGGUUGGUUUUGAUUCAUAGGAUCGGUGAUGGAUAUCAUUCAGCUUAAUUGUUUAGGUUCCACCAUUGGUGCUCAUGCCAUGGGCUGUAAGUAGAGAUUUAAUCAUAUUGUAUCUCAAUACUAUCUGCAGUUUACUUCAAUGAUUCAUUCACCCAUUGAUUUAUGUUUCAUAUUUUCUUAAAACGUUAGUAAAUAUAUAUAUGUUUUCAGUUCAUGAUUUCUGAUUUAUAUUCAUGUUAGCUAAGGUAAACCUACCAACUAUUCCCCAUAUAUAAUCUAUUUGCUAUGUUUUAUUAUUUUGAAUUUUAUGACUAUGAUCUAUUGAUUCCAUAAAACUUGAUGAAAGCCAAGCCGGACACAAGUUCAAUACUCUACUGGAAUUGACGUUGCAAAUUAUUGGUGGUUUUGAUAUCUUCUUUCUCACCAAUAAAUGAAGUUCCCACAAAAUUACUAGUGUUAAGGUGAAUGUUGUGAAUCAAUGCAAAAUCCACAUUUAUAUAUGUGCGCUUUUACGUUUUGAAUUUGGUGAUGUGAAGGGAAUAAAGAUGGCAAUGGUUGAUGAAAGGAAAGCAGGUGAGGGAAUAAAUGACAAAUUUUUGUAACAAGUAAGCUUUUAUGAUGUUCAAUUUCUUUUUUUGAAUGAUUUUUUCAUAUUGCGGUUGAACUGAGAUAUUAAAGCAGUACUACAACUUGUCAACAGAGUUGCCUUGUUCAUCCCAUCCAGCUUUGCUUCAACGCUUUCUGGAUUUUGGCCAUUAAGAGGAAGCAUAUGAUCUUGGGUAAAUUACUUUUGACUCAUUUUGAUUAUUAGUAUCCUCAUGGCAUUCGUUUCCCCUGAUUUACCAAUGGAUUAUAUAAAUGCAUGCAGAAUGUUGAAGUUGGCCUGCAUGUGGCACAUGCAGCACAUGCAACACAAGUUGUGCUGAUGAAGUACUUGCAGCUGGAAAGGAUCAAGCUGCUAUAUUAUUACCGGAUGAAGUAUGCAUGAAGUUGCUGAAGCACAUCACUGCUAUAGUAUUUCAUUUUGUUUUGUUACUUUAAACAUUAUUUUGUAAUUAGUUUGAUCUAAACUAAGUUGACAUUGUUUUUUUUAUGUAAUUUGAUGUAAUUAGGUGCUGAUAGAUUGAUAAAUUAGUUUACCUAUGUGUACAAGUAGCGUUUUUUCAUAAGUUCCAAUGUUACUUGGUGGUAAUAGGUAAUGUUAGGUGACAAUUUGCUUUAUUUUGACCAGCUAAAUGUUUGGCAUAUGUAUUGGCUCUAAGCCUUCAUUCAAUGUUAAUGAAAUCACUUUGAGAAUUUCAUCCAAAUACUCUCUCAAUUCUUAGCAUUCAUUUUUAUCCCUUAAGUCCGAUUCUGUUCAUUUGCUCAAAAUCUCCUGACUUGAAUUUCAAGUUUUCUUCAUUCUUUACCCAAAUUUAUUUCGUUGUUGUUUAAGUUCCUAACUGAGCUUCAUACUUCCUCUAGAUAAAUUGUUCAAAAACCCAACAAUUGGUAUCUAAAGUUGUAUUCUCAGUGGACCUGUCAUAUUUCAACCUUAAAAACUAUGGCUUUAUCAAGCUUCUCACCAGCUGCACCACCAGUCCUCAAUGGAGAGGGCUAUCACAUAUGGAUGGUUAAAAUGAAAACCUAUCUGCAGGCAUUCGAUUUGUGGGAGGUGGUCAACUUAGAUGUUGAACCAGCACCACUCAGAGCCAAUCCAAUAGUGGCUCAGAUCAGGCAACAUGCUGAUGAAAGGACCAAGAGGCAUAAAGUCAUGUCCUGCAUUCAAAACAGUGUGUCUGAUGUGAUCUUUACAAGGAUCAUGGCCGGUAAGACACCAAAACAGGCCUGAGAUAGAUUGAAGGAGGAGUUCCAAGGGACAGAUGGAACAAGACAGCAACAGCUACUGAAUUUGAGAAGGGAUUUUGAAAACUUGAAAAUGAAAAAGGAAGAAACAAUAAAGCAAUACUCAGACUGAAUCAUGGCUAUUGUAAACAACAUAAGGCUGCUUGGAGAAUAGUUCAAUGAAGCAAGAAUUGUGGAGAAAGUGAUCCCAACCUUGCCUGAAAGGUAUGAGGCAAAGAUAUCAUCCCUAGAAGACUCGAGGGACCUGACCAGCAUUUCUUUGGCAGAGUUGAUCAUGCUUUCUAUGCUCAAGAGCAAAGAAGAGCUAGCAGACUGGAGGAGCACCAAGAAGCUGCCUUCCAAACCAAAACCAAACCAGCCUCAAGCACCUCUACCUACAAAGGUAAAAAGACCUGGAGAGAUAAGCUUAAGCCAGAUGCUGUAAGAAGAAGGAAUCAAUCCUACAGGCAUUGCAAAAGGCCUAGUCAACCAGAGGCUAAUUGUUGGUUUAGACCAGAUGUGCAAUGCUAAUACUGCAAAAAGAUGGGUCAUGUUGAAAAUGUUUACAAAAGUAAAGGUAGACCAAGGCAGAAUCAACCACAACAACCAAAGGUUGAAGCUCGAAUAGCAGAACAGGGCAGUGACCAUGAGGAGCAAGUCUUUGUAGUUUCCUGCUCAGCUGCUAAAGAAAUUGCCACAAAAGGAUGGCUCAUGCACAGUGGUUGCACCAACCAUAUGACACCUGAUGCUGCCAUCUUCAAGUCAAUAGAUAGAAGCUUCAAAACCAAAGUGAAGGUGGGAAAUGGCCACUUCAUCAAGGCAGAAGGCAAGGGAGAUGUGCUGAUAAGCACUCCCACAAGUAACAAGCUAGUUUCUAAUAUUCUUUUGGUGCCUGAGAUCGAGAGAAACUUGCUCAGCAUAGCUCAGUUGCUUGAGAAGGGCUAUAUGUGGUGUUCAAGGGCAAUGAGUUUCAAAUUAAUGAUCCAAGUGGAUCCAAUCUCAUAACAGUAGUCAUGACUAAUAAAAGCUUUGCUGUGGACUAGAAUAAGGGCUUAAACAGUGCCUACAUAGUCUCAUCAGAUGAAUCCAAGUUUUGGCACCAAAAGCUUGGCCAUGUCAACUACAGAUCGAUGGCUCAGCUAGCUAGAGAAGAUCUGGUUGAAAACUUUCCCAAUUUAGUUGAAAAUGAAGAGGUUUUUGAAGUAUGCCAGUUUGGAAAGUAGGCCGGGCUGCCAUUUACUUCAAACAAUGCCUGGAGAGCCUAAAAAAGGUUGCAACUGGUGUACACUGAUGUGUGUGGCCCCAUGAAGACUCAGUCUCUAAAUGGAAAUAGGUAUUUCAUCUUAUUCAUUGAUGAUUACUCAAGGUAUUGUUGGAUCCACUUCAUCCAACAUAAGUAUAAAGUAGCCUCAGUUUUUUCAAAGUUCAAGGCUGCAGCAAAAAUAGAAUCAAGAUGCAAGUUAUAGACUCUGAGAUUUGAUAAUGGAAUUGAGUACACCUCAACUUAAUUUCAACGCUUUUAUGAUGAAGCAGGCAUCAAGCACCAGCUCACCAACACUUACACAACUCAACUGAAUGGUGUAAAUGAAAAGAAGAAUAGAAGCCUGAUGGAUAUGGCCAGAUGCUUGUUGUUUGAGAAGAAUUUGCCAAAAACCUUGUGGGCUGAGGCAGGUAACACUACUAUCUACAUCCAAAACAUGCUCCUAACCAAGGCUUUGGCUCAGAAGACUCCAUUCAAGACCUGGUUUGGGUUCAAGCCAUCAUUAGCUCAUCUAAGGGUCUUUAGAUGCAUAUGUUAUGUACAAGUUCCAGUUGUAAAAAGAAACAAGCUGAAUAAGAAAGCUCAAGCAGGUAUUCUGGUAGGUUACAACACAGUUAAGAAAGGCUAUAGGAUAUUGGAUCCUUCAAUAAACAAAGUGUUUGUAAGCAGAGAUGUGGUGUUCAAUGAAAAAACAAGUUGAAAUUGGAAAAAGAAUGAGCCAGAGGUAGUUUCUGAGGACUUUGUAGCAGAUCAGACUGAAACUGAUCAAAAUGGUCCUAAAAUGGACAUUGAUGAUGAACUAGUUAGGGGCAUUAGACAUUUGGCUGAGAUUUAUGAAAGAGCUCAAGUAGCUAUAGUAGAACUAAACUGCUUUGAAGAUGCUAAAGCUCAGCAAGGCUGGAAACAAGCCAUGGUUGAUGAAAUCAACAUGAUUGAGAAGAACCAGACUUGGGAAUUACUUCGGAAACCAGUCAACAGGAAGAUCAUUGGGGUAAAAUGGGUCUAUCAAGCCAAGCACAAUGCUGAUGGGAACUUGAACAAGCUUAAAGUUAAGCUAGUUGUGAAAGGGUUCAGCCAGAAGUAUGGCAUAGACUACCUGGAGACCUUUGCACCAGUGCGCAGGCUUGGCACCAUUAGGCUGCUAGUUGCCUUAGCAGCACAGAUGCAGUGGAAAAUUCACCAGCUUGAUAUAAAACUAGCCUUCCUCAAUAGAUUCCUUGAAGAAGAGAUUUAUGUUGAGCAACCUCAAGGCUUUGAAGUGGCUGAUAAAGAACACAUGGUGUAUAGGCUAAAGAAAGCCUUAUAUGGCUUGAAACAAGCACCAAGGGCCAGGUACAGUAGAAUUGAUGGCUACUUGGUCAAUUUGGGAUUUGAAAGGAGCAUUAGUGAGCCAACAUUGUAUAUUAAAAAGGAUGGAGUGCAAACUCAGCUCAUUGUGCCCUUGUAUGUUGAUGACCUGUUGGUGACAGGAGGAAACUAAGCAAUGUUAGCUGAUUUCAAAGCCAAAAUACAACAGAUGUUUGAGACAAAUGUCUUACUUCUUAGGCAUAGAAGUAACACAAACUUAGGAAUGAAUUUUUCUAAGUCAGAGGGCUUUUGCCAUAAAGAUCUUAAACAAAUUCUCAAUGCAGAAUUGUAAAGCAACAAGCACUCCAGUUGCUGUUGGGGAGAAGCUAUAUAGCCAAAGUGUUUUUGAGAAGGUAUGUGAGUCAACCUAGGUAUGUGAGUCAACCUAUAGGAGCCUAGUUGGUUGUUUGCUAUACUUGACUACCGCUAGGCCAGACAUAAUGUUUGCUAUGAGUUUGCUCUCAAGAUUUAUGCAUUGUUGCAAUACAAGUCACUUCAAAGUUGACAAGAGAGUUUUCAAGUACAUCAAAGGUACUCUGAGUUAUGGAAUAUUGUUUAGUAAAGCUAAAAGCUUGAAAUUGGUUGGCUAUACUGAUAGUGACUGGGCAGGCUCAAUGGAUGACAUAAAAAGUACUUCUGGGUACAUUUUUACACUUGGCUCAGCCAUUUUUAGCUGGGGUUCAAAGAAGCAAUAUGUUGUUGCUCAAUCAACAGCAGAGGUAGAAUAUGUGGCAGCUGUAGAAGCUGUCAACCAAGCCAUUUGGCUAAGGAAGAUCUUAGCUAAUCUGAAUCUUCACUAAAGGGAAACAACAGAAAUUAUGUGUGAUAAUCAAUCUACUGUUGUAAUUGCAAAGAAUCCAGUUUUUCAUAGAAGAACAAAUCACUUCAACAUUAAGUUUCAUAUUGUUAGAGAGAUAGAGUAAGCUCGAGAAGUGUUGCUAAUUCAAUGCAAUUCUGAAGACUAAGUUGCUGACAUCUUGACAAAACCCCUUAGUGUGUCAAGGUUCAUCAAACUAAGAGAACUAAUGGGACUCUACAGCAUGCAAGCCAAUGAGGAGUGUUGAAGUUGGCUUGCAUGCAGCACAUGCAACACAAGUUGUGCGGAUGAAGUACAUGCAGCUGGAAAGGAUCAAGCUGCUAUAUUAUUACCGGAUGAAGUAUGCAUGAAGGUGCUGAAGCACAUCACUGCUAUAGUAUUUCAUUUUGUUUUGUUACUUUAAACAUUGUUUUGUAAUUAGUUUGAUCUAAACUAAGUUGACAUUGUUUUUUUAUGUAAUUUGAUGUAAUUAGGUGCUGAUAGAUUGAUAAAUCAGUUUACCUAUGUGUACAAGUAGCGUUUUUUCAUAAGUUCCAAUGUUACUUGGUGGUAAUAGGUAAUGUUAGGUGACAAUUUGCUUUAUUUUGACCAGCUAAAUGUUUGGCAUAUGUAUUGGCUCUAAGCCUUCAUUCAAUGUUAAUGAAAUCACUUUGAGAAUUUCAUCCAAAUACUCUCUCAAUUCUUAGCAUUCAUUUUUGUUCCUUAAGCCCGAUUCUGUUCGUUUGCUCAAAAUCUCCUGACUUGAAUUUCAAGUUUUCUUCAUUCUUUAUUCGGAUUUAUUACAUUGUUGCUUAAGUUCCUGGCUGAGCUUCAUACUUUCUCCGGAUAAAUUAUUCAAAAACCCAACAUAGAAUUAAGUAGAGUUGCUCUUAUCUCAAAACAAGUUGAAUGAACACAUGGAACCUGGAUGUUAUUUUCAAUGCCAACCCUAUCACACUUUUAAUUCUCAAGCUAGAUUGAUGAGCUUUUAUGUUUAUUCCAUAGAGGCCAACAUAAACACUUGGAAGAAAAAAAUCCAAAUGAUUUUGGUUUAGUUGGAACUUUAAAGUGCAGAGCUGGUUUCAUGGUAAAGCCAUUUGACUUGAUUGUUAUAUCAGUUUGGGCUAAAACUUGAAUCAAUUUUCCCCUUUCGUAAUUAAAAUUCCAAAAUUUUAUUCUGCUUUGGAAUUGUAAGGAUGCAACAUCGGAAUUGCUUUGUACAUUCGCUUUUUAUGAGAUGGUAUCCAAUAAGUUCAAGAUUUGUAGCUUAGUAAUUAAAAUAACUUUCUGUAACACUAAAUUAUGAUCUACUAUAAGAAAAAACACAAAUUUUAUACUAAUCUGAUUAUUUUAUAACGCCAUGUGACUUACAUUUAUAGUAAUUAAAAAGAUUCUGCUUUGGAGUUCAAAAAAUAUCCACGCGAAGCCGUGGUGGGUAUCAUAGUUCAGAUAUGGAGCUUCGUACUUAAAUUCUUUUAAGCAGUUGACUUGUUAUUGGCUGGUUUUAAUUCAUAGGAUCAGUGGUGGACUUCAUUCAGCUUCAUUGUUUAGUUUCCAGCCUUGGUUCUUAUGCUGUAGGGAGUAAGUGGAGCUUUAUUGUUUAGUUUCCAGCAUUGGUCUUAAUACUCACUGCAUUUGCUUACUUAUGUCAUUGGUAUUUGUUGUGCUUUUUACUUGCAAGUUUAAUGCAACGCAUAUGCUAACCAAAACAGAGUGUCAAUAAAGAAUUGAUGGUAGAUCUUUGGACAUGCCAUUAUGUUUGGAGUUUUACCUACAAUAGAAAAAGGAGGAGCAAGUAAGCUUUUCAAGAGCUUCAAUUUCUUCCAAUGAAUGCUUGCUUUAUGUUUGUGCAUGAACUGAGAUAUUGAGGAAGUACUGCAACUUGUCAACAGAUUUGCCUUCUUGAUCUUAUUCAACAUUGAGCCAAUGCAAAUUGAAGCUAUUUCCUAAGCUCUUUCUGAUUUUUGAGCCUUCAGAGGAACCAUAUGCGCUUCGAAAAUUUAGCCUUCCUUGAGAGGUAAUUUACCUUUGUUUCAUUGUGAUGUUUUUAGCAUUCUCAUGAACUCUUUCCCCUAAUUUAUCAAUUGGUUUAUAUGAAUUCAGAAUUUGCCAAAGUUGCUGUUAUCUCAAAACUCGUGGGAUGAUGGAGCUGGAGAUUAUUUUUAGUGGCACCCCUUUCACAGUUUUCAAUCUCAAAGCUAGAUUGUUGAGCUUCGAAGUUUUACCCCGCAGAGGAAACCAACAAGACACUAGAAUAUUGGCAUUCGCAAUCAACUCAGUCUCUAAGAAAUAACUAUUCCAUCACCUUAUUUUCUUUGUAUAAUUAUAUAUUUAAUUUAAUUGAUUUUGUGGAUGAUAAAUACUAUUUUUAAUGUCAAUUUUUUUAGUAUUAUUUUAAUUAUAUUUGUUGUUAUCUUUUAGUGACUAAUCAUAGUCCUUGUAGUAGAUUUUGGAUAUAUCUAUUGGAUAAGAAUCAUAAUAUAGACAAAUAUAGUUGCUGCUUAGGAUUUAAGUUUAGAUAACAUUUUCUACAAUAAAUAGGUGUAAAAAGAAGGUGAUAAAUUAUUGGACCAGGUCAUGGGAGUGGAUUUUCUGUUUAAAUUCGAAGUGUCACUCAAAAUUUAAGAGUAUUUGAGAAAAAAAUAUUAGACUCAAAAUAUAAGCUUAGGAAAAUUUAGAUCCAUUAAAAUAUGAGCUCAGGUUUGAACGUUAAAGGUUUGAGCUUAGCCCGACCCGACUCAUUUUUUAAGUUUGUAAUGGUUUAUAUUAUGUUAUGUAACUUAUGAUAUAUAAAACUUAAAACUACUAUAAUAUAAACAUUAAAAAAAUGUUAACAUGACUAUAUAUAAAAUUUUAAUAAAUAAAAAUAUAAUUAUUAAAUAUCAAACUAAUAUAAUAUAAAAAUUUUAUUGAAAAUUUCAAAAAAAAAAAGGGCAGGCUUAAAAUGAGCUUAGAUUAGUCAUUUAUAAAUAUGGAUGGACUUGGGUAAUCAUAAAGUGCAUUAAUAUUAUUCUUAGGUCUAACUCAAAUUUAGCUCGGCUCAUGAACACUUUAAUGAAUAGUGGUGAUGUUGAAGCUAACGAAGGGGGUGGAAAAUUUCGAUGGAAACAACGAAGAAGAUGAGAAACCCAAAUAACUCCUGGGCUAGGUGUAAAAAGUUAUAAAAUAAUUAAAUAUAUUAAAUAAUUUUGUAGUUAUAGAGGUUUAAAUUCAUUGGAUAAUUUAAAAUUAAAAUCAAAUUAAUAAAAUGUGUAAUCGCUGAAGACUAAAAGUGUUAUUGGACCAACUACAAAUAGGUUACAACAUCAUUUUCAUUAAUAAUAUAACGGAGGACGACCAAGUCAUCAUUUCCAUUAACAAUUUAACGAAAGGGUAACCAAAACAAAAACAUGUUAAAGGUUAAGUAACUAAUUGAGUAAUUUACCUUAUAUUCAUUGAAAAAAUAUUUAUUUAUGGCUUAAUUAAAUAGGAGGCCUUAAAUUAUGCCUAUUAUUUUAGAUACUUAUUUUUUUAAUCGAACCACAUAUUCCAUAACCGAAGUUAGCCCUGUGGUUACCUCCAUAAAAAAGAAAUCGUCCCAGCCAAUAAAAAACACCAAAUCUCAAUCCCACAAAAAUAUGAUUAAAAAAUAAUUGAUACUAGUAUUAAAUAAAAAUAACUAAAAGGGUACCCCUCUCCCUAUAUAUUAAAAUUUUAUCUACACUUCUAUUUAAUUAGGCCUUUUUGGUCUGUAUUAUUUUUUCAUUUCCAUUUUAGUUUGUUUUUUUCUCCUUCAUUGUACUACUUUUAAAAUGUUAUUGAUAUUAGUGAUAUUAAUUCAAUUUUUUCGUAUGGAACUUUUAAUAAUAUAAUAUAAUUUAAAUAUAAAAGAAUUAAUUAAUAUUUUAAUUAAUUGACUUGUUGUUACUUAAUUUAUGAUGCCAAACUUAUUAGUUAACCAAUUGAGUUGGUAUCACUUCACUUAUGACAUCAAACUCAGUGUAAUUUUUAGCAUACUAAUCUAAUGAGUGAAUUUAGAAUUUGCCAAAGUUACUCUUACCUCAAAACUUGUGGGAUGAACACAUGGAACCGGAGAAUGUUUUUCACUGGCAACCUCUUGACAGUUUUUUUUCUCAAGCUAGAUUGAAACUCAAUAAACACUGGAAAAAGAAUUGUAAAAAAUCCAAAUGAUUUGGGUUUAGUUCGAGUUGCUUUCAUUGAAAUGGCUUUCAUGAAUCUUAUGUGGUUUUAGGUCGAGUUUGAGUCAUAUUAAUUGGUGGCGAAAUAAAUUUCGAAUUGUUUCUAGUGGGAAUGAAUUGGACAAGGGUUAAACAAGGGUGUGGUUGUUUCUCUUUAUAUAUGGAAGUUGAACAUGCUAUUCUAUUUUCUUAAUGUGUAAAUGCGUAAAUGCGUAAAUGUUAAUGUUAAAUUUGUUGAUUUUUUAGAAUCAAGAUUAAAUUGAUAAAAAUGCAAACAUUGAGGGCUAAAUUUAUUAUUAUACCAAUCAAAAUUAUGUGAAUUUGAUAGAAGACAUUAACGAUGUAGUUAAAUGUACUUAGCUGCUCACUUUCACAAUUAACAAAGAUUAAAUUUUUCCUCUUUUAAAGGGACCAAUUUAUUCAAUUUUGAAAUUAAGAAAGACUAAAGAAGUCGUUUUACCCAAACUUGCCUUCCCUAUGUUAGAAAGGACUAACAAAGAAAAUCUAUCAUUAUUUCACCUAGGAAAAUAGAAACACAACACCCUUCCUUCCAAAGACUUUUCAUUCAGGGGAAGAAAGCGGAAAUUAUCCGUCAAGAAAGUGGUAGGAAAUUUAAGUUUAAUUCACUUAAAAUGGUCUAAAAGUGGCAAUUAUUCUUAAGAAAGCUAUACAAAAUUUCAGUUCAAUUGACCCAAAUGACAAAGUGUGUUCCAGUCAUUAUUUUUAUUAGGAAAUUCAUAAGAAAUUUCAUCACAACCCAAAAAGAAAUUCAUAAAUGAAGACAAUUUUUUUUGAAGUUGUACGUUUGGUUACAAAAUCAACUAAUAUCUAUUUUUGAAUAGAUGAUUUAUUCAUACUAACAUAUUAAAUAGGCCCUUAAGCUUUAUCACAUUAUCUAAAUAAUCUCGUGUACUUUUAUCAUACCCCAAAUAAGCCUUUAAACUUUAUUUGUUAUCCAAAAAACUUUUAAUUUUUAACUUGUAUCUAGAAAAGUUUUAAUCUUAACAAAUUUGUCCCAUUGGAAGACCUUGACUUGGAAAUUAACACCCAUCAUCAUCAUUUGGAACAAUUUUUCUUGUUCGUCAAAACUCCCUUUUAAUACUCUUCAUCAAAGUCCACAUCACCAGAAAACUAAUACAUAGACUUAAGGCUUAGAAUAUGGUUGUUUAUAUAAACUCAAAAUCUUUUUCAUUUUGUUUUUCUAAAUAAUGUGAGAUAUGGGCUUUUAUAUAAAUUCUUAAUCUCUUUGUGCCUUGUUCUUAAGCAAUAUGAGAUUUAUUACCCUUUUAACUAACAAAAGAUUUAAGUUAAACUUAGUUUUUAAAGACUAAAGAUAAUAGUUAAACUUUGCACAACAAUAAACACGAUUAAAAUAUAUUUUUUAAUAUUUUAAAUGGUAAUUAUAAGUUGAUGUUGAAACUCAACACUCCCCUCAUCACCAACUUUUAUUUAAAUUAACAUAUCAUUUGAAAUAAGGGCUAAUUUAAACACAAAUAAAAAUAUAGGGUUUUAUUUGGGUAUCACAAAAGUAAACUAGUUCAAGGACUCUUUUAAGAAUUUAACCAUUUGCUGAACAUUGUCCCAUUGGAAGACCUUGACUUUUGUAGGGAAAAGAUACAAAUAAAGAAGACUGUCAUUUCCUGGAAAGUGUGAGAGUGACAAUUUUCUUGACUAGAUAAUUAGCUAAUCUCCUCUCCAGUCGUCGCCUUUGUUAAAUCUCAUUGUCAUUUACUACUAGGAUACCAAAGCUCCCUUUGUGUAUUUUCCUCUCUUCUUCCUCAAUCUCACCAUCCAUACACUUUCAUGGCAUCUUCAUCAUCUUCUUCUAUUCAACUGAUGCAUUAACUUUUCUUAACCUUCAGAGGUGAAGACUCAUGCCUUAACUCAAAAUUUUAUUUACUCCUAAGUUCUAGCACGAUAAAAUUAUCAUGACUUUGAUAAAAUUAGAGUUUAAUUGAGAAAAUAAUUUAAUUAAAUGAAUGAAUUAAAUUUAUUUUAAUUAAUUAUAUAAAUAAUAUUUUUACAAUGUAAACUUGAUAUUGGGUUGGAUAAAUUAAAUGAAUUGAUUUAAAGUUCAUAUAGACUUGAUCAGGCCCACUUUCUAAGCCCGACCUAAUCUACCCAUAUUAAUUUCUUUAGACUAUUUUUAUUUAAAGAUAAAUUUUAAAAAUAUAAUACAUCAAAUACAUUAAAAAUAUUAAAAUAAAUAUUUCUCAACAAAUUGAAAAUAAAUUUUUUUAAAAUAAAUAUUUAUACUUAAAUAACACUAAUACAGUUGCAAUUUAACAAUCAAAUGUUUUUAAAAUAGUAGCAAAAUUAACAAUAAAACAAAAAAUUUAAUAUCUAAACAAUAACAAUAAAAUAGUAGCAAUACAAUAAUAAAAUUGUAAUAAAAAUAAUAUAAGAGCAGUUAAUAACAACAAAAAAGAAAUAGUCAAAUUCGGACUAUUGGUAUGUUGAAUAAUAUUUUACUCAACAUUUACGUUCUAACACAUAAACUAUUAAUUUCCAACUUUUAAAUUAAUUGCCAAUGAUAGAAAUAUGAAGGUGUUUAAUUAAUUAAAACCAACCAGAAUCACAUGCUCUAUAAAUAGCUUGUGAUUUAGAAUUUUCAUUCAUUGGUGCAUUAUCAACUUACUUUUUUCCUUAUGCAUUUUACAAGCUAUAUGUAUGGUUGUGAUGUGCAAAUUUUGUGGAACUUCCAUGAAAAUUCAGCCCAGGAGUGGUCUGAUUUGAUUUAUCCAAAUUCCUACAUAUGUAGCUUCGAGGAAAGAAAGAAGGUUGGAUGGCAUUUUGAAGUGCUGUAAGAUUUAUUAGUCAUUUUGAAAUUGGUGUCAAAAGCAAAAGCAACCUUUUUUUCUUUUUCUUUUCUCAGCCAAUAAAAUUAUUUUAUUAAAAGGUUUAAUGUAUCGUCCUUAUCACCUCACAAAAAAAGUGAGUUGAAGGGGGUGAAUUUCCAUAUGCUUUGGUGCAUUAUCAACUUUUACUUUUCCUUAUGCAUUUUGUAACAAUAUGUAUGACUGUAAUAUGCAGAUUUUCUUUGUAAAUUCAGCGAAAUUCCUAAUUAUGUAGCUUCCUGGAAAAACAAAAGAAAAAGGAGAAGAUUCUUGACAUCUUUGUAGCAUACUACUAUUUGUUUUUUUGCAAUCAAUGAAUCAAUACUUUGGGGGUGUGGGAAUCAAAUCGCACAAUUAAUCUGUUCUUUCACAGACUAGGCAAGGAAAAGAGUUCCAUUGAUAGUAGUAUCACUAUGCAACCAAAAAAAAAAUGCAAAUUGAUAGUAGAUUUAAAAUGAAAGUUUUGAAGUGAUCUUAAAUAAAAAGGAUUUGGUGACUACUCAAGUCGAUUUAAAAAAACGUUCAGGUAGAAAUAAACUCAAAUUUAAUAUUUUUUAUCUAAGCCGAGUUUUGACAAAAAAUUUAAGUUCAUGGUUCAUACUGGACAAACCUAAAAGAUAAUUCUAAAAUUUUAUAUUGAACCCACGCGGUAAAUCUCACAAUUAAAAUUCAAUCAAAAUAACAUUGGUGAAUCAAAGGAGACAAAUGGGAUUGAGAUGAACAUUGUUUUGGUUAUUCUCUUUGGUACAAAGAUAGCUACACUCUAUGAAUAAGAAACCAGUUUAGACAGAAUCUACAUAGAUAAAGGGAUAACCAGCACCCAGAGACAAUACAAUACGUAAAACCCCGUGUAAGCAAGCUGAAGGAUAAACCGUAUGCUACAACUACAAUGGUCGUUCCUGUCCAGAAUUCAUCACAUAGGAAAAGGCAUAACCAAACUCCCUGAAUUAUACUUUGUAAAACUAAACUAAAACUACCAAAAUAUUGCAACACAAAAGAACGGAAAAACCAACAUCCCAGAAUUGCAACACUAAGUUUCGACACUCGAGAAGUGGAAACCAUGAGCACCGUUAAAAAAAAAACCAAAAUCGAAAAAGAAAUCAUAACUCUAGUUGUGGACUCUGUUGGCGCUAUGUAAACUAUUGAUUGGUCGAAGCAUAUUGCGAAGAAAGCAAGUAAGACUUGAAGUGCUGUUCUGAAACAAUGGGGAUAAGGUUUAAGCAAGGCUAAUGUUAAGAAAAAGGUUACGAUGAAGACAAGAUAAGUUGGAAUAUAGAAAACAAAAAAAAGUAAAUUCAUCUAAGAUUGAUUUACCCAAUGCCAUCUCAUCAUAUGACCCUUUGGACUUUGAAGUGUUAUCUCCCUGCCAAACACCACCAGGUGGGCUAAGACUAGCUUGGAAGGUUGCAGUUAGAAGCAACCCUAAAAUUACUAGUAAGGCAUUGCGGUCCUCGCCUGACAUAUUAUCUAUCUCGUGAGGCAUUAGAUAUGAUAUUUUUAUCAUUUGGUUCUUGUACUUACGUAUAAAGUUUGAAACUCCUGGAAUAAAGCAACGACGUAGAACAGUAAUACUGUCUUCAUUAUGAUGUUGGUCUGCAAUAUCCAAUGCUGUCAAACCAGCUUGAUUGGUAGCGUACUCAUCGGUGUUCCAGUUCAAUAAUAGUUUAAGCAUCUGUUUAAUUGAUAGUUUGAGAAAUAAAAGAACUACAAUCUAUGUCUAUAAAGAUUAAAAAGAAGCCGUACUGAACUAGAUGAGUCAAACCUCAGGUCGAUCAUGAAAAGCAGCUAAGUGCAGUGCAGUGUUUCCGCCUUCAUCUUUUUGGUUCACCACUUCACUAUAGUAGCCUGUCUUCUCAAGUGUUCGAAUUAGGACUUGAAGAACAUCCAGUCCGUUUUCUUCCACGGCAAUAUGCAAAGCAUUACGAUUCUCAAUUGUCACGUCUCUAAUCGAUUGAGGACAAAUCUCUGGAAAUCUAUCCAACAGACCAUUAUGGUUCCCAACUUCAGUUAUGAUGUGCAAAGGUGUCUUGCCAUUCUUUCCUUUGACACGAGCUAGAUCUUUAUUAAUUUCCAAGAAACGUAGAGCCAUACUUGUAUCCGGAUUUGUAACUGCAAGGUGAAGUGGAGUCAAGCCUUGUUUGUUUAGCUUGCUAGCAAAUGAUGGCUUUAAGCUCAUCAUUUCCAUUGCAAGCCUAAGGCAUCCUUCUUCUGCAGCAAUGUGUAAGGGCCGAGUUUCGACAAACUCCUCCUCGUCAAAUUGCUUCAAAGCAUUUCCAUCUAUUUCAAUUAAACUGUAUAGAUCACUAACAUUUCCUGUACAAGCUGCUGUUCUCAACCUUUCAUCCAUGACAGAAGAAGAAUGGAAAGAGCUUAAGCCCACUUAGAGUGUUAACUAGAAUGAGUGAGGACUUACGGUUUUAAAGAUCGUUGCUGCUUUGUCUAUAGAGAAAGCAGAAAAAAUGAAUCUUUCAACUCCGCGUGCUUAUUUUUUAAAAGAAAGUUGCAUUUGAAUAAUUUUAAAUUAAUUUUAAAAAUAAUAAUUUAAUUAUAUAAUAAAAAAAUAUUUUUAAUAGAGCUGCAAUGGUUGUUGAUGGAAUGCUUUUUUGUGCCGUAAUUAACUUAAUCUCAAAAUUCGAAAUAAUGAAACUCGAAAUCAAAUAAAUUUGAAAUAAUUCAAAUUUAAAUUGGAAUCAAUUCAAAAUUAAUCUUAUUCAAAUGAAACUAAUUAAGGAUCAAUCACAACUCUCUAAAUCUAUUAAUCUAAUUUAAUUACUAUUUCUAAUAUAUAUUGAAAGUGUUAUAAGUAAAGUAUAAUUAAAAUAUAAAUAUAUAUAUUUAAGUAAUCAUAAAUAUUAAAUUAUUACGGUAUAAAUGAAUUGUCUGAAAAAUCACCAAAUAGAAUUAAAUUAUUACAAUACAAAUAGAUUAAGAGCUUAUACUAAAGUUAACUAACUUAAUUAAUUGGAAAAAAAAUUACAUACAAUAAAUAUACAUUAUUACACAUAGUAAAUCUCGAACUUAGUCUACCUUUCUAGUGCCAAAUCCUAUUAACAUUACUACCUAUAAAAAUCUCGAACUUAGUCUUCUAGUGCCAAAGCCUUUUAACAUUACUACCUAUACAUUUUUUUAAUGCUCAUGAAAACAUAUAUCUCCUAUGCAAUUGUCUUUUUUUUUUAAUUAUCCUAUCAUUAUUUAUUUUAUAAAGUUGAAGCUUACUGACACUAUUAUAUAGGUGUAUUUGUGGAUCGAAAUUUGAAAUUAAAUAUAAAUGGACUCACUUCAAUUAAUGAAUCUGUCGCUUGAGUUCAUCCCAUUAACUUUUUGGUUGGUAAAAAGUAUAUCAAUAAUAUAAGAUAUUAUUAUAAUGAGAUAACAUAAGAUUCUUCAAGAAAGUGGUAUGAAAUUUAAAUUUAAUUUACUUAAAAUUGUCUAAAAGUGGCAAUUAUUCUUAAAAAAGUUAUACGAAAUUUCAGUUCAAUUGACCCAAAUGACAAAAUGUGUUCAAGUUAUUAUUUUUGUUAGGAAAUUCAUAAGAAAUUUUAUAACAACCCAAAAAGGAAUUCAUGAAUUGUGACAAUUUUUUUUGAAGUUAUACAUUUGGUAACGAAAUCAACUAAUAUCUAUUUUCAUAUAGAUGAUUUACUCAUACUAAUAUAUUAAAUAGGCCCUUAAGCUUUAUCAAAGUACCUAAAUAAUCUCAUGUACUUUUAUCAUACCCCAAAUAAGCCUUUAAACUUUACUUGUUAUCCAAAUAACUUUGAAUUUUUAACAUGCAUCUAGAAAAGUUUUAAUCUUAACAAUUUUGUCCCAUUGGAAGACCUUGACUUGGAAAUUAACACCCAUCAUCAUCAUCAUCAUUUGGAACAAUUUUUCUUGUUAGUCAAAACUCCCUUUUAAUACUCUUUCAUGCCUUCUUCUUCAUCAAAGUCCACAUCACCAGAAGGCUAAUAUAUAGACUUAAGGCUUAGAAUAUGGUUCUUUAUCUAAACUCAAAUUUUUUUUUGCCUUUGUUUUUCUAAAUAAUGUAAAAUAUGGUCUUUUCUAUAGAUUUAUAAUCCUUUUGUGUUUUGUUUUUAGAUUUAUUAUCCUUUUAACUAAAAAAAUAUUUAAGUUAAACUUGGUUUUUAAAAACUAAAUAUAAUAGCUAAACUUUGUAUAACAAUAAACACAAAUAAAAUAUAUUUUUCAAUAUAUUAAAUGGUGAUUAUAAGUUGAUGUUGAAAUUCAAGGCUCUCCUCAUCACCAACUUUUUUUCUAAAUUAACAUGUCAUUUGAAAUAAGGGCUAAUUUAAACACAAAUAAAAAUAUACGGGUUCAUUUGGGUACCAUAAAAGUAAACUAGUUCAAGGACUCUUUUAAGAAUUUAACCAUUUGCUGAACAUUGUCCCAUUGGAAGACCUCGACUUUUGUGGGUAAAAGAUACAAAGAAAGAAGACUGUCGUUUCCUAAAAAGUGUGCGAGUGACAAUUUUCUUGACUCAGAUAAUUAGCUAAUCCCCUCCGGUCGUUGCCUUUGUUAAAUCUCAUUUUCAUUUAAUACUAGGAUGCCAAAGCUCCCUUUGUGUAUUUUCCUCUCUUCUUCCUCAAUCUCACAAUCCAUACACUUUCAUGGCAUCUUCUUCAUCAUCUUCUCGUUAAAUGAUACAUUAAGUUUUCUUAACCUUCAAAGGUGAAGACACAGGCCUUAACUCAAUAUUUAAAACUCAAAUUGACUUAAUCAAUCCAAAUUAUUAAUUAAAAUUAACCCAACAUGCCUGGUUCAUAGGUUUAGUUAAGGGGUAAUAGGUCAAGGACAAGGCUAUAUGCAUGAAGUUACGACAGAUGGGUGUGGAAAAGUUGGGGUCCUAUUUGCCAUUAUGUUAGUUAUGUGAGUGCCGAAUUUGAAUAUGUUCAAUUUUUAUUAAUAAUUUUCAUUUAUUUGUAUCGUUGGAUGGACAAGAUCAAAAUAGAUGCUAUUAAUGGUAUAAGCUUGAUUAAGUCUUCUUUAGUUUUAGUCUAUUAAUUUUUUUCUCUCUCUAAAAUUUGAAUUUUUUUAUUUUUUAAAUAAUUUUUUUCUCAUUUUGUUAUUUAAAUUAAUAUUUAAUUUAUCUUAAAUCGUUUCUACUAGUCUAAAUAGAAUUGUCAAUGAAAAAUGUGUAUCUUUCUUCCCAUCCUUUUCAAAACCUUACAUAACAUAUAAAGUCAGAAUAUCUCUAAAUGAAGAGUCGGAACUUAAGUACAAAUUAUUUUAGUCUUAAUUAUAUAUGUUCAAUUAAUCAUUUUGCUAGCUCAACACAAUCAUUUACGGAUUUCAUUUGAACCGAAACAGAUUUCAUUUGAACCGAAAUGAAAAAAGAGAAAAAGAAAUAGAUUGCAUGUAUCACUAUCUACAAUGAAUGUGUUUUUUCGCUAAGAACAAGAAAUGACUUAUAUUAACUUAUUUCUUUAAAUUAUUAUUUAAUUAAUUAUAAUUAAAUAAUUAAAGUUUGAAGGGAAAAUUAAAUUAAUUAAUCAUUGUGGUUUUAAGGAAUGAGACAAUUAAAUUUAUUUACUCAUAGGUUCUAGUACGAUAAAGUUAUAAUGACUUUAACAAAAUUAAAAUUUAGUUGAGAAAAUAAUUUUAAUUGAAGGAAUUAGUUAAAUUUAUUUUAAUUAAUUAUAAACAUAAUAUUUUUACAAUGAAACUUGAUAUUGGGUUGAAUAAAUUAUAUGAAUUAAUUUAAAGUUCAUAUAGACCUGAUCAAUGGUCGAGUCAAUGCAAUUUUUUAAGCUUGUUUUCUAGGCUCGACCCGACCUUCCUGUAUUAUUUUUUUAGAUUAUUUUUCAUAAAAAGAUAAAUUUAAAAAAUAUAAUAUAUCAAAUAUACUAAAAAUAUUAAAAUAAGUGUUUCCCAACAAAUUGAGAAUAUAUUUAAAAAAUUUAUACUUAAAUAACACUAACACAUUGCAACAUAGCAAAAAAAAACCUUCUAAAAUAGUAAUAAAAUUAACAACAAAACAAGAAAUACAAUAUCCAAACAAUAACAGUAAAAUAAUAACAAUAUAAUAAUAAAAUAGUAACAAAACAACAACAUAACAAUAUUAAACAACAACAGAAAUUUUUUUCCCCAAAAUAUUUAAACUAAGUUUAAAUUUUAAAAUUGAAAUUAUAAAAAAAAAUUACUUAAAUUAUAUCCCGAAUAAAAACUAGGCUCAAACCAUAAAAUCAAACAUAGCAAGUAAAAGAAAUCACGGGUGCGGUACGGUUCCUAAGGUACACGCAUUGACAGUUUUGGUCUGUAAAAGAUUUAAAGAACAUUGAUUAUCCCAUGUGCUGUGACCAGUGAUGUAAUUUGGUUUCUUUUGCCUCAAUCUCACAACCCAUACUCUUUCAUGCUUGCUUGCUUGCUUCUUCUUUUUUUCUCAAAAAAUGGGUCAUCAAAUAAAUACUAAUAUUAAAUAUUUUAAUUAGGUUGGUGUAUAAGUUAUUUAAAUGUUAAUUUAAUAAAAAAAUAGUUAAAAACUUAAGAGUGUAAAAGUUGGAAUCAUAUCCAAUUUUCAUGCUGUCUUAAUGUAGAACAAGCAACAAAUGAUACCCAGCAAGUAUCUAAACAAUUUUCUCAUACAGAAGUCACAGUCAAGGCUUACUAAAUAUCACACAAGGGCUGAAAUAUACUAUAAAAGUCUGUUUUAGGCUUGCAUCUACAAUUUUUAAAUUGAUCUCAUAUUAUAAAAAAAUAAAGUGUUUAAAUAAAAACAAAUCAAAUUCCAUGUGAUUGUUUGAUGAUUAAAAGUGUUUACCGCUCUAAAUGUGAUCUGAAUUUGAGUCGUUUUAAUCACGUUUAUUGAUUUGAGUUGUUUUACUCUGUUAUUUUAAUUCAUCAAAAUAAUAAUAAUAAUAAUAAUAAAUCAAGAUGAUAGGUGUUUAAUGCAUCUUCUAUAUCACUCCAAAAAAAAAAGUUAUGAGUCACAUAUGGAGGGGUGACUUUUCAUACUUUGGUGCAUUAUGAGCUUACAGCUAGACGACUGUAACCUGCAGAUUUUCCAAUGGAAAUUUAGCCAAGAGGAUGACUCUGACAGCUUUGUAGCAUGGUUUUGAUUUGUUUUUUUUUUUUUUUUUUUGCAAUCAAUGAAUAAAGAUAAGGAAAAGUACAGUAAAGUCAAUAUGAUGUGAACUUAACUUUGGGGGUGUGGGAUCAAAUAGUAUAAUUAUUCAAUACCUAAAUACUUGUUUUAUAGACUAGGCAUGAAAAAGAGUUUUGUUGAGUAAUAUUCUCUCAUGUUGUAUUAAGAAAAAUAUGGGGGUAUUUGUACAUAUUCUUAUUGUUACUAUUACAACUCACAAUAGGGCCAAUUGUUUUGUCUUGAUCUUUGGGCCGAGAGUGCUAACAUUCUCUGUCCCUAGUGCUGACAUUCUCUAGGCCUCCUUUAGCUUAUUGGACCCUUGCUUGCAAAGCAUGCGGUCCUUUCUGACCCUAGGACUAACUCUCCCAACGAACCUCGCACCUACCAGUCAUGAGCGAAGGUUAUCUUCGCAGAUACGGCUUGCGACCUCGUCCCUACGAGGUUUACUCGAGCUCUCUUCUUGCGACCUCAUUCCUACGAAGCUUACGCGAGCUCUCCUUAUGGUUUCCCGCGUGAGCUAUCUUCGCAAACAUCUUGUACCCCCGCGAGGUCCUCAGAUGACUAUACCUAAUUUUUUUAGGGUCGAGUUCAUCUGGUUCGGAGGUCCAGAUCUUAUCGGCCACUUGGACUAUUGGUUUCCAAAUCCUAACAAUCUAGUCCCCCUUGGUGCACCUAAGGGACGUUAUAAAGUGGUUGGCCUUAGGUCCAUUUCAGACGUAGCUUGCUAGGUACGCCGUGGGGCCAUAGUGUAUGAUAGUUAUCUUACCAUGUGCAAAUCCAUGCAUUGGGGCGUGCAUCCGAAUGUUGAGAUACGAAUGAUUUUUUUGUGCUCGCAUAUGAACCGUUGGUUUAUUUUUGGUUACCCAAACGGUUUCAGGGGUCUCCCUUUAAAAAGGGAUGGCCAACGUUUUAGGUUUCUCCAUUGUUUGGCUUUUUUGUAUAUCGAAAUCGAGGUAAAUCUCAUGAAUUUCUCUGUUUCUUAACUCUGAUAUAUGUUUUCUUUCUUCUUUUGUUCAAAAUAUGGUAAGAAUGAGAUGAGCUCACAACCAGAUUGUAUUGGCUUGUUCGAUUCUAAUCAUCGUGACUGAAAAACCUAUGCCUACACCACAACACCAGAGGAGAUAAAACGGGCUCUGACCGUGCGGGGAAUUUAGCUUCCUUACUUCGCUUAUGACUUUUCCAUUCCCUCGAGGUCACACCACGUAUGUAAGGCGACGGAGGACGGUUUUUUCUUUCGUUGCAAGUUUUGGAAGUGCACUUUCACCUUCUUUUACACCCUUUCUUUUGCAGUCUCCUCAAUGACUAUAGGUUCUUUCCUGGCCAACUUUUCUGUUUCUCUUGGUGGCUCGAUAUGGCGUAUUUCUUUGACUGAUACUAGCAUGAUGAGGUUCCUACUUUCCCUAUCUUCCAACAUCUGUAUCAGCUGAAGGUGACUGACUUGGAGGAGUCCGCGGGGUUCUACUAUUUUUCCCUUUUCAGAAGGUGCAAACAAUUAUCAAAAACUAAUGUAAGAAUUUUCUCCUAAAACAGGGGAAAUACAUCUAAUUUCACAGUCUACUUGGUGAGGGCUUUGGGUUUUCCAUUAGAUGGUCUUCCCCUAGCAAGGAUAUAUACGUUUUUCAAAGGAGCCUCACCACUGAUGAGGCUAUCGUGCAAUAUUAGAGAUUGCGCGUUGGUCGCAUGCUAGCCUUGAAGAAGGUUCUAACUACUAAGAAUGUCUUCAGAUUCUAUCUGGAAAAUCUUAGUCCGAAUAGCUAGAGGGCUGGUAAUAACAAAGACAUCGUGCAAUUGGUUGGUUGGCGAUCAGCGAGGGAACUUAGACCUAUGAUUCUUACGACCAAUUGGGGAUAAUAUUGAUGGGGUACUUGAGGGAGCCUGUGAACUUCUUCUACCAUUAUUGCGGGAUAAUGUUUCGUUCCUUUGCCCUCUUAAAAUUUAAGCGAAAUAAGAGGGUCAGAGGAGGUACUAACUUGUUACUUACUUCUACUAAUAUUAGGGUUCUUGGUGGUACAGGAGGCAAUCAAAGCAACAAAUGUAAUUCACAUGAUAGUGACAGCAUCUCACGCGAGCUUAACAUAGCUAUGGACAUCGAUGCUUUAAUAAGUAGUGGCCGCAAGAAGCGCAGGACUUCGACUGGGGCCCUGCGUGUCAAUCCCUCUAGCGAGUAGGAAGGGAGUGGUCCUCAACUAGGGCACUGUCAGAAGAUAAGGGCAAUAGUGGAGACCUUGCUGUUACAGUCACCUCCAUCCAUUCUUCCCCUCUAGUAAACUUGACAACCGUUGCCUAGGUGAGCUCGCCUAUCACCAUCACCGAGGACACUCCCCCUCCCUUGCUUUUGAAGACUCUCCAAUGGCUCCCACAAUUGAAAAAAUAUCCAUUGAAGCUGUGAAGGACUUUCCUUCAUUUUUACACUGUCUAUUAUUUGAGGUUGGCACUCUCGGCCUAAGGUAUGCGGAGGCCCGUGAUAAGGAGCUCACUGAUACUCAGACUGAGUUAGAAAGGGUAAACGAGCUGUACAACAAGGUAAUAGAAGAAAAUAAAAUAAUAAAUGAGUAAUAGGGAGUCCUCACCAAGCGCUUGGUGAUGAUAGAGACGAUAGUGGAGGAGUGUGGAGCUAGCUCAUUGUUGAAAAAGAGAGACACAUAUUCGCAGAAGUGGAGCUGAAGGUUAUUGUGAGGCACUUCAUCGAAAUAGAAAGGAUCAUUAAAGAGUGUAAAGAACAGUUGGAUACUACCCUCCUAAAACAAGGGGAGGUGUUGGCAGCUUCCAAGCAGCAAACUUCUCAGAACAUCUUGAGCUCCCUUCAAAGGUUCAAGGAGAAUCUGCUCCUACAUACCCAGGUCCUCUGUGGCCCCUUUGAUGUCCGUAAGGUGGAUUUUGACACGUUUACGAACAUGGAUGUUAACAACCUGGGCUUCGAUACCUUUAACCCUUCUAGGCUUGCUUGGGAUUCUUUAGUGGCCGCUUGGAAAUGAGAGCUUUUUGUGGAGGAGGGGGAAGGCUCUCAUACUGUAAACCUGGCUCCAUCUGCUGUUGGUGAUGCUGUGAUUUCAAUUCCUCCCUCGGUCACUGGGGAUAUUAAAGUUGCUGCCCCAGCUAUUGAGAAUGUUGCUCCUAUUGAUUAAGAUCAAGGUGAAGGUGAUGAGUAGUUGAACAAUGAUAUUGUACUCAUAUUUUUCUUAAAUUUUUAAUUUCUAGCUAUUCUCUUUGUAUUGAAUUUUUUUUAAAUGAAAAGCGUUGUUGCGAGAUAUUUCAUACUUGGAAUUUUUUUAGAAAAUUUUUAUAUGCGAACCUUGGUCUUACAGUUGGGAGCUUUGCUCUUACUAACUAUGUUUGAGGCCGUGGCUCUUCACUUGUGAACAUUAAUUUUACAACUGGGAACUUUGAUCUUGCUAUCUGUAUUGGACGUCGCGACUCUUCACCUACAAACCUUAAUUUUACAGCUGGGAGCUUUGCUCUAGCUAACUAUGUUGAAGGUCACGACUUUUCACAUACGAACCUUAAUUUUACAAUUGGGAGCUUUACUCUCGCUAACUAUGUUGGAGGUCACGGCUCUUCGCUUGCAAACCUUAAUUUUACAACUGGGAGCUUUGCUCUCACUAACUAUGUUGAAGGUCGUAACUCCUCAUCUAUGAACCUUAAUUUUACAACUGGGACCUUUGUUCUCACUAAUUGUGUUGGAGGUCACGGCUCUUCGCCUGUGAACCUUAAUUUUAUAGACGAUAAUUUUGUGAGGAAGAAAUUUUAUUUAUAUGAUGGGUAUUCAUACAAAAUGCUUUUUAAGGUGUCGGGCAUUCUAGGUUUGCAGUAUCAUAACGCCUUCCAUUCUUGCCAAUUUAUAUGCUCCAUAGCUUAUCUUUUUUACCACCUUGUAUGGUUCCUCCCAACUCAGGGCCAUCUUUUUAGCAGAAGGUCGCCUAUUUGAAACUACUCUCCUUUGACCUUGGAGUUAUAAUAACGAGCUACUUGUUGGGCACGGGCUGUGUUUUUUAUUUCAACUAUUUCUCUAGGUUCGUCGAUUAACUCCAAGUUAAGUCUUAAGGCCACAUGAUUAGCUUUUUCAUUGAAGUGUUGCAUUCUGUGCGAUAUUAGGCCUAUCUCUACAGGGAUGACGACUUCUACACUAUAGACAAUUGAGAAGGUUGUUUCACUCGUCGCAGUAUGGGGCGUAGUUCGUAAUACCCAUAAGAUUUCUGGUAGUUCUUCUAAUUUGCCUGCUUUCUUUUUAAGCGCGGUCAAAAAUUUCUUUUUUAUAGCCUCUACUUGGCUAUUGGUUUGUAGGGUUUCACCGAGCUUUGAGCUAAGGAUACCCGGAAGUUUGUGCAAAAUUUCAUGAACUUCCCUUAGAACUGUGUGUCAUUGUCUAUGAUAACAGUGCGAGGUAUCUCAAACUUACAGACAAUCGACUUCUACAUUAAUGACUCUACCUGUCUCUCUAUUAUGGUUGCUAGAGCUUCUGUCUCAAUCCAAUUGGUGAAUUAGUCAACAGCUACUAUAAUGAACUUUUUCUGCAUUAUGGCUAUAAAAAAUGACCCGAGAAUAUUGACCCCCAUGUCGUAAAAGGGCCCUGUCAUGAUUUGGAGAGGUUCUGCUGGUUGUUGAUGUAUUCUGGCGUUUCUUUGGUAAGGGUCACAUUUUUUAACCAUGUGUUAGGCAUCUUCAUAAAUAGUAGGCCAAUAAUAUCCUUGUCUGAGUAUUUUCUUGCCUCCUAGAUGAUCACCGCAAAUGCCCUCAUGGGUUUCUCUCAUGAUAUACUUAGCUUUUGAUAGAGAGAGGCUUCGCAGAAAUGGGUAUGAAAACCUUUUUUUUAUAUAGCACGCCAUUUAGGAGGGUGUAUCGCGCUGCCUUGCAUUGUUAUUUUUCGAGCUCUUUUCAGUUUCUUAUUUACUGUGCAGUGUAUGGAUUAUAAGGGUCAUCUACAUUUCUUUCUAGGUUGUAGAGAACACUUGGGGAACGUCAUAGCUCGGUGCUUCCUUAUGUUCGAGUAAGAUUUUUCCUCUCUCUCAAUAAUGAUGGAGGAUGCAAGCUUUAACAGGACAUCUACGCACGUGUUGUCAUUUAUUAGAAGCUGUCUAACUUCAGCUUUGUUGAAUCCCUACAGCAAUUGAAUUACUGUUGUAUGAUAUCAUUUUAGUAUUAGUUAUUUAACCUCAUACUCGCGCUGUAUUUGCUUUACGAGGAGCUCAGAAUCGGUGUGCAUAGUCAAAUUCCUAGCACCUAGCUGGCACGCUAAUUGUAGUCCCAAGAUUAGCACUUAGUAUUCGGCGAUGUUGUUUGAUGUUUGAAAUCCAAAUUAUAGUCCAUAUUGUCACUCGUUACCCUCUAGGUCUAUCAUAAGUUCGCCUGCCCCGAAUCCCAUUCUAGCUGCGAAGUCAUCGACUUAAACCAUCCAAUCUUUCGAUUCAUCUAUUGUACGUACACUUCUUGGUGUGUUUACUAUUGGUAGUGUCCAAUAACAAAAAGUAAUUUUAGUAAAAAAUAUAAAGUGAUUAUUGUUUCUCUGCAAAGUGUGAGAAUCAUUAGUGAGAUAAAUUUUAUCGCAUAAUGUGUCACUCGUAAACUUGCUAAUUUUCAUUAGUAUUCACAUAUUACAUUAUGUCCGCGAGGUAUCUCACUAUUCGAUGUUUCAAAUUACAUUCUAUGUUACCUGUUAUAUCUUUAUUUCUUUCGAAUUAGCAUUCUACCAUGAUAUCUACCAACAUCUGCCCUUUUAUUGUCGUCCAUGGGGUAAAAUCUAUCCCAAAUUCAGUAAGUUCAAUGUUCUAUUUUGUUAUCCUCCCCAGGGUGUCUGCUUUGGCGAGCACCUCAUUCUUGGCUAGUUAAUGACCACGACGAUCAGGUGGGUCUGAAAGUAUGGGCGUAGCUUACGAGCUGCAAUGAUUAGAGCAUAGAUGCAUUUUUCUGUAUUUGUGUAUUUGAGCUAGCCAUACUGAAAGACCUUGCUAACAUAAUACAUUAGAAAUUAGAGGAUGUCUUCGGAUUUGACCAAGACGGCUGCGAUUGUUUCUUCUGAGGCUGCUAGGUACAAAUAUAGUGUUUCUCUUCUUUGAGGCGGCCUUAGAAGUGGGAGGAAAGUAAGGUACCAUUUUAGCUAUUUGAAAGUAGUUUGACACUCUUCGUUCCAUGAGAAGGGUUUCUUUAAAGCCCUGAAAAAUUGUAAGCACUUGUAUGCCAUUCUGGAGAUAAAUCUAUUUAUCGUCACCACUCCGACUAUUAGGCGUUGGAUUUCUUUUAUAGUUCGCAGUGGGGGAAUCUCUGUGAUAGCUUGAAUUUUUUCUAAGUUCGUCUAUAUUCUCUUCUAUGAUAUCAUAAAACCCAAGAACUCGCCAGCUCACAUACUGAAUGAGCAUUUUUCGGAGUUAAGCUUCAUAUUGUGGGCCUUCAACAUCGUGAAUGUGUCAAUAGGUUUCGCACAUACUCCUCCAUAGAUUUACUUUUUACAAGUAUAUCAUCUAUAUAUACCUCUAGAUCGCAACCUAUCUGUUCUUUGAAUAUCUUGUUUACCAAAGUUACACUCAGAUUUUUAGUCUAAAUGGCAUAACCUGGUAACAGAAGAGACCUUACUUAUUGAUGAAGGUUGUCUUCUACUGGUCACCUUAGUCUAAUAGGAUUUGAUUGUAGCUCGAGAAGGCAUCCAUGAAGCUCAUGUACUUGUGCCCAGUGGAGAUGUCCACUAGGCAAUUUGUCGACGGUAAGGGGAAGCUAUAUUUAGGGCAUACCUUGUUUAAGUUUGUGAAGUCAAUAAAUCUUACACUUGCAUGUCGUCUUUUUUAUCAUUACCACAUUCAAAAUCUAAUCCAGGUACUCCAAUUCCCUGAUAAAUCUAACGGCUAACAACUUGGUGACCUCCUAUCUUAUUGCUUCGAUUACAUGUGGUGCGAAAUUUCCCUUCUUUGUUUCAUGGCUUUUGCCUUUGGGAGUAUAUUUAACUUGUACACUAACGCUUGGCAGAACCGUUGCGGACUAUGUGAAGACGUCUGAAUUCCCCCUCGAGCAUUCGACCACUAAAAUCUUUUUUUCUCCAUUCAGUGCUAACAAAAUUCUGACUGUUCUUUCUUUAUUACUGCAAAAUAUCUGUAGGGUCUCUGUGUGCUCUGCUGUAUUGGGUUUUGUAUAUUGAUGUUCUUCCCUCAUAUUUAGGUCAUCCAAGUUGAUGGCUUUUCUUGGCGAACUUUGCUUCUUGAUUAGAGGCUGUUUUGCCUACCUCACAGACAGUAUGUGACACUGUCUCACCGUGCACUGGUUGACUCACAAGAAGUUGACGUCGGAACUUGUCUGAAACUUGAUCUUCAUACAAUAAGUUGUCAUCACCAUCUUUUCCAUUUGCAUGAUUGGUCUACCAAAGAUGGCGUUACAUGCCAUUGGGUAAUCAACCACAUAAAAUUGGACACAUUUCGUGGUCGUAUGUUCGCUAUCACCCUGAGUGACUGGUAAUGUGAUAAUGCCCCUUACUUUGGUAGGAUGGUUUGAAAAGUAGUACAAAGGGCUGGUUACGAAUAAUGAUUACUUUUUUAAGCCUAUUUUCUUAUAUGCUCCCCAAGAUAGGACUUCUACUACGCUGCUACUAUCGGCAAGUAUCCUUUUGACUUCAAACCUUACGAUCUAAGCUGAAACCACUACUGGGUCAUUUUCAUCUUCGUCGCGGACUAGCUCAUCAUCACCACUUCCAAACUCCAUAUUUUACUAUUCAUAGUGUCUCAGUUUCUUCGAGAUACUAAGCGACAUCACACCACUCAUGUGAGCUCGCUUCUUUUUGUGCUUAACUGCAUCCACUCAUUGCUUGUGCCUACUAUUACAUGAAUGGUUCCUCAUACCCUUUGCUUUUCCUUGGGGUCCAGUCCUUACGAACUCUGGCCCUGUUAGAAACCUCCCUUGUUUAUGAACUCAACAAGUUCGCCAUUCUAGAUAGCUUCUUCUACGGUGUCCUUUAACAUGAAGCAGUCUUCGAUCUUAUGUUCUGUAUCAUCAUGGAAGGCUUAUUGAUCCUUAGAAUUCGUCCCUCUACCGGUACUUCGCAUCAGGGGUGAUUUAGAAAGGAUGCACAAGCUCUUCACCUGGUUAAUGAUGUAAGCUCGUGUGGCAUUCAAUAAGGUGUAAGCUUCGAACCUGCCUUGGGGGGUAUAACGCCUCAUGUACUCAUGUUGGUGCCUUUGCGGGUUUUUAAAUAAAUCACUUUGGGUUGAGGUCUUGUGUGACCUAUCGGUCCUAACCCGCAAGAACUAGUUGCUAGGAGAUUGCCUAGUGCGUUGCCCUUCUCUGUUCCUAGGUUGUCUAUCCUCCCUUUAAAAUCUAACUCGUGAUACCUUCUUGAUUUCUUCUGCCUUCGUGAACUUACGAGCUCGUUUGUAUAGGUCAGCUAGGCUCUGAACCUAUUAUCAGUUAACGAGUACUGCAUAUAGUCAUUAUGCACCCCUAUGAUGAAUGCUUCUAUUGCUCAUUGGUCUUCUAAGUUUUUUGUGUUGAGUGUAGCUAUGUGAAACCUCUUUAUGUAGUCUUGGAGAGACUCACCCUCUCGGUACUUAACCGAUAUUAGCCCCAUAGGUGUAUUCAUGAUUGCUCGGUGGGUCUAAAAUCUUCUCAAGAACAUUUUCCCUAGCUAUGAGAUGUUGCAAACUGAGCCUUGGUGGAAGAGAGAGAUACCAGCCAUUGGUGCUUGCUUUCAGCGUUGUAGAGAAUGCUUUGUAUUUUGCAGUGUCUGAUGCUCCCAACACAUUCAUAUAGUUGUUAUAUUGCAUUCAAAUAUGUCCUUAGGCACCUUGAAGUCACGGGGUAGGCCAACUUCCGCGAUUUCGAGAGCUAAAAGGUUAUUAGAACAAAACAACCAGUCUAUGUCUUGCGACUCUAGCUGCAGGGCCCGUAUGUCGCGACAAAGCUCAUCCAUCUCAUUUAUCCACUCCUUCACCUAAGUGCUCGUGGCUUCAUUUUGGGUGGUAACAUUUAUUGGGAUCCCGAGUUAUUGGCUUGUGCCUUUUAGCGUAGUUCCUUAUUUUGCCUUAGUAACUCCUAUUGAAAGGCUUGCUGUUCCACAAAUCGUGCCUCUUGUGCCGUCAUUUACUCCCUCAUGAACUUCAUCUACUCCUAGAGGGCUUGGAGCUACGAGCAGGGUGGUUCUUAGUUGAGGGAAUAGAGCAUUCCCUAAUCGGAGGAGAGAUUAAGGUCUAAGGAAGGAGAAGGCCCUCGAUAAACCGUAUUCUCGAGGUUUUCGGGCCUGACAGCAAAUCAGACAACAAACAAGUCUAUUUCAUCAUGUCAAGGGUCGGGACUCGAUGCUUCUAUCUGACUGGAGGAGAGGAUGAAAGGAGAGGUGUAACAGCCUAAUUUUCAGUGGUGUUGGAACAGUGAUUCGAGAUCACUAAAUCCGACAAAUGAGUAGGAUAUAUUAAUUUAGUGUGUAUAAAUUAAAUGUGCAGUUAGGAAAAAUUUUGAAAUAGUGAAUAAUGUACUAAAAAUAAAUAUUAAAAUAAUUAAAAUUGAAAAUGAGGUAUCGAGACCUCGAGAAUUUCAAAUCGAGCCAUAAAUAUUUUUAUAAAUAUUUAUGGAGUGUUAAUAUGUUAGUAUUAAAGUUUCGUCAAGAAAUUUUAAAGUUUUGAUAGUUAAUUGAACAAAAAGGACUAAAUUGUAUCAAAUGCAAAAUUUUGAGAAAUGAUUAAAUAGCUUAAUUGAUAAAAGAAAGAGGGUUUAAAAGGAAAAUAGACCCAAGGUCUAUUUGGGCUGGACGGCAAGGGCAUGAAAUCAGCAAGAAAAUAAGGAGAAUUAAGGGCAAAAUUGGAAAAUUCCCAAAAUUAACUAAAUAAAAAUGGGACCAAUUUGGAAUAUCUAGAAUUCUCUUCAUUUCUCUUCAUAUUAAUCAGCUGAAAAAUAGCCAUGGAGGAGGGUUGAAGCUGGUUUUCAUACUCUAGCUUCAUGUAAGUUUAAUUCUUGCUUUCCCCUUGAAAUUUUUAUGUUUUUGUGACUUUUACAACUAGGUCCACUUGUUGAAUUCAUUAGUUUUUGAUUCUAUGAAAGAAAUUAAGUUGCUAUGAAUAUGUUAUGGAAGUAUAUAUGAUUUGGCAUGGAAUUAGAGCUUUAAAUUGUUUAUAUGCUGAUUUUAUUGAAAGAAUUGAAUAGAAAGUGAAUGUUUAGGACCUAAUUGUAAAAGAGUUUGAAGUUAGAGUUUUAUAUGGAAAUUAUGAAUUUCAAUAGUUAUGAAAUAACUUAUAAUGUUUAGGAAAAGUAUUAAUUGAGAAAAUUAUCUUAAUUUAUGGGUUAAUUGAGUAAGGACUGAAUUGUAUGAAUUGUGAAAUUUGGGGCAAAAUGGAAAUCAACAUUUUGCACUAAAACUGUUUUGGACAGCAGCAGUAGUCUAACUUUGAAAAAUCACCAAAAAUUUUAGAAAUGGAAUUAGAGGAUGAAUAAAAUAUGAAAUUAAAGAUUAUUGAGUCUAGUUUCUUAUAGAAGAAAUAAUGUAAGCAAUGGAAUUGUAAAUCAUGAGAUAUGAUAAAUUUUGUGAGACAAGGUCAGAAUGAAUUCGAGAUCCACUGUCCUGACUUUAGAAAUUUACCAUAAAUUGUAAAAAACUUAUUAAGAGUCAUAAUUUACAUGCAUGGAUUCCUUAUUGAGUCUAUUAUCAAGAGAAACAAACAGGAACAUCAUUCAAAUCCUGUACGAGGAGAUAAUUAGUUUUUAGUGAAGAAGGGUCGGAACUAUCAGACAGCAGAACAGGGGAGACUUCAAUGAAUAAACUGUAUUAAUUGGCCCAACCAAAAAUUAUGAAAUUUUUAUGGUAAGAAGACGUAUGAGUCUAGUUUCUGGGAAAAUUUAUGGAUCUUAAUUUGGAGUUCUUUAGCUCAAUAUAAAAAUAAUUUAGUGACUAUGACAUAGAUGGACAGCUUGAAUAUUCACCUAAGUAGAUAGUAAAAAUUAUGGAUAAUGUUACCUACAAAUCUGUUGUUUAUACUAAGGUCUUGUUUAUACUAAGGAUGUGGAUGGAGAGGAGGAGGAGGAAAAAUAUACAUAUAUAUGAAUGACUUGUGUAUAAAUUGAUCACAUGCCCGAUUAUAAUCAAUGAAUGUUGAAUUAGAAAUGAUAUAAUAUUUUAUUUGGAAUAUUUAUGAAUGUUAAUUGUUGAAAAUAAGUAAAUUGUGUACAAAAGGUAUGAAAUUGAACUGAGUAUUUCGAAAGAAUGGAAUACAGGAAAUGAGUACGAUCUUUCAGUGAAAAAGAUGAAUUGACGGUAAAUUACCCAAGUAAACCGAGAUUCAGCAUUUGUUGCGAAUUCUCGUGUUUACUUUCCGUUUAGCUCUUACGAGCUUCUGCUAACUCAUAUGAUUUCAGUUAACCCUUUUGGGGUUUCAGUUCAGCUCUGAUGAGCUUCAGUUAGCCUUUGGGCUUCCGUUUAGCACUUAUGUGCUUCAGUUAGCCUUCGAGCUUCCGUUUAGCACUUAUGUGCUUCAGCUAGACUUCGGGUUUCAGAUCACGAUGUACUUCAAUUUGUAAGUCGUUUCUUAAAUGGAGAAGCUGGUAAGUUGUAAAUGUAACGUGUGGAAAAAGAAAUGUAAGUAAUGCUAUUAUUAUUAUUGAGCUCAAUUAUAUGAUUUCGUCAUUCGGAGAUUGCGAUUGACAAAAUAUGUUAGUAAAUUAUGAGUAUGUGAAUCAAAGUGACAGAAUUUAAACACUUAAUGAGGUUGAGCUCAUUCACAUGAAUUUGUCAUUUGAAAUUGUGAUUGACAGGAAGAAACAGUGAAUUGCAUACUUAUGAAUGGUUACAUAUAAUUACCUGAAAAACAAGAAAAAUGACAGUGAUUGAUAUAUGGAGACAUGAGACAUUGAUAUAUGAAUGUGGAAUAUAUUUGAUAAAUGUGUUCAUUCAUAAUUAUGGAAUUAUGUACCUCAAGUGUGCUAUUUGCAUAAAGAUGAUAUUUCAAAUACUUUGGUGAAUAAAGAUUAAAUAUGAAAUUGUAUGAAAUCGAGACAAGAUGUUAUGAAAAUAUAUAUAAAUUAUCCGUAAGUGUGUCGUACUUAUUGGCAAUGCCUCGUACUCUAUUCCGGCGACGGAUACGGGUAGGGGGUGUUACAAGAGGUCUCGUCGGGGUGAGUCAUUUUUUGCUUUAGGUUGAAGAGAAUUGAAUCAAACUAGAGAAAAUAUGUCAGUCAAAAGUAGUCCACCUUCAUCGCACCAAUUGUUGAGUAAUAUUAUCUUGUGUUGUAUUAAAGGAAACACAGGGGGGAUUUAUACACAUUCCUACUACUACUAUUACAGCUCAAAAUAGGAUACACUAUUUUGUCUUGGCCUUUGGGCUGAGGGUAUUGACAUUCCCUAUCCUUGGUACUGACAUUCUCUGGGCCUCCUCUGGCUUAUUGAAUGCUUACUUGCGGAGCACGCAGUCCUUUUUGACCCUGAGAUUGACUCUCCCAACGAACCUCGCACCUACUAGUCACGAGCAGGGGUCCUCUUCGCAGACAUGGCUCGCGACCUCGUCCCUGCAAGGUUUACGCAAGCUCUCCUCUUGCGACCUCAUUCCUGCGAGGCUUACAUGAGCUCUCCCGCGGGCUUCCAGCGAACAUCUUACAUUCCUGCAAGGUCCUCAACUGACUAUGCUUGUAGGGGAGCAUUCUUCUUCCGGGUGGGGUUCAUCUGGGUCGGAGGUCCAGAUCCUAUCGGUCACUUGGACUAUCGAUUCCCAAAUCCUAACAAGUUUCAUUAAUUGGACACUGAUCUAAAACGUUUGAUAACAACUAGCGUUAUUGACAAUAUUAUGCAAAUUACGAGUAUAUCUAAUCAAGAGGCGGAAUUAUUCGUUCAAACUUAAAGGUUUGUUCAACAUAUAAAGGAAUUUGAACAAAAAUACGAUACUCAAAAAAUAAAUUUAGACAAAAUUUAAGAUUUUUUUAUUCAAGCCGAGAAUUGAUUAAUACCCACCAAUGUAUAAGAAAUUUUAAUGCAACCCACAAGUUUUUAAUUGAUUAAUUAAGUGAACUUUUCUCAUAAUUGAUAAUGUAUCUUACUUAACUUUAUUAAUAUUAAGAUUUUAUUUAAGUUGCGGUAAUGCUAAUUUAAUUAAAAUUUCUAUUUAAAAACAUAAAUAAAAUUAGAUUUAUGAAACACCCACGAGAUAAAUGAAAAAAUUAUGUAACACAUAUGUUUAUAAAAAAUUUCACAUAAAAAAAAUUUUAAUUGGUAUUUUCGUUACAAUUGUAAAAUUAAUUACUUAUAUGUUGUUCUAAAUUCAAAUAUCAUUAUGUUUAAAUUUUUAUUGAUUUAUUAUAAAAGGAUAAAAGCAACCUCAUAAAAUAUAACUUAAUUUGUAUAUUAUAGGAUAAUUUAAUAGUUUUUAAUAAAAAAUAUACAUUUUUGCCAACAAAAUUACAGUUACAACAUGGCCUAAAAAUCCCAUAAGAUGAAAAUAAAAAUGGCAUCAAGAAGAAAGAAGCUCAAUGCUACAUUGCCAAAAAAUCUGCAGUAAGAAGAGACCCCACGAUGGUACCCAAAUAGAAGUCAUCCACCACAAAAGAAGAGAACAUUAAUCAAUUCACCCCUAUACAAUUUAAAUUACUUAUAACACCAUUUAAAAAAAAAACCAAUAACUUAUAACACCAAUUUGCAUAAUUAUAUGUAAAAAGAUUCAGGGACGCGGUACGGUUUCAAAGGUACACAGGCACAUUGACUGUUUUUGUCUGUGAAAGAUAUAAAGAAAAUUGAUUAUCCCAUGUGCUGUGACCAGUGAUGUAGUUUGGUGUCUUUUGCCUCAAUCUCACAACCCAUACUCUUGCUUGCUUGCUGCUUCUCAAAUACUCUUAAUUCUAAACCCUAAAUUAUAAAAAUUAUUUUAAAAUUUAAAAUUGUUAAAUUGUUAAAUUUUAAUUAAUUGUAAAUGUGGCACACGUGAAAUAUCAUACUAUAGAUGUCACAUCAAUAAAGUUAAUAGACUUUAACUUUUUUAUUAAUUUUGAGGUGAUUUGAUAAAAAAAAUGUAAAUUCAAGCAUUAAAAAAAGUGAAAAAUUAAAUGAACAGCUAAAAUAAUUUUUCUUAUAAAAUUAGAGGGCUAAAUAAAUAAUUAUGCCUUUGGCUUUGUAAAAAUAUAAUUCAAUGAUGUCUUAAUGUAGAACAAGCAGCAAAAGAUACCCACCAAGUAUCUAAAUAAAUUUCUCAUACAAAAGCUUGUAAAUAAUUUGACACAGUCAAGAACUUACUAAAGAUCACACAAGGGCUGAAAUAUACUAUAACAAGGGUUGAGAGCAUUUAGUAACUACUUGUAAACAAAGCAGUAAAAUCAGUCCUAAUUAAACCAAGCACACUUACAUCACAACCAUAACAAGUUUCCAAAAGUCCUAAUUGCAGCGGUCCUAAAAUGUGGCUGUGAUUUGAGCUAUUAUACAGUUCUUGAAGCUUCGGACUAGAGCAUGACAGUUUCAUUGAGUAUCAAUUCACCCUCAGAUUCCUUGGGGGAUGUCUUGCUAAUUGGUUGAUCCUUCAUGUGAAAGAUAUCAAUUUUCGUGAAUGUCUUGCUAAGCGCAUAUAUUUUACACUUUUUAGGCCGAAGAUUUAGCAUUUUGCACAAUCCUUAAGUAAAAUGGUGCAUAUUAGAGUGGACAAUAAUGAGCUUCGCAUAAAGGACAAAUAUUGCCAAAUCCUAUUUUUAAUUUCAAGAUAACGUUUGACUUUAGUUAAAAAAGAAAAAGAAAAAGAAAAAAUAAACUUAGGGUUAUCCACAUAUUUUAUAAAUUAGAGUGGAAUCUUAACCCUGAAGAACUUAAAAUUAUUUAUUAGCUAAAUGGUUACUAGUGAUAGUUGUUGCUGGUACAUAAUUAAAAUGAUUUUUAAUGCAGAAAUCCAUGGUUUGAUUCAUGGAUCUUGAUGGGGCCGGGUUUUUGGUUUAAUAUUCAAACUCAAAUUGAUGUUGAACUUGUUGCAAGCUUGGAUAUAUACCAGAUAUUUCAUGCCACCUGUAAAGAAAGAAUAAAAAGGUUUCAAUAUUCAUCAAAGACUCAGUCUACCAAAAAACGAGUUCAAUCUCAUUCCCAUCUAAUAAGCAGAUACCAAAGAUGAUGCUACUAAUAAUUCUUGUCAUUCUUCUUCUUGUAUUUCUUCUUCAGAAGUACGAAAAAGAGAGAAGCCCAGCAAAGGAAAGCUCCCAUUGUGUAUCUCGUUCUCUUGUGCCUCAAUCCGACAAUCCAUACCCUUUGACUUCUUCAUCUUAUCAAGUCAAACAUCAAGUUUUCUUGAGCUUCAGAGGUGAAGACGUACGCCUUAACUUCACCAGCCAUCUACUCAAAGCUUUGAAAGAUACGGGAAUUAAUGUAUUCUUCGAUGAAGAAACAUUGGAAAGAGGGAAGCAACUUUAUUGAAGCAAUGGUUAGCAUGUAGCAAUCACAUGUUUUAUUAUUAUUAUUAUUAUUAUUAUUAUUAUUAUUAUUAUUAUUUGGAUGUAAUGAUGUAACUUAGUUGUAUUCCAACUAAGUUUGUUAGUGGUAGUAGGUGGUGAUUUAUUUUAAGUGGAUGUAAUGAUGAAACUUAGUUGUAUUCCAACUAAGUUGUCAAGUUGUAAGCUUGUAUAAAUAGGCUUUAUGCCAUUUUAAAAAAUAUGAAUGAAUUCAAUCAAGAUUUCAUCCAUAUACUCUCUAUUUUAGCUUUGCUUAAAAUUUAUUUCAUUUUUCUUCUUUGUUUCUGCCGCAAGUCUCGAUUCUUGCUCAUCAAGCUUUUUGUUGAACCUUGCUAUUUGUUGCACUUAGCUCCAACAAUUGGUAUCAAGAGCCUAUUUCUUAAGGGAUCUGUUAUACAAAUUCAUGGCUUCAUCAAGCUUUUCACCAGCUGCACCUCAAGUCUUCAAUAGAGAAGGCUACCACAUAUGGGUGGUUAAAAUGAAGACCUACCUACAAGCUUUCGAUCUGUGGGAGGUAGUCAACUCAGAUGUUGAACCAGAGCCACUCAGAGGCAAUCCAACAGUGGCUCAAAUCAGGCAGCAUGCUGAUGAGAGGACCAAGAGGCACAAAGCCAUGUCUUGCAUCCAGAACUCAGUGUCAGAUGUGAUUUUCACAAGGAUUAUGGCCUGUGAAUCACCAAAACAAGCCUGGGACAAGUUGCAAGAGGAGUUUCAAGGGACAGAGAGGACAAGGCAGCAACAGUUGCUGAACUUAAGGAGAGAUUUCGAGAAUUUGAAGAUGAAGGAAGAAGAAACUAUCAAGCAGUACUCUGACAGGAUUAUGGCUGUUGUUAACAGCAUUAGGCUCCUUGGAGAGCAGCUCAAGGAAGCUAGAAUAGUGGAGAAGGUUAUUGCAACUCUGCCCGAGAGGUAUGAGGCAAAAAUCUCAUCUCUCGAGGACUCAAGGGACCUGUACACCAUCUCCCUGACAGAGUUGAUCAAUGCUUUAUAUGCUCAAGAGCAAAGAAGAGCAAGCAGACUGGAGGAGCAUCAAGAAGGUGCCUUUCAGGCAAGAACAAACAUUGCCUACAAAGGCAAGAAGGCCUGGAGAGACAAGCCAAGGACUGAUGUUGCAAGAAAAGAGGGUCAGACUUGCAAGCACUGCAGAAGGGCUGGUCAUCCAAAAGAAAAAUACUGGUUCAAUCCAGAUGCUGUAUGUCAGCAUUGUAAAAAGAAGGGUCAUGUUGAGAGAGUCUGCAAGAGCAAGGCCAAAUCAAGGCAGAGUCAGUUUCAACAGAUGAAAGCUGAGGCUCGAGUAGCUAAGGAGGACAGUGACCAAGAGGAGCAAGUCUUUGCUGUGUUAUGCUCAGCUGCUCAAGAAAGGUUCUCAUCUGGUUGGCUUCUAGACAGUGGAUGCACCAACCACAUGACACCUGAUGCUGUAAUCUUCAAGUCUUUAGACAGAAGCUGCAGAACUAAAGUCAAGAUAGGAAAUGGACAUUUUAUUCAAGCUGAAGGCAAGGGUGAUGUGCUGAUAUGCACCCCCACAGGUGCCAAAGUGAUUUCAAAUGUGCUUUUGGUGCCUGAAAUUGACAGAAACCUGCUCAGCAUAGCUCAGUUGCUGGAGAAAGGUUAUUCUGUUGUGUUCAAAGACAACCAAUGCCAAAUCAAUGAUCCAAGUGGAUCCAAGCUGAUGGCAGUUCCUAUGGCUAAUAAGAGCUUUGUAGUUGACUGGACCAGGGAGUCAAACAUUGCCUACACAGUCACAUCAGAUGAAUCUAAGCUUUGGCAUCAAAGACUGGGACAUGCCAACUUCAGAUCGAUGGCUCGAAUGGUCAGAGAGGACUUGGCUGAAAACUUCAUCAACUCAGUGGAUCAUGAUGAUGUGUGUGAAGUGUGUCAGCUAGAAAAGCAGGCCAGACUCCCAUUUCCCUCGAAUCAAGCCUGGAGAGCCUCUGAAAAACUCCAACUGGUGCACACUGAUGUGUGUGGCCCUAUGAGGACUGAGUCAUUAAGUGGAAACAGGUACUUCAUACUGUUCAUUGAUGAUUUUUUAAGAUAUUGUUGGCUUUACUUCCUAAAACAGAAAUCAGAGGCGGCCUCAGUGUUUUGGAAGUUCAAGACUGCUGCUGAGACUGAAACAGGUUGCAAGCUGAAGUCCAUAAGGUCUGAUAAUGGGACUGAGUACACCUCAGCUCAGUUCCAAGCCUUCUGUGAUAAGGCAGGCAUCAAACAUCAACUUACCAACACAUAUACACCUCAGCAAAAUGGUGUAAGUGAAAGGAAGAAUAGGAGUUUGAUGGAUAUGGCCAGGUGCUUGAUGAUUCAGAAGAAUCUGCCUAAAGCACUAUGGGCAGAGGCAGUUAACACUGCAAACUACAUUCAAAAUAGGCUUCCAACCAAGGCCUUGGAUCAGAAGACUCCAUUCGAAGCCUGGUUUGGAUUCAAGCCAUCACUGGCUCAUCUGAAGGUCUUUGGAUGCAUCUGUUAUGCUCAUGUACCUGCUGUAAAAAGGGAUAAAUUAUCUGAAAGGGCUCGACCUGGUAUUUUGGUGGGCUACAGCACUGUUAAGAAGGGCUAUAGGAUCUUGGAUCCUUCAACAAAGAAAGUGCCAGUCAGUAGGGAUGUGGUAUUUGAUGAAAAGUCAUGUUGGAACUGGGAAAAACAUGAACCUGAGGAAGUUUCAGAAGGACUUGCAGCAGAUCAAGCUGAGCCAGAUCAAAAUGUUCCUGAAAUGGACAUUGAUGAUGAACCAGUUAGAGGAACAAGACCAUUGACUGAGAUUUAUGAAAGAGCUCAUGUAGCCAUAGCUGAACCAAGCAAUUUUGAAGAGGCUGAAGCUCAGCAAGAGUGGAAGCAGGCAAUGGCUGAGGAGAUUAGCAUGAUUGAGAAGAACCAGACUUGGGAAUUAGUUGAAAGGCCAGUCAAAAGGAAGAUAAUUGGGGUGAAAUGGGUGUACAAAGCCAAGCAAAAUGCUGAUGGUACCUUGAACAAACUGAAAGCAAGGCUAGUUGUCAAGGGGUUCAGUCAGAGGUAUGGCCUGGACUACCUGGAGACCUUUGCACCAGUGGCCAGACUAGACACCAUCAGAUUACUGAUUGCCUUAGCAGCACAGCUCGAGUGGAAGAUCCAUCAACUCGAUGUGAAAUCAGCCUUUCUGAAUGGUUUCUUAGAUGAAGAGAUCUAUGUUGAACAACCACAAGGGUUUGAGAUAGCUGGCAGAGAGCAUAUGGUCUACAAACUGAAGAAGGCCCUAUAUGGCUUAAAACAGGCUUCAAGGGCCUGGUACAGCAGAAUCGAUGGCUACUUGACUAAUUUGGGAUUCGAUCGAAGCAAGAGUGAGCCAACACUGUAUGUCAAGAAGCAAGGGACACAAACACAGCUCAUUGUAUCCCUAUAUGUUGAUGACCUGCUGGUGACAGGAGGAGAUCGAGCAGUGCUGGUUGAUUUCAAGACCAAGAUGCAAGAAGUAUUUGAAAUGUCUGAUCUAGGGGAAAUGUCUUAUUUCCUUGGAAUGGAGGUGACUCAAGCACAAAAUGGGAUAUUUCUAAGUCAGAGAAACUUUGCCACAAAGAUUCUGACCAAGUUCUCCAUGCAAAACAGUAAAGCAACUAAAACACCUGUUGCUGUUGGAGAAAAACUAUCGAGCCAAGGUGAUUUUGAGAAGGUUUGUGAAACAACCUACAGAAGUCUAGUUGGUUGUCUGUUAUAUUUAACUGCCACUAGACCAGACAUAAUGUAUGCUGUAGGAUUGCUCUCAAGGUUCUUGCAUUGUUGCAAUAAAAAGCAUUUACAAGCUGCUAAGAGAGUGCUUAGAUAUGUCAAAGGCACUUUGAGCUAUGGUUUAAGGUACAGCAAUGAAGGAAAUCUGAAGCUGGUUGGCUACACUGAUAGUGACUGGGCUGGCUCGAUAGAUGACAUGAAAAGCACCUCAGGGUAUGCUUUCAACCUUGGUUCAGCCAUGUUUUGCUGGAGCUCGAAGAAGCAAAGUCUGGUGGCUCAAUCUAUUGCUGAAGCAGAAUAUGUGGCAGCUGCAAGUGCUGUCAACCAAGCCAUUUGGCUAAGGAAAAUCUUAGCUGAUUUGAAAGUGCAUCAAAAGGAAGCUACUGAGAUCUUCUGUGACAACCAAUCUUCAGUUGCAAUUGCUAAAAAUCCAGUGUUCCAUGGAAGAACAAAGCAUUUCAGCAUCAAGUUGCAUGUUGUUCGAGAAAUGGAGCAAGCUCAGGAAGUGAAACUGAUCCAUUGUAAUUCUGAGGAUCAACUUGCAGACAUUUUGACUAAAGCCCUUAAUGUCACAAGGUUCGAAUGUCUAAGAAGGAAGCUAGGUGUUUGCUCCAUGCAAACCAAGGAGGAGUAUUGAAGCAAUGGUUAGCAUGUAGCAAUCACAUGUUUUAUUAUUAUUAUUAUUAUUAUUAUUAUUAUUUGGAUGUAAUGAUGUAACUUAGUUGUAUUCCAACUAAGUUUGUUAGUGGUAGUAGGUGGUGAUUUAUUUUAAGUGGAUGUAAUGAUGAAACUUAGUUGUAUUCCAACUAAGUUUGUUAGUGGUAGUAGGUGGUGAUUUAUUUUAAGUGGAUGUAAUGAUGAAACUUAGUUGUAUUCCAACUAAGUUGUCAAGUUGUAAGCUUGUAUAAAUAGGCUUUAUGCCAUUUUAAAAAAUAUGAAUGAAUUCAAUCAAGAUUUCAUCCAUAUACUCUCUAUUUUAGCUUUGCUUAAAAUUUAUUUCAUUUUUCUUCUUUGUUUCUGCCGCAAGUCUCGAUUCUUGCUCAUCAAGCUUUUUGUUGAACCUUGCUAUUUGUUGCACUUAGCUCCAACAAACUUUCACAAGCACUUUCUCGAGCUAUUGCAGCCUCAAACAUCUCAAUAAUUAUAUUAUCAUUAGAUUAUGCUUCUUCAAAAUCGUGCCUGGCUGAACUCUCUGACAUCAUGGACUACAAGCGCACUCAAGGACAUACUGUUCUUCCCAUUUUUUAUCAUGUUGAUCCUUCCCAUGUUCGGAAUCUUGGUGGAAGUUUCAAAACUUCCUUUGAUGAUCAUGAAUCAAAAAGGCUACGUCAGGUACAACGAUGGAAAGCUGCCUUCGUUGAAGUGGGAAAAUUAAAAGGGUGGCAUAUAGAAGGAGGCAAAUUUGACAGGUAACUAUAUUUUUCUCACCUUCUUAUAUUUGACUAAUCUUUGUUUUAGAUUUCAUUUAUAUUUAUUUAUUGUUUGUUUGCUAGACCUGAAACAGAGUACAUCAAGGAUAUUGUUGAAUAUGUUAUAAAAAUGUUGAUGAGUAGCAAAUCUAGACAUGUUUAUGAAGAACUGGUCGGAAUAGGUUAUCAGAAAGAUGCAAUUUCGAGGCUGAUUGAGCAAGAAGGCAGCCGUGUAAUAGGACUCUGGGGAAUGGGUGGUAUAGGCAAAACAACCCUUGCUGAUGCAGUUUAUAAGGAAAUGUCUCCAAAUUUUGAAAGCUGCUGGUUUCUUCAAAAUGUUAGUGAGAAAAUAAAAAAACAAGGAAAGGAAUCUUUACGAAAUGAUCUUCUCUCCAAACUGUUAAAUGAAAAAGAUAUUCGUAUAGAUACUCCUUUGAUAGGAUACCCUUACCAAGAGAGGCUGAACAAUAAAAAAGUACUUGUUGUGCUCGAUGAUGUUAGUCACCAAGACCAAAUAACUAUUAUGGGUGUUAGACAUUUUGGUGAUGGAAGUAAAAUCAUUGUAACAUCUAGAGAUAGAAAAGUACUUGAGAAUGGAGAAGCUGAUCAAAUUUAUGAGGUAAAGAAGUUAAAUGAGAUUGACUCUCUUCAGCUAUUUUCUACUUGUGCGUUUAAGCAGUCGAAUCCUGAUGCUGAUUUUCGAGACCUAUCAAUAAGGUUUGUAGAGUACACACAAUACAAUCCACUUGCUCUAAAAGUUUUGGGUUCCCAACUAUAUAAAAGGUCUAGAGAAUAUUGGAAAAGCGAGAUGGAUAAGCUAAAGGAAUAUGGCCAACCAGAAAUUUCAAAUAUUUUGAAGAGAAGCUUUGAUGGGCUUGAUGAACAAGAAAAGAAUAUAUUCCUUGAUAUUGCAAUCUUCUUAAAAGGGGAACUUAAGGAAAAUGUAGAAAAAAUUCUAAGUAGUUGUUAUAAUGGCGCAAAGUCUAGCAUCAGAAACUUGAUCGACAAGUGCCUACUAGAUAUCACACCUCUUCCUAUUUCUUUGCGUGAUAUACUUGAAAUUCGCAGUAAGUUUCCCAAGAGAAAAGCAGAAGAGAUUGCAAGUUUCCCAGACAGAGGUGCAUUAGAUGAUCGAAGAAACAGCCUCUUGGAUGAGAUUCCGCGAUGUAUUUCUAUGCAUGAUAUGCUUGAGCUGAUGGGCAAGGAUAUUGUUCACCAAGAAUCUAGAGCUCCUGGAAUGCGCAGUAGGUUAUGGAAUCCUAAUGAAGUAAAGCAAGUGCUGAAAAAUAAUAAAGUAAGUAUUAAUUGUACUCAUGUUUCUUUUUAUAUUUUUUUAUAUAUUUGUGUGAUUUUUUCCUAGGCUUAUAAAAUUUUAUUAAUAAUAAAGAUCCGAAAACGGGAAUAGAAAAAAAAAAACCAACUCAACAAUAUAUAUAUAUAUAUAAAAUCUAUGUACAAAAAAAAAAUACCAUUAAAAACAUGCCCAUUCCACCAAAAGAGCAAUCAGAAAUCACUUCUAGUCACCAUAACCCAUGUCGUGUAAAACAUUUACUAAAUCAAAUCACAUCCAAUUGAAAUCAGGAUUAUAAAAAUUAAUUACUUGUAUUUAGUUUUAAUUGAUAGAGAUAGAAGAACUUCAACUCCAAUAAUUCAAACUAUUUUUAAAUUGAUUUGAUAAUUCGAAUAACUCAUUAAAAUUAAACUGAUUAAUUUAAAAGUUGAUUUUUUUUUGUUUUUCCAAGGAGAAAAUUGAAUUUUACUCAACCUCCCUAAGUCAUUGAUCAUUAUGUGUAUGGUAUGUAAAUAAAGAUUUUAUUUUUUAAAUAAUAUUUAAUAGAAUUAAUAUUUGUCACAUAGUAAAUGUAUAAAUCUAUAUAGUAAACAGCACUAUUGGUCACAUAAGUUUUUGUUUUAAUCAUGUAAUUAUAAAAAAAAUUAUUUUCAUUACCGACGUUUUUAACAUCAAGUUUCUUUUUUUUUUUUAUCAUUCCUCGAUUAUUAAUUAUUAAUGGAAGUACGAUAGGUCUCUUUUUUAUUGGAAUAAUAGUAAAUUUAGUUCUCAAUAUUUAUAUAUUUUUUUCAAUUUGAUAAAAUGUGUAAACCUUGAGGAUUAAUUUAUUCUUAUUCUAAUUAAAAAAAGACGCAUCAUCAUUCUGUUGAUGAUCUUUUAUCAAAUUUAGCCCUCACUAUUUGUAUCUAUUAUCAUUUGAGUCCUUAUACUUUUUAAAAAUAAGUAAAUAAGAACAAUUGAAAUAAGUAUUUCUUACCCUAUACUCUUCCAAUAUAUUCUUUUAUCAAUAUUUCAUAUCUAUGACAAGAGAAAAAAGGAGAAGGAAAUUUUCAAUCGAAAAAUGAGUGGAGUGGCAAAUUAAGUCUUUAGUCGGCACUAAUUCUAAGUUCCAUCAUUAGAAAAUCUUACAUCCUUCUGAAAUUUAUGUACUCUAAUUUAAAAUUUAGUUAAAUAAUAAAAUUCACCAAUUUAGUUAAUUAAAAUUUUCUUUUCAAUUAUUUUUAUCAAAUGUUAACCCUAAUCUUAAGUUAUUACAUGGAUCUACUAAGGGUUUUAUUAGAUUAAUUAAAUAUCUACUGUAUUGUUUUAUACAAUAAAAUUAAACACUUUUUAAAUCUAAAACUUCUUGUAAUAAAAAAGUAUAAUAAAAAAGUAUGGUCAAUUAGUUUAAGCCUUAUUUAAUCUCUAAUGAGUGAUUUAAUGGAAUGCCUGAUACUUGUUUCUUGUUAUUAGGGGACAGAAUUUAUUGAAGGAAUAAAAUUAGACAUGUCUCAGAUUGAUAAACUACGAUUAUGUUCUUCUGUUUUUGAGAACAUGUUUAAUCUUAAAUAUAUCCACUUCUAUUUUCCUCCAUUUAUUGGAAAGCAACGAAAGAAGAAGCUACAUGUAGACCAAGUUGGCGAUGUAUCUCUUCCUGAUGAGCUAAGACUUCUCUGUUGGGAGUAUUACCCAUUUAGGUCUUUAUCAUCAAGUUUUGAUCCAAAGAAUCUUGUUGUGUUAAAAUUACCUCAUGGUGAUAUGGAACAACUUUGGAAUGAAGAUGAUCAUCAGGUAAUUUAUUCAUACUUUCUUGGUCCAAUAAAUUAAAAAAAAAAAGUGUGACAAAUGCCAACCCUUAUUAUAAUUAUUAUAAUUUUUUUUAUACUGCCCAAAGUAGUAAGUAGACAAUGCUAAGUAAUAAAGCUAUUUUAUAUUUUCAUUGCGCAGGAUCUUAUUAAUUUAAGAAAAAUUGUCCUUUCGAAUUGCAAGAAUUUAAAGAAGAUCCCUAAUCUAUUAGGAGCCAUCAACCUUGAAAUCCUUUGCUUUAAUGGGUGCAACAGUUUGGUUGAGCUUCCUGGCUUCAGUGAUUUGGCAUCUCUCAAAACGCUUCAGCUUCAUGGAUGUUAUAAUCUUACGAAGUUUCCUGAGCUCCCAAAUGAUGUUUCUUUCUUAGAUUUAGCAGAAACUGGAAUAGAAGAAGUGCCAGAUUCAAUUGAGCAUAUCGCUGGACUUGAAACAUUGUUAUUGGCAAAAUCAAAGAUAAAUAAUGUAUCGUGCAAUAUUUCGAAGUUGGAAUGCCUUCGUUAUCUGGAUUUUAGUCAUUGCCUAGUCGCCGAAUUCCCAGAAAUUCUACGAAGACCCGAGCUUGAAAGGGCUGAAGGAGCAACCUAUGCAUUUUCAUUGUCACUCGAUUUCCCCCUCCCUGAUUGGAGAAAGGUUCCGAUAGUUCAUGUGCCCCCCAAAAUCCUAAAGUUUAAAAGCCUUGAAUAUUUGAAAAUGGAUCAUUGCGAGAGUCUUAAAUUACUUUCGGAGCUUCCACCAUAUUUGCGGUACUUGGAUGCACAUGGCUGCAAAUCGCUAGAAAAAGUAUCGUUCACAGAUCGAAAUCAAGAUCAAUAUGAACUCUAUUCUUUUUACGGUAAAGAUGAGUUCUUUAUGAUAUUCUCUGAUUGCUUCAGCUUGAAUCAAGUUUCAAUUAAAAACAUUGAAGCAAAUGCCAUGCAAAAAAUUGAAUCACUUGUAAAGAAAUGGAGAUGUAAAUAUGAUUAUGGUCCAAAAUCAUUGUUUUGCUGUUUCCCAGGGAGCGAAAUUUCAGCCAGUAAAUUCGAGUAUCAGAGGAUGAAUUCUUCGUUGAAGUUGCAGAUAACCCCAAAUGAGUUUAGUGGGAGCAGAUUCUUGAGUUUUGCUAUCUGCCUUGUGGUUGAUCUCAAGUAUUGCCAUAAAUACAAUAAAGAUCUUCGAUGUAUCUGUGAAUACCAACUAACAGCCUUCGAUGGUUGUUAUGAAAAGUUCGAAUGUGAGUGGGGUUACAAGCUAGAUUUUGAGUUACAUCGAAAGUACAUGGGUGAUCACGUGUUGAUUCUAUUCAGUGACAAAAUGAUUAAAAAAGACGACGAUUAUGUGGAGGCAUCAUUUGAAUUUUAUAUAAAUAAAUGCUACUACAAAGGCGAUGCUGAAGUUGAUGAUAUCAAGGUCAAAAAAUGCGGUGUUCAUGUAUAUUAUGUGGCUGAAAACAACAAAGGUCCAAUUAGUCCUUAUACCAUGCAAAUGUGAGGACCCGAUUGGAGCCCCUCCAACGGAGCAUCAGAACUUAACGUCAGCGCUGGCCACGAGGGAAAACAGUAAAAUCACUAGGGACAACGGAAACAAAGGGGGAAAAAGGAGGAAAUUUGUUCAUGACUUAAAGGGUUGAUAUUGCAUCUCUUCCUUAGGUGCUAAGGUAAACUUUCCACCUAUUCCCUAUAUAUAUAUAUGUUAAUUUGAAAGACUGCUUUUGUUUGAGACUGGUUUUUCUUAUAAUAACCUAUGCUUUUAUGAUGGUGUAGGUGUUUGUUGUGGUAUAUCUUAGACUACAUAAUGAAUAGUCUCUUCAAUUUUCCCUCACUUUCAAUGCAUUUUGUUAUGUUUCUUAUGCAUAUCUUUUACAAUUAUAUGACUCAUUAUCAAGAUUUGGUAGUCUAAGGUGUUGUUUGAUAAUUUAUUAAAAAAUUUAAAUUGACUGAAAAUUAAUAUUUUUAAUGAUUUAAUUUUUUAAUCAUUUUUGAUAAUUCAUAAUAAAAAAGUAACUCAUAAAUUUUUUUUUUAUGAUGAUAAGUAGAUAAGGAGCUACUAAGUAGCAUUUAAUAUAAAAAAAUUCAAUUCUUUUUAUCUUAUUUUCUUUGUUUUAACAUUUAAAAUUUGAUAUUAUGAAAGGGAAUGAAGAUGGAAGUGACUGCUGUAAGCAAAUCAUAUGAGAAAACAGAGAGCCAAGAGAGAACUAAUGGCAGAUCUAUGGAAAGGCCAUUAUACUUUGAGCUUUAGCUAUACAAAAUAUCAGAGGAACAUGUAAGCUUUUAAUUUUUUAAGCUUUUAAUUUUUUCUACUGAAACGUUUGCUUCACACUUGUUCUUGAACUGAGAUAUUGAGACAGUACUGCAAUUUGUGAACAGAUUGCUUUGUUUUUGGACCUACAGAGGAACCGUAUGCUCUUGAGAAUUUAGCCUUCCUAGAAAAGAAAAUUAAGAACUUCAAAGUGAAGGGUUUGGUUUCAUGGUAGAGCCAUUCAACUUGAUUAUCACAUCAUCUUGGGCUGAAACUUGAAUGAAGUUUCCUUUUUUCAAGAUUAUGAGAGAUUGAAAUUUGAUUUUUGUAAUUAAAAUUCUAGAGUUUUACUCUGUUUUUGGAUUGAAAGGAUGCAAUAGUGGAAUUGGUAGUCACUAAAUGAGUGUCAUUUAGCAACUUGCAGAUUUUGUUGUGUUCAAUCUACUUGGAUUUGCAGGGAUAAAUCUAUUGAAUCAAAUUUUGUUUUGUUGUACAUUAGGUAAUUAAAAUAAGGAAAACUAUGUCAUACAUUGUGCCUAACCUUUGCAUUAUUAUUAUUUUAUUCUAUUGUUAACCUUUUCCUCUUGGAAUCAAAUGUACAAAUAUAAGAAACAAAUUGAAGUUUAAUGAACUUGAGAAUUCUCUUAUCUUGAUAAUCAUCCCAAAGCUUAAAUCCCUUAAAAUUGGCACCUUUCCACAUAUUAGUAUUUAAGGGGUUUUCCCCCCUAGAUUAGUACUUAGGAUUUUUUUGUAAAUUAUUUUGGUAACACCAUUUAAUUUGAAACACGUUACACUCUCAAAUCAUGACAUGUGUCAAUGAUGAUAUCAAUUCUAAUGACAUAAAAUUGGAAAUUUCUUUAAUAGUUUGUGAUAGUUGCUUCUUUUUUUCUCAUCUCCAUUCCCCUGUUGUGUCUUUGUUCUUUUGUAGAUAUAGCAUAUAUUGUCCAAGAUGGGAAUUCUCCAUAUAUAUUAAUUAAUUUGGAGGAAAAUUGAACGGCAGUUGGAGAUUUUAAUACAGUAGCAAAAUGAUUCUGCUUUGGAGUUGAUACAAUAUCCAUAGGGGAUUUUGGUGAGUACCAAAAUUCAGAUAUUAAAAUUCAUACUUAAUUCUUAUUGAGAGUUGACUUGUUAUUGGUUGGUUUUUUUUUUAAAUCAUAGGACCAAUGGUGGACUCGAUUCAGCUUCAUUGUUUAGUUUCCAGCAUUGGUGUCAUCUGGUAUCUCAAAACUCGCUGCAUUUUCGUUCAAUCAUAGCUUGAUUCAUUAGAAAAGAUUGGUUAUUUGCGAGAUUGGUUUUUCUUAUAUCCUUUUCUUUUUUGUUGAUGUAAGACUAGGGAAUGAUAGAUCAUUGAGAACACCUGAGCUGUAAGACCUUCAAUUUGUUUUACUGAAUUCAAAGUAAUCUUUUGAGGCCCUUUCUGGUUCUGGCAAUUCAGUCUUGGUGGAGAAGUAAGUUACCUUUGACUUAGACUUAUUAUUAUGAUUUUAGGUUCAUAUAAUGAUUUUCAGCAUCCUCACCUUCUUUUCCCAUAUUUAUCAAUGGGAUUAUAUAAAUCCAGAAUUUGCUAGAGAUCUCAAAGCUUGUGGGCUGAACACAUGGAGGUGGAGACAACUUUUGACAGUUUUCAUUCUCUAGCUAGAUUGGGUUAGUUUCAUGGUAGAGCCAUUGGAGUCGAUAUUUUCUUAUCUUGGAUUUUGAUUAUCAUAUCAGUUUGGACUGAAAUUUCUUUGUAUGUUACUGCCUCUCAUGUUGUUUGAGCAUUGCAGUGAAGACAUAUUAAGAUUCAUACUUGAAUUCUUGUUGGCAAUUGACUUGUUAUUGGUUGGUUUUGAUUCAUAGGAUCGGUGGUGGAUAUCAUCCAGCUUAAUUGUUUAGGUUCCACCAUUGGUGCUCAAGCCAUGGGCAGUAAGUAGAGAUUUAAUCAUAUUGUAUCUCAAUACUCUCUGCAUUUUACUUCAAUGAUUCAUUCACCCAUUGAUUUAUGUUUCAUAUUUCCUUAAAACGUUAGUAAAUAUAUAUAUAUAUGUUUUCAGUUCAUGAUUUCUGAUCUAUAUUCAUGUUAGCUAAGGUAAACCUACCAACUAUUCCCCAUAUAUAAUCUAUUGGCUAUGUUUUAUUAUUUUGAAUUUUAUGACUAUGAUCUGUUGAUUCCAUAAAACUUGAUGAAAGUCAAGCCGGACACAAGUUCAAUACUCUACUGGAAUUGAAGUUGCAGAUUAUGGGUGGUUUUGAUAUCUUCUUUCUCACCAACAAAUGAAGUUCCCACAAAAUUACUGGUGUUAAGGUGAAUGUUGUGAAUCAAUGCAAAACCCACAUUUAUAGAUGUGCCCUUUUACCUAGAGAUUAAGCUUUUUACUUUUUGAAUUUGGUAAUGUGAAGGAAAUAAAGAUGGCAAUGGUUGAUGAAAGGAAAGCAGAUGAGGGAAUAAAUCACAGAUGUUUGUAACAAGUAAGCUUUUAUGAUGUUCAAUUUCUUCUACUGAAGGAUUUCUUUAUAUUGCGGUUGAAUUGAGAUAUUGAAGCAGUACUGCAACUUUUCAACAGAGUUGUCUUGUUCAUCCCAUCCAGCUUUGCUUCAACGCUUUCUGGAUUUUGAUCAUUGAGAGGAAGCACAUGAUCUUGGGUAAAUUACUUUUAACUCAUUCUGAUUAUUAGUAUAGUCAUGGCAUUCUUUUCCCUUGAUUUACCAAUGGAUUAUAUAAAUGCAUGCAGAAUUAGGCAGAGUUGCUCUUAUCUGAAAACAAGUUGAAAGAACACAUGGAACUUGGAUGUUAUUUUCAAUGCCAACCCUAACACAGUUUUCAUUCUCAAGCUGGAUUGAUGAGCUUUUAUGUUUACCCCAUAGAGGAACCCAACAUAAACACUUGGAAGAAAACAAUCCAAAUGAUUUUGGUUUAGUUGGAACUUCAAAGUGCAGAGCUGGUUUCAUGGUAAAACCAUUUGACUUGAUUGUUAUAUCAGUCUGGGCUAAAAUUUGAAUCAAUUUUCCCCUUUUGUAAUUAAAAUUCCAGAAUUUUGCUCUGUUUUGGAAUUGAAAGGAUGCAACAUUGGAAUUGGUUUGUACAUUCGUUUUUAUGAGAUGGUAUCCAACAAGUUCAAGAUUCGUAGCUUAGUAAUUAAAAUAACUUUCUGUAACACUAAACUAUGAUCUACCAUAAGAAAAAACACAAAUUUUAUACUUCUCUGAUUAUUUUAUAAUGCCAUGUGACUUAAAAUUUUAGUAAUUAAAAGGAUUCUGCUUUGGAGUUCUAAAAAAUAUCCAUGCGAAGCCGUGGUGGGUACCAUAGUUUAGAUAUGAAGCUUCAUACUUAAAUUCUUUUAGGCAGUUGACUUGUUAUUGGCUGGUUUUAACUCAUAGGAUCAGUGGUGGACUUCAUUCAGCUUCAUUGUUUAGUUUCCAGCCUUGGUUCUUAUGCCAUAGGGAGUAGGUGUAGCUGUUGGAACAUUGGCAGCAACAUAAGCAAGAAUGAAAACAAAAGCCAAAGAAGGAAUUGAAAAAUGAAAGAGAAAGUUUGAACAAAGUUGCAACCGAAUGAAAAUCAUUUUCAUUGAUUGAAAAUUAAAAAAAUUUAUGAGUUACAACCAUGUUUGACAGUUACCUAAUAGUUGUAACUGCUCUCACUAAUACUAGACAAACAUAAUCUUUGAAUUACAAGUAAAAGUAAGCUAACAUUUCAGCUAUUACAUCAAGUACCAAUCAAAAAACUAAUCCAACUAGAUUGUGAUCAAAUUACAAUCAAACUAAACUAAGUUACAUAGGAACAAAAUGAACAAAAUGGUCCAAAGCUAGCUGCUGCAUUCGGUUCUACUCCUUGCUGGUCUGCUUGUUGAGCUGCUGGUCACAUGUUGCAUUGCAGGCCAAUGCUCAACACUCCUCCUUGGACUAUAUGCAACAUACACCAAUCUUGCUUCUUAAAACCUCGAACCUUGUUGCACCAAGUGGCUUAGUCAAAAUGUCAGCCUAUUGGUCUUGUGAGCUGCAAUGAACAAGACUGAUUUCUUCUGAUUGCUCAGCUUCUCAAACAAAGUGAAACUUGAUCUUAAAAUGCUUGGUUCUUCCAUGAAAAACUGGAUUCUUAGCAAUAGCCACUGCUGAUUGGUUGUCAACUUUGACUUCAGUAGGUUCACAUUGCUCUUCAUUUAGAUCGCAUAGCAACUUUCUAAGCCAAAUGGCUUGAUUCACUGCUGCUGCUGCUGCAAUAUAUUCUGCUUCAGCUGUGGAUUGAGCAACAGUUUGUUGCUUCUUAGAACUCCAACAAAAAACUCCUGAACCAAGAGUAAAGAAGUAGCCAGAAGUGCUCUUCAUGUCAUCAACAGAACCAGCCCAGUUACUAUCUGAAUAUCUUGUUAGCUUGAGCUCAUUUUCCUUCUUAAACAUGACUCCAUGGUUCAGAGUCCCUUUGAUGUAUCUGAGGAUUUUUUAACUGCCUUGAGGUGAAUUACAUUGCAGCACUGCAUAAAUCUUGAUAGGAGACUAACACCAAACAUAAUAUCAGGCCUAGUUGCUGUUAAGUAAAGCAGGCAACCUACUAGGCUUCGAUAUUCUUUUUCAUCAACUCUUGCUUCAAUCCCAUCACUGGACAACUUCUCCCCUUGUGCUACUGGUGUGCUUACUGAUUUGCAGUUUGACAUGUAAAAUCUAUCAAAGAUCUUUAAUGCAAAAGCAUGUUGGCUGAUAAAAAUGCUUUGAUCAGACUGGUUCACUUCCAUACCAAGGAAGUAUGUCAUAAUUCCUAGGUCUGUCAUCUCAAAUACUUCCAGCAUUUGCUCUUCAAAUUCAUUGAUCAAUUCAUCUUUGCUUCCAGUCACAAGUAGAUCAUUUACAUAGAGUGACACAAUCAGUAAGGUUUCACCUUCUGAUCUCUUCACAUAGAGUGUGGCUUCACUGACACUCUUUUCAAAUCCAAGCUUAGACAGGUAGGUGUUUAUUCUGUCAUACCAGGCUCUUGGUGCCCGUUUCAGGCCAUACAAGGCUCUCUUUAAUCUAUAAACCUUGUCUUCUUGUCUUUGGACUUUAAAGCCUUCUGGCUGCUCUGUGUAAAUUUAUUCCUUGAGAAAACCAAUCAAGAAAGCUGAUUUGACAUCAAGUUGAUGAAUCUUCCAUUGUUUCUAUGCAGCCAAAGUAAACAAAAGCUUGAUUGUGUCAAGCCUUGCUACUGGAGCAAAUGUCUCUAUAAAGCCAGUGCCAUAUUGCUGACUAUAGCCCUUCACCACCAACAUUGCCUUGUGUUUGUUCAAAGAGCAAUCAGAGUUGAAUUUGGCUCUAAAAACCUACUUGACACCUAUGACUUUCUAUUGGUCUAGUCUAUCAACCAAGUCCCAUGUCUCAUUCUUCUUGAUCAUCUCAAGCUCAGCUUCCAUAACCUUUCUCCAGCAUUUGUCCCUUGCAGCAUCUUCAUAGCUAGAUGGCUCAACUAUAGCAACAUUGCAUCUGUGCUAAAUGUCAGCAAUGGUUCUGGUUCCUCUCACAAGAGGAUCAUCGAUGUCUGCAUUUUCUGGUCUAUUCUCAGCUAGCUCUGGGCUGAUGUCAAAUUGGUCUUCAUCAAACUGGCUUGCAUCUGAACCUUCCCAAUUCCAAAACUUUUCCUCAUCAAAUUUGAUGUCCUUGCUCACCAAAAUCUUCUUUUUUUGAGGGGUCAUACACUCUGUAGCCCUUUUUGGUAUUGCUGUAGCCAACAAAUAUACCAUGAGCAAACUUUCUCUCAAGUUUAGUUCUACUUUCAGCUAGAAUAAGCACAUAGCACACACAUCAACAGAUGGCUUGAGUCCAUGCCAGGCUUCAAAAGGUGUUUUGUCCUUCAUUGCUCGAGUUGGAAGCUUGUUGAGCAAAUAUACUGAGGUAUUGACUGCCUCAGCCCAAAAUUUGUUUGGAAGUUUGCUUUGAAAUAGCAAAAAUCUGGCCAUAUCCAUCACUGUUCUAUUCUUCCUUUCACAAACUUCAUUUUGCUGUGGAGUGUAAAUAGUGGUUAGCUGAUGAUGGAUCCCUGCCUGCUCACAAAGCUUUUGAAACCUCUCAAACAAGUAUUCAGCCUCAUUGUCAAUUCUCAAGGACUUAAUCUUACAACCUGUUUGGUUCUCUACUAAUGCCUUGAAUUUGCCAAAAGCUUCAAAGACUUCAGACUUCUGUUUCAUGAAGUAGACCUAGCAAAAUCUGGUCAAAUCAUCAAUGAACAGCACAAAAUACUUGUUGUCAUUCAAAGAAAGGGACUUCAUUGGUCCACAAACAUCAGAGUGCAUCAGCUCAAGCCUUUCUCGAGCUCUUCAUGCCUAGUUCAUUGGAAAAGGCAAUCUAGCUUGUUUGACAAGCUGACAAACUUCACAAACAGUCUCCCUUGCCUCAACUUUGCACAUAUCAUCUACCAAAUUCAUCUUAUGCAACAGAUCAAGUGAUCUGAAAUUACAAUGGCCUAGUCUUCUAUGCCAUAGGCCAGCAUUAUCAGCUAAGCUUGUAUAAGCUUUCUUCUCAAGUUGGUUCACAUCAAGCUUGAAACAUUUGUCUACCAUGCCUACAGUAAUCAUCUCCUGGCCAGGGAAGUCCUCAAUAACACAUGAACCAUUCUUGAAAACUAGAGAAUACCCUUUUUCAACUAACUGACCAACACUCAACAAGUUCUGAUCAAUGUCAGGUACAAAAAGCACAUCUGAAAUGACUCUGAACCAGUGUUGAUCACAACAUUCCCUUUGCCUUUGGCUUCAAUCAGACUCCUAUUGCCUAUUCUGAUUUUUUAGGCAUAGCUUCUGUCAAGAUCUUUGAACAUGCUUUCAUCAGCUGCCAUGUGAUGUGUGUAGCCACUAUCCAUCAGCCAAUUGCAUUUGACCUUGCUUGUGGUAGUAAAGCUUGAGGCUGUGAAAACAUGCUCCUCCUGAGCUUGAAGGUCCUCAGCAGCUUGAGCCUGAAUCUGCUGCUGUACCGGUGCCUUUGCUUUGUUUUUACAAACUUUCUCAACAUGGUCAAACUACUUACAGUUUCUACAUUGGAUGUCUGGCCUAAACCAGUAAUAUUUUUCCAAGUGUGUGGUCUUUUUGCAGUGGACACAUGGUGGAUACCUCCUCUUGCCUGAAUCCUUCCUUGGUUUGUCCCUCUUGUCAAGCCAAGGCUUCUUUCCUUUCUGCCUUGUGUUGGAGCUUUCUUUGGCCUUUGCUUGGAAGGCUCCUUCAGGAUGAUCUUCCUGCCUGUUAGCCCUUCUCUGCUCCAAAGCAUAAAGAGAGUUCACCAAUUCUGCAAGGAAAUGGUUGUCAAGUCCCUUGAAUCCUUAAGUGAUGAGAUUUUAGACUCAAAUCUCUCAAGAAGAGUGGUGAUGAACUUCACCACAACUCUGCUCUCACUGAAGUCUUCACCAAGCAACCUUAUGCUAUUGACAGUGGCCAUGAUCCUGUCUGAAUAUUGCUUGAUGCUCUCAGAUUCUUUCAUUUUCAGGUUCUCAAAAUCUCUCCUCAAGUUAAUCACUUGUUACUACCUUAUUUUAUCUAAUCCCAUAAACUCCUCCUUCAGCCUCUCCCAUGCUUCCUUAAGUGUGCUGCAAGCCAUGAUUCGAGUGAAGAUUACAUCUGUCACUCCAUUUUGCAAUCAGGCCAAGGCUUUGUGCUUCUUUGUGCUCUCCUCAGCAUGCUGCCUCAUCUGAGCAAUUAUGGAUUAGCCCUCAAUGGAGGUGUCUCGAAAUCAUUCUCAACUACACUCCAUAAGUCUUGUGCUUGAAGGUAUGUUUUCAUUUUGACUACCCAAAUGUGGUAGUUCUUACCAUCAAACACUGAAGGUGGAGGUGGAGUGAAACUGGAGGUGGAGGUAGAGUGAAACUCAUCCUGCUGAAAUAAGUUUAACAACUUCAAACUCUUGCUUCUCGUACUUUUGUUUUCUCAAAAAAUAAAACAACCAACAACAAAGGCCUCCCAAGACUUAGGCUCUGAUUACCAUUUGUUGGAACAUUGGCAGCAACAUAAGCAAGAAUGAAAACAAAAGCCAAAGAAGGAACUGGAAAAUGAAAGAAAAAGUUUGAACAAAGUUGCAACCAAAUGAAAAUCAUUUUCAUUGAUUGAAAAUUCAAAAAAUAUAUAAGGUACAAACAUGUUUGACAGUUACCUAAUAGUUGUAACUGCUCCCACUAAUACUAGACAAACAUAAUCUUUGAAUUACAAGUAAAAGUAAGCUAACAUUUCAGCUAUUACAUAAAAUACCAAUCAAAAAACUAAUCCAACUAGAUUGUGAUCAAAUUACAAUCAAACUAAACUAAGUUACAUAGGAACAAAAUGAACAAAAUGGUCCAAAGCUAGUUGCUGCAUUCGGUUUUGCUCCUUGCUGGUCUGCUUUUUGAGCUGCUGGUCACAUGUUGCAUUGCAGGCCAAUGCUCAAUAGUAGCUUUAUUGUUUAGUUUCCAGCAUUGGUCUUAAUACUCACUUUAUUUGCUUGCUUAUGUCCUUGGUAUUUGUUGUGCUUUUUACUUGCUAGUUUAAUGCAACGUAACAUAUGUUAACCAAAACAGAGUGUCAAUAGAGAAUGGAUGGUAGUUCUUUGGAGAUGCCAUUAUGUUUGGAGUUUUACCUAUAAUAGAAAAAAGAGGAGCAAGUAAGCUUUUCAAGAGCUUCAAUUUCUUCCGAUGAAUGCUUGCUUUAUGUUUGUGCAUGAACUGAGAUAUUGAGGCAGUACUGCAACUUGUCAACAAAUUUGCCUUCUUGAUCUUAUUCAACAUUGAGCCAAUGCAAAUUGAAGCCAUUUCCUAAGCUCUUUCUGCUUUUUGAACCUUCAGAGGAACCAUAUGCUCUUCGGCAAUUUAGCCUUCCUAGAGAGGUAAUUUACCUUUGUUUCAGUGUGAUGUUUUUAGCAUCCUCAUGACCUCUUUCCUCUAAUUUAUCAAUUGGUUUAUAUGAAUUCAGAAUUUUCCCUAAUUUAUCAUUGUGAUAAAUAAUUGAUACUAAUAUUAUAUGAAAAUAACUAAAAAGGUACCCCUCGCCUCACCGUUCUUUCCCUCUCCAUAUAUUAAAAAUUUAUCUAUACUUUUAUUUAAUUAGGCCUUUUUGGUCUGUAUUAUUUUUCAUUUCCAUUUUAGCUUUUUUUUUUCUCCUUCAUUGUAAUACUUUUGUUUCCUGCUUUAAUUCUAGAGAAUUGUCAAAUUGAACUGAACUGAAGACCAAAAAGGUGAUAAAUUUUGAGGGACGAGGGGUUAUUUUUUAUUUUAAUAUUAAUAUAAUUAAUUUUUAUUUAAUAUUAACAUAAAAUAAAUUUUUAAUUAUAUUUUAACGGGUGACAUGAUAAUUUUUUGAUUGGCUGACUGUGAUGAAUAAAUGCUAACUUAGAUUACAGAAUAAAAGUUUAAGUACAUAACUCAAAUGAAUAAAAUUUUUUAAGGUUUUUCUAGUUGAAUUGAGCCUCUAUUUAUUUUCUCAUUAUGAAUGUGAUGUGCGUACUUUGUUGAUAAUUCGGACCACCAGAUUUGAUGUAACCAAAUUCUACUUUAAUGGAAAUGUAUGAUGAUUGGACGCAAAAAUUAACCUUUUUGACUAACGAAAAAGGAUAAAAGAAAUAGCCUUUUUCUGGGAUAAGGCAGUGGAAUGGAAGUUUCCCGUUCUUCUAAAAACUCUGGGGACAUCUAAAAACGUAAAAAAUUUAUAUAUUAAAUACAUAAAUAAUCAUAUUUAUUUAAUAUAAAAAUAAAUUAAUGUAUUUUUUUAUUUAAAUUAUUUUCUCUUUUUCUUUUUUACACUUGUUCUUCUUAUAAUAACACCACAAUCCAAGCAAAACUCACUGUACAAAAUUAAUAUAUAUUUUAAUUUUAAUUUGAAAAUUUAAUUUUAAAGUAAUAUAAUUAAAAUUAAUUACUAGUUGAAUAUUUGAUUCAGUAUUCAAAACUCAGGGAUAAAUACUAGAAAGUUCAUGCCACCUGUAAAGGACUCAGUCUAAUAAAAAUAAGAAGAUAGCAAAGAUGAUGGAUAUUUCACUCUUUAUCUUCUCACAAUAAUACCAAAGAUGAUGCUACGAUCAUAAUUCUUUUCAUUCUUCUUCAAAAGUACGAAAACAAAGCUCCCAUGGUGCAUCUCUUUUGCCUCAAUCGCACAAUCCAUACUCUUUGACUUCUUCUUCUUCUUCUCUUUUGCCUCAAUCAGACAAUCCAUACUCUUUGGCUUCUUCUUCUUCUUCUCUUUUGCCUCAAUCAGACAAUCCAUACUCUUUGGUUUCUUCUUCUUCUUCUCGUCAAAUGAAGCACCAAGUUUUCUUGAGCUUCAGAGGUGAAGACACACGCCUUAACUUCACCAGUCAUCUACACAAAGCUUUGAAGGACAAGGGACUGAAUGUCUUCUUCGAUGAAGAAAAACUAGAGAAAGGGGAGCAACUUUCACCAGCACUUUCUCAAGGAAUUGCAGCCUCAAAUCUCUCAAUCCUUGUUUUAUCUAAAGACUAUGCUUCUUCAAAAUCGUGCCUAGCUGAACUCUCUGCAAUCAUGGACCGCAAGCAGACACAAGGACAUAUUGUUCUUCCCAUCUUUUACCAUGUUGAUCCUUCCCAUGUAAGAAAUAUUGGUGGGAGUUUUACAACAUCCUUUGAAGAGCAUGAAUCGAAGAGGCCAGUUGAUGAAGUUGAUGAAGUGAAGCGAUGGAAAGCAGCCUUUGCUGAAGUUGGUAACUUAAAAGGGUGGCAUAUAGGAGGAGACAAAUCUGACAGGUAACUAUAUUUUUCUCACCUUCUUAUAUUUGAGUUACCUUUGUUUUGGAUUUCAUAUAUCUAUGUAUAUUUAUUUAUUUAUUGUAUGCUAGACCUGAAGCAGGGUACAUUGAGGAAAUUGUUAAAAAAGUUAUAGAAAAGUUGAGGAGUAGCAGAUCUAGACAUGUUUCUGAAGAACUGGUUGGAAUAGAUUAUCAGAAAGAUGCAAUUUGAGGCUGAUUGAGGAAAAAGGCAGUCGUGUAAUAGGACUCUGGGGAAUGGGUGGUAUAGGCAAAACUACCCUUGCUGAAGCUGUAUAUGAGGAAAUGUCUCAGAAUUUUGAAAGCCGUUGCUUUCUUCAAAAUGUUAGUGAGAAAAUACAAACACACGGAAAGGAAAUUUUACGAAAUGAUCUUCUUUCCAAACUGUUAAAUGAAAAAUAUAUUAAAAUAGACACUCCUUCGAUAGGAUACCCUUACCAAGAGAGGUUGAACAAUAAAAAAGUACUUGUCGUGCUUGAUGAUGUUAGUCACCAAGAUCAAAUAGCUAUUAUGGGUGUUAAACAUUUUGGUGAUGGAAGUAAAAUCAUUGUAACAUCUAGAGAUAGAACAGUACUUGACAAUGGAGCUGACGAAACUUCUGAGGUGAAGAAUUUAAAUGAGAUUGACUCUCUUCAACUGUUUUCUAUUUGUGCGUUUAAGCAGUUUGUUGUGCGGAAGCGUGUAAAAGAGUAAAAUUAUUGUACUAAAAAAUCACACUAAGUUCAAUUCCCAGGAAAGAGAGGUGGAUCACAAGGAUCGCUUAAGUACCAGGUCUUUCCUAGCCAGAAUAUCCCUCAAUCGUAAUUUAAUAGCACAAUAAAUCACUACAAUCACACACACAAUUCAUGCAGAAUAAUACAAUAAAGAACACAAGAAUUUAACGAGGUUCAGCAAAUUUUGCCUACGUCCUCGGGCACUACCAAAUAUAUUUCACUCCAAAAUACAAGUGAGAAUUUACAAAGAGAGAGAGAGAAAACAAUGUCUUAAGUAGAGAAUGGCAAGUUUGAGAUACAGAAUGAGAGAUGGUUAUGCCUAUUUAUAGUUGAGGUUCAGGGAUCAACUUGCAAAGUCACUUUACAAUUAGGGACCAUAUAUUGCAAAUAUCUCAGAUUUUAUUAUGCCAAUAUAUCGAUACCCAUAUCUUUGACUUUCCAAUAUUUGAUACCCAUAUCUUUGACUUAUUAUUUGAUACCCAUAUCUUUGAUUUUCUAUAAAUAUGGAUAAUUCCCAAUACAGUUCAAUCCUGAUGCUGAUUAUCGAGACCUAUCAAUAAAGUUUGUAGAGUACACCCAAUACAAUCCACUUGCUCUAAAAGUUUUGGGUUGCCAACUAUAUAACAAGGGUAGAGUAUAUUGGGAAAGCGAGAUGGAUAAGUUAAAGGAAUAUAUCGAACCAGACAUUUAUAAGAUUUUGAAGACAAGCUUUGACGGGCUUGAUGAACAAGAAAAGAAUAUAUUCCUUGAUAUUGCAAUCUUCUUCAAAGGGGAACCUAAGGAAAAUGUAGAAAAUAUUCUAAGUAAUUGUUAUAAUGGCGCAGAGUCUAGCAUCAGAAACUUGAUCGACAAGUGCCUACUAAAUAUUACCCCUCUUCCUAUUUCUUUGCGUGAUAUGCUUGAAAUUCGCAGUAAGUUUCUCAAGAGGAAAGCAGAAGAGAUUGCAAGUUCCCCUUCCAGAGGUGCAUUAGAUGAUCGAAGAAGUAGUUUCUUGGAUGAGAUUCCGCAAUGUAUUUCUAUGCAUGAUAUGGUUGAGCUGAUGGGCAAGGACAUUGUUCGCAAAGAAUUUAGAGUUCCUCGAAAGCGCAGUAGGUUAUGGAAUCCUAAUGAAGUAAAGCAAGUGCUCAAAUAUAAUAAAGUAAGUAUUAAUUGUACUUAUGUUUCUUUUUAUAUUUUUUUUAUAUAUUUGUAGAUACCAUGUAUAAGGUAGUAAUCCCUUGAGAACACCAAAUACCUGAACGAAAAUCGCCAAAAAGAAAAACAAAAUAAUACCAACUCAACAAUAUAUAUAUUUAAACCAAAUCACAUCCAUUGAAAUCAUUAUAAAAAUUAAUUACUUGUAUUUAGUUUUAGUUGAUAGAGAUAGAAGAUUUACUUACAACUCAACUUCAACUCCAAUAAUUCAAACUCUCAAAUUUAUGUACUCUAAUUUAAAAUUUAGUUAAAUAAUAAAACUCACUAAUUUAAUUAACUAAAAUUUUCUUUUCAAUUAUUUUUAUCAAAUGCUAACCCUAAUCUUAAGUUAUUACAUGGAUCUACCAAGGGUUUUUAUUAAAUUAAUUAAAUAUCUAAUGUAUUGCUUUAUACUAUAAAAUUAAACACUUUUUAAAUCUAAAAUUUCUUGUAAUAAAAAAGUAUGCUCAAUUAGUCUAAGCCUUGUUUAAUUUCUAAUGAGUGAUUUAAUAUAGUGCCUGAUACUUGUUUCUUGUUAUUAGGGAACAGAAUGGAUUGUAGGAAUAAAGUUAGACAUGUCUCAAAUUGGUAAACUACAGUUAUGUUCUUCUGUUUUUGGGAAAAUGCUUAAUCUUAAAUAUAUCGACUUUUAUUUUCCUCCAUUUAUUGGAAAGCAACGAAAGAAGAAGCUACAUGCAGAUCAAGUUGGCGAUGUAUCUCUUCCUGAUGAGCUAAGACUUCUUUGUUGGGAGUAUUACCCAUUUAAAUCUUUAUCACUAAGUUUUGAUCCGAAGAAUCUUGUUGUGUUAAAAUUACCUCAUGGUGAUGUACAACAACUUUGGAAUGAAGAUGAUCAUCAGGUAAUUUUUUCAUACUUUCUUCAUUCAAUAAAUUAAAGAUGUAUACCAAAUACUAUAAUAACUUUUUUUUAUACUGCACAAAGUAAGUAGACAAUGCUGAGUAAUAAAGCUAUUUUAUAUUUUCAUUGCGCAGGAUCUUAUCGAUUUAAGAAAAAUUGUCCUUACGAAUUGCAAGAAUUUAAAGAAGAUCCCUAAUCUAUUAGGAGCCGUCAACCUUGAAAUCCUUUGCUUUAAUGGGUGCAACAGUUUGGUUGAACUUCCUGGCUUCAGUGGUUUGGCAUCUCUCAAAACGCUUCAGCUUCAUGGAUGUUAUAAUCUUAAGAAGUUUCCCGAGCUCCCAAAUGAUGUUUCUUUCUUAGAUUUAGCAGAAACUGGAAUAGAAGAAGUGCCAGAUUCAAUUGAGCAUAUCGCUGGACUUGAAACAUUGUUAUUGACAAAAUGAAAGGUAAAUAAAGUAUCAAGCAGAAUUUCAAAGCUAGAAUGCCUUCAUUUUCUGGAUCUUAGUCAUUGCCUAAUCGCCAAAUUCCCAGAAAUUCUACGAAGACCCGAAAAACCUAAAGAGCCUGAAAAGCGCCAGCCAUGUUCCUCGAUAUACUAUUUCUCCCCUCUACCGAGACCCGAAAAACCUAAAGAGCCUGAAAAGCCCCUUCCAUGUUCAUCGUCAUCCUAUUUCCCCCACCCUUUACCAAGACCCAAAAAACCUAAAGCGCCUGAAGCGAAAAAAGCGCCUGAAGUGAAAAAAAAAAAGCUCCGUCCAUAUUUAUCGUCAUCCUAUUUUCCCCUAGCUCGUCAGAUAGUUUAUAAGCCCCCAAAAAUCCUAAGGGUGCGUUUGGUUCGUUGUAUUGGAUUAGAAGUGUAUUGGAUUAGAGGUGUAUUGGGAUUAGAGGUGUAUUGGAUUAGAGGUGUAAUAGCUAAUCCACUGUUUGGUUGAAUGUAAUGGAAUAGAGGCGUAAUAGUAAUCUUGUGUUUGGUUGAAUGGAAUAGAGGUGUAAUAGCAUAAUGGAAAAAACUAAAAUGACUAGAAUACCCUUAGGAUAAAAUUGUUUUGGUAAAUGAUUAUUGUUAUUGUUAUUUAAAUUUUAAUAAGAUUAUUAUUAUCAAUAAUAAAUAUUUUAAUCAUAUUUAAACAUAAUUAUAAUUAAAUAUAUUUUAAUUAAAAUAUAUAAUUUAAUAAAAUUCUUAUAAUUAGCAGAAAAUUGUUUUGGUAAAUGAUUAUUGUUAAUGUUAUUUAAAUUUUAAUAAGAUUAUUAUUAUCAGUAAUAAAUAUUUUAAUCAUAUUUAAACAUAAUUAUUACUAAAUAUAUUUUAAUUAAAAUAUAUAAUUUAAUAAAAUUUUUAUAAUUAGCAGAAAUUUGUUGUUGUUAUUUAAAUUUUAAUAAGAUUAUUAAUAUCAAUAAUAAAUAAUUUAAUCAUAUUUAAACAUAAUUAUUAUUAAAUACAUUAUAAUUUUGGUAUAUAAUUUAAUAAAAUUCUUAAUAAUUCAUAUUCUUAUAUGAAUUUACUCAAAUCAUAAUAUAUGAUAAAUGAAAAUUUGAAAUAAUUAAUAUUAAAUAUAUUUUAAUUAAAAUAUAUGAUUUAAUAAAAUUUAAAAUAAUUAUUAUUAAAUAUAAUUUCAUAAAAUGUUCUUAUGAAUUUAUAAAAAUAAAAAUAUAACUUAAGAAUUAUUUUCUGCAUAAACAUAAUUAACUUAUACUAAGAAAAAGUUAGAUGAAAAUGAAAUUGUACAUCAUAAUCCAUAUGUUAUAUAGUUUUACAACAUCAAAAAGUUUGAACAUUGAUAUUUAAUGGUGAGAAAGAAAUCUUCUGACCCAUUCCAAUCGGGCAACAGAAGGUAAACUAAAGAAAACGAUCAUUUGAUUUGGAUGAUCGGGAAUUUUACUCAAAGCAUCAUACCGCUGAUCGUCGGUUAAACCUUCAAUUGACCAUAAGGCUGAAUAUAAAUUUGAAGCUUUCUCUUCCAUCUUCUCUUCUGACUUCUGCUGAACUACCACCUCGGAGGCAAUACUCCUACUGAUUUUAUCACCAACGGCCUGGAUUUUUUCCCCCAACAAGGUGGCAGCCUCCUCAAAUGAAGAAUACCCACCAUGUAUGCAUGUAAGGAAAAUAAUAUGUCAACGAACUCUAUCUAAGACAUUAUAAUUGCUAAGCCUUUGAAUUGAUAUGUUCAAAAGGGAGUUCAGCAGUGAGCAAUAUUAUUUUCAUCAAAGAUCCAAUAAUUGAGCCAUAUGCCCCAUAUGACUUGGUACUAAAAUAAGCAUCAACAUUUCUAUCAAGAUGGCACAUGUUUAUUUUUAUUUAGUAAAAUUAUUAGUAAAAAUUUACAUAAAUGAUUGAUAGCUAUUAACAAAUUUAAUAUUUUAAAGAUAAAUAAAAUGAUAAUAUUUUGUAAUCAAAUAAUAAUAAAGAGGUAAACACUCCAUAAGUAAUAAAUAAUUUAUAACACAUAGGUAAAAAAUAUUAUGGAAAAAAAAUUUGAAUUAUUAAUAUCAAUAAUAAAUAUGUUUUUCUAUUAAUAUUAAAUUUUAAUUGUUAUGCCAUGUUUUAUUUAUAUUUUCAAUUUAAAUGUAUAGUUUUAUAUUAAUAUUAUAUAAUCAAAAUGAUUUUAAUUAUAUUUCAAUUAAAAAUAUUAAAUAAUAAAUAAUGAUUUUAAUUAUAUUUUAAUAUACCUUAAAUAACAUAAAUAAAAUUUUUAUUUCAGCUUAAAGUUAGCACAAUUUAUUUUAAUAAUGAUUAAAUUUGAACGAGAUCUUUGAAAGUAUCAAAAUCGUUAUAUUUUUAUCAUAAUUGAUAUUAAUACAAGAAUUGGUACUAAAGUUUGAUGUCCUUUUUAAAUUAUAACGAAGAAUUGGUAUACCAUUAUCUUUAAGUAUCAAAAUAUUUAUCAAAUACAAAUAAUAGAUUAAAAAAAGAAAAAACACAAGUACCAAAUUAUAUAUUGCUCCUUUUUAUAACAACAUUUUGUCCAUGAAUUUCCUUUUUAAUACAAGAAUUGGUACUAAAGUUUGAUGCCCUUUUUAAAUUAUAUAGUACUCAUUAAUGGUUUUGGGGACAAAGGAAUAUAACAUAUGAUAUCCAAGUACAAAUCAGAUGUGUGCUCACAUGCAAUUUGCAAUCAUAAGCAUAACCUGGUUUUUUAAUGAAUGAAAACAAUUUAUAAAACAUCUUUUAAGGUAGACAUAUAACCAUAAAUAUUCGACAGUUGCAUGUUAAUCUUCAAAAGAUCCUAGAAUUCCAACGAUUUGCUUGAAAGUUGGACAAUGGAAGGUGGAGGAGAGAGAGCAAGUGAAAGCAGCAACCACGUAAGACCAAAUUAUAUAUUGUUUGGAAAGAAAGGAAGUACAUCCACAACUGAAAAAUGGGUUAAUGUUUGAUAUAUUGACAGAUUAUAAGUUUGACAGAUAAUUUAAAACUUUUAAAAGUAAGAUGACAGAUUUGGUAAUGAAGAAAGCUUUGGGUAAUUUAAAACUGUACAGGUCAUGGCUUCAUUUUCACUUCUAUAUAUAUAGCCGAACAAGAAAGGGUUUUCUUGGUUUCUCAUAUAUGGCCAGAAGCAGAUACAGUGGAAGGAGACCUUAUCAGCUAAUUAUUUCAGAAAGAGUGAAACGUAAAAGCAACAUAUAGGAAAAUACUCUCUUAGUUUCAUAAUUCCACACCAACUUGGAGAUUAAAUUAGCAGUAAAUGUACUUGGGUGUUAACUCAUUUCAAACAUUUCAAAGCAUUCAAAGUUAACAGUACCAAAUUAACAGCACCAUUUCAAACAUUUAUCAGUGAGCAAACAUUUCAAAGCAUUCAAAGUUGAAGUAGUAACAGCACCAUUUGAAACAUUUCAAAGCAUUAACAGUACCAAAUUAACAAAGCCAUUUCAAACAUUUCAAAGCAUUCAAAAUUAACAGUACCAAAUUAACAGCACCAGGACUAUGCAUGACAUUCUAGAGCUCAUUAUAUGCACUUCAACAUUGCAGUAGCCAUGAAAGAAUAUCAGAGUGUUUCUAUUCAACAAAAAUCUCAAAAAGCAUACAAAUCCAAACAGGACAUGAGCAUUCAUAGUCCUUUGUUUUCAUUUCUGACUGAUCAAGCAGAUGGAGCCACUGCAAAUAAAUUAUAUAGCCACUGCAAACAAUUGUAUAGCCACUGCAAACGGGGGAAACUAACCUGUAAUGAGGAAAUCGGAGAGGAGACCGAUGAUGAACUGCAGCAACAAAGAACCUGUAAUUCAGGACAAACAAACAAACAAUGAAGUUAGUUGUUGUAUAAUUCCAUGUCAUUCGGUUGAAUUUAGAUUUAAUUUUCAGUAACAGCAGUGUGUAAAUGAUAGAGAAACAAAACAUGCUAAAUAAAAUGGCUACACAAGAACCAUCAUCUAGGCAUUUGACUAGAAAAAUAAACAUGUUUUCACAAAAAUGAAAAUGGAAUACCAGUGCAAUUAGAGUUUGCUUACAUACAUAUUCUCAUACAGCCUUUCAAAGAUAAUUUAAUUACAAAAGAUAAAUAAUAUUCUUAUUUCUGUCAUGGAAAAGCACAAGAUUGUUAAAUGAGUUUAUUGAUUUAAAUGACUAAGAAAAAUGCACAGCAAGUACUUUCAUCAUAACAAUAUCAUGAGCUGGUUGCACUGGUUUUAAUAUUUCACAAUCUUGUCUCUACUGCUUUAGUUUGAUAGAUAAUGAUGUGUGGAUUACAUAAUCAAUAUAUUAAACUGCAGAUGGGAACUUAAGACAAUAUUAAAGAAUUAUAGAAAACAAAAAAUUAAUGGAUGGGAAAAUUAUAAGGAAAAUUAUGAAAUACUGACAACAAGCCUUUAACAAUGCACAAUGCCAAAUGACAAACAAAUUAAGGUCAAGAAGAUUAUUUAAAUGGAAAUACAAAAUCUAGCCUUUCCUUGACAAGUUGGAACUCAAACAAGAAUAUGAGACCUCUAGGAAUAUCAGUUGGAACAAAUCUGUUAAUUUCUCUACAAAUGUCCCACUACUGAUAUGCGUUCAUGGUUUAUAAGUGAGGAAAAGGAUUAUUAACUUCUAACAAUGGAUUAAAAUCAUGUUUUUAUUUGAAGUUAGUUGUUGUAUAAUUCCAUGUCAUUCGGUUGAAUUUAGAUUUAAUUUUCAGUAACAGCAGUGUGUAAAUGAUAGAGAAACAAAACAUGCUAAAUAAAAUGGCUACACAAGAGAACAUGCUGAUCAUUGAUAAUAAAUUAAGCUACAAAAGCAAAAAUGGCAAGAGGAACAAAACAUGGUACAGAAACAGAAAAUAGAGAAACAAAAAACCACUACAGAAAAUAGAGGAACAAAACAUGGUACAGAAACAAAAAAUAGAGAAACAAAACAUGGUACAGAAAUAGAAAAUAGAGAAAAAUAAAGUAGACAGAAUAUGAAAAAUGUUGGAGCAAAGAACCUGUAAUUCAGGACAAACAAACAAACAAUGGAAAAAAAAACCAUAACCGGCAAGAAACGAAACGCCGAUUUACCAAGGACUGAAACAAUCGCAUGCAGAGAGGAAAGAAAUAGGUUAAGUUUGACGGAGAUUACUGAUUCAAGCCGUCCGGAGAUCUGACACCGUCGAGUCGGAGAAGGAUGCAAAGCUGAAAUCGGGAGCGGGUAGAGGUUUGGUUCGCUGGCACGUUCUGUUUAUGUUGGGAGGGAGAGGGUCAGCUGGAGGCGAUUUCGGCAAGGGGAGGGUAAAUAAGACACCGAUUAGCUAAUCUUAGUUGUUGCAAGGGAUUACAAAUCGGUGGUGAAGCAGCCAAAAUGUGGAAUCCGUCCGCAACGGAUUAGAACAGUAUUAGAGAAAACAGCGAACCAAACGCUGUAUUCAGUGGGGCCACCGAUUCGGGGUGUAAUGGAUUAGCCAUUACACCCAACCAAACAAAGCCUAAAGUUUAAAAGCCUUGAAUAUUUGAAAAUGGAUCAUUGCGCGAGUCUUAAAUUACUUUCGGAGCUUCCACCAUAUUUGCGGUACUUGGAUGCACAUGGCUGCAAAUCGUUAGAAAAAGUAUCGUUCACACGUCGAAAUCGAGAUCUAUAUGAACUCUAUUCUUUUUACGGUAAAGAUGAGUUCUUUAUGAUAUUCUCUGAUUGCUUCAGCUUGAAUCAAGCGUCAAUUAAAAACAUUGAAGCAAAUGCCAUGCAAAAAAUUGAAUCACUUGUAAAGAAAUGGGGAUGUAAAUAUGAUUAUGGUCCAAAAUCAUUGUUUUGCUGUUUCCCAGGGAGCGAAAUUUCAGCCAGUAAAUUCAAGUAUCAGAGGAUGAAUUCUUCGUUGAAGUUGAAGAUAACCCCAAACGAGUUUAGUGGGAGCAGAUUCUUGAGUUUUGCUAUCUGCCUGGUGGUUGAUCUCACGCAUUGCCAUAAAUACAA